GACCGAUCUAAAUUCCACUCUAAAGUCAAUAAUAUCAUAACUCCCAAUUUUUUUGUUCUUAUACAUUAAAGCGUGCAAUACUUUUUUUUUUUUUUUUUUUUUUGACAGCAGCGUGCAAUACUUUUUCUUCGAGAAAAAUGUGGAUUUUUUUUGGAAGUAUACAUGUACUUUGACCAACAGUUGACUUCCUUGUUUGAAAAAUCGCUAGGCGCUAGUCGGGCGCUCGGCAUGGGCCUAGCGAUUAAUCGGAAAAUCGGAUUAAAAUCGGGGAUUAAUCGGGGAUUAGUUUUAGGGUUAUUUUAAUAUUUUUAAAACAUAUUAAUCCAAUGUUAUUUUUAAAAUUGCAGUAAACACAUAAAAAUGUAUUUUUGAGACAAAUAUUUAUGAUUUUUAUUAAAAUAUGAACAUAAAUUAUUGUAAAACAUUACAAACUCCCAAUUCAAAUGAUUGAAUAACAAAAAUAAAAAGUUUUUUUAUACUGGCAAUCUAAAAAUAAUCGGGGUAUGUAAGAUUAGGCGGGGAAUAAUCGGAUUAGGCGGGGAAUAAUCGGAUUAGGCGGAGAGUAAUCGGGUGACUGAUUUCUUUAAGGGAUUAGUCAUUAAUCGAGGCGGAUAGGGUGGGCCUAGCGAUUAAGCGGGGAGUAAUCGGGUCUAGGCGGGGAUUUUUAGAACAGGGGUUGACUUUGAAAAAUAUCAUUAUUACUCAUUAAUUGAUAAGUCUUUUCGUCUCGAUCGAAAAGCUUAGAAAGUUUUUCUACACACGAGAAAAAUUGUGGAUCGGAUCAAAACAUAAAAUAAAUGAAAAUAUUCGAAAGACUUAUCUUAUGUGAAAGUCGGUUUAAGAUUCGAUUGUUUUCUUUUAUAAUAAGGCCCUGAAUGGUGACAUAUAAAGGUGCGGAUUUCAAGUGUGUUUUUUGAAAAACGUUUUAUGUUACCAAUCAAUAAAUUUGUAGGUAAUCUGCGGUUUUUUAGAAGAAAAAGAAAAGUCUGUUCGCGGUUUUCAAAACAAGGUUUUAACCUUUGGACCGCAGUAUUGUUGUCCAACUGCCUAUUACCCAGCGGUUCCACAAAUUCCGCAACAGUUAAAAGAAAAUUUCUUUAUUUAAUUUUUUUUUUAACAACUGAAACAUUGAUUAAUUUCUAAAUGGUUAGUACAAAAAGGAAAGUAACCAUCCGACCAAAAAAAAAGGAAGUAACCAAAAUGGUGGCACGGUUUAGUGUAAGUUUGGUUUUUGAAAUAUAGAAAAAUAUAUAAACAAGACUAGAUCAUGACCCGUGUUAUACAGCACGGGAUUAAAUAUUUUGUAUGAAUCAAAUUAUAUAAUUUGUUUGAAGAUAUAAUAUGAUAAAAUAGUAUAAUAAUAUAGUUUGCAAGUGAUGCCAGAUAAUAGUAUACGAUUUUUAUUACUAUUUGGAUAUAAUGUUGUAUUAGAUUGAUUUGGUGUGGAAGCUCCAUUGACCCAUUGGUUUAAUAUCACCUGUAUUAUAUCGUCUCAUAUUAAUAUCGACCCAAACACGUCCUACCAUCUAACUCCGUCUCGUGAAGUUAAACAUCAUUUUGUUGUUUUUUGUUUUAAUAAUACUUUUAUUUAAAAGACAAUAAUACUUUUAUUUAAAAGAGAAAUUCAAAUCAAUUUAAAAGUUUGCUUUCAAAUAGUUUCCAUAAUAUAUAUAUAUAUAUAUAUAUAUAUAUAUAUAUAUAUAUAUUCUUAAUUAUUAUAAAAUUAUAAAUAUUUUUAACGUUUUAUAAACUUUAAAAAAUUAUAGUAUUUACCUUUCAAAAAAUUACAAACAUUUAUAAUAAUUGAUUUUUAAUUUUUUAAAAUAUUUCUUAUAUUUUGAAACUUUUUAAAAGUAAGAAAUAUAUAUUAUUAUAUAAUAAAUAACAAUAACAAAUAACCCGUCACCACUAAAACCAUCUACUUUGCCGCAUGUAUGGUUGCACCACCAUAACCUUUCGAAGUUGUGAUAAAAUAAUUAAGCCAUGAAAUCGAUCAAAUGUUUUUUCGUAAUGCUAAUUAUUCAAAAGUAGAUUAAAAUGACUCAUCUAAUAUAGUUUGAAUAUUCGAGAUAAUCAAUACCUUAAUUUCUUAGAAUAAUAAUUUCAAAAAAAAUUAAAAAAUGCUCAACGACGACAAAAAGUCGAUUACAUGUUACACACCUUAGGUUUGAAGGGAGAGCAACGCAUCACCACCACCAGUGCACCAUGGCUACUCCGCCGCUUUAAAAGCUGUACACAAACAUUAUUCACAUUAGUAAUCAUCGAUAUUAAUAUAGAUUAUGUAAACAAUGAACAAUGCAAUAAUGAAACUACUUUGAUAGCAAUCGAGCUUUUAUUUAUAGAGAAAAAUAUGGUGUUACACAAUUUAGGUUUAGACGCAAAAAAAUCUAAACAAAUAAAUGAUAUCACGGUGAGAAUAUUCACAAAUAAUUAUUUUAUUUAUCUCAUUACGAUUUUGGUAUUAUUUAUUUAAGUAUAUCAAUUUAUAUUUUUUUAAUCUAUGGUUGUUUUUCUUAUCUACCUAUAGUCUAUAAUAUAUAUAUGGUUGUUUCUUUAAUUACGUUUUGGUAGAUUAAAUAUUUACCAAGAAAAUCUAAAUCUUAAUUGCAUAUUUAAUUUAUGAUGAUGAAAUAUUAGAAAAUAUUAAAUUUAUUAUAAUCUUAACAAUUUUUUAUUUAUUCAAUAAAAAUAGUUUCACGCAUUAUCACAAUUACGAUAAUUAUAGUAGUGCAAAUCUAAUUAAUAUUUGUUUCCAAAACAAAAAAAUGUUUAUUAGUUUACACUCAUUAAUAAAAAAUGCAAAGCUUGAAUUUGUCCUAUAAAUACAAAAUUUAAUGUAUUACUUUUCUAUAUUAGUAAUUUUUGAAUAUCUUACUCAUUUGCACCGGAAAUAUUAAAUCGGAUCUUCACCUAACUUUUCAUUUUAUAUAUUCCAUAUUGCUAUGUAAAUCUUGUUUGGUAAGAUACUUCUGCAAAAAAAAAUGGACAUUAAAACUUAAAUGCUAAUAAUAAUUGUAAUAUCAUAAUCAAAUCUUCGAUUAAUACAUAUGGUAAUAUGCAAUCUUUUAAGUAGUAGAUAACACAGAUUGUGAAGAAUAAUUCUCACACAAGUUACGGUAAUUAGUUUAAAGAGUCCUGAUUCAUGUAGGAUCUGAUUUUCUUUUGCCAACAUAAUGAAAUUUGAAUUUUAAAUCCUAGAAAAAAUCAUUUAAAUACGGUAACAUUUUUUCAAUGAUAUAACAUUUUAAAUUUUGAAUAACAUUUUCAUUUUCAAAUAAUAGAUUAGUAUAUAAUAUUUUCAAUAACAUUUUCGAACUAUAUGAGUAUUAUAAUUCAAAAUAGCAUUUUUUAUAAAGUCAAUUGAUAUAAAAUAUUUCAAUGAUAUAUCAUUUUCAUUAACAUUUUCAAUAACAUUUUUGUGUCACAUUUUCGAAUUAUAUAUUAGUAUACAACAUUUUUACUAAUUGUGUUACAUUUUCGAAUUUAUUAGUAUAUAACAAUUUCGAAUUAUAUUAAUUGUGUAAUAUAGUUAUUAUCGAAAAAUAUAUGAAUUAUAUAAACAAAAUCUUUUAAUAUCUUUAAACCCGUUGACCCGUUAAUAUAUAUUAGUGACAUGGAAUAAAAUUUUAUGAUUAAAAUUCUCUAAUGGCAUAUAUUGUAAUUUCUUACAAAAUCAAGUUAUGAUCCUUAGGAUGUACUUCCCAAAUAUUAGUAUAGGAUAUAAAAAACUGAUAAAAGUUAAAACUAAUGCACGAGGAAAAAUAUGAAUUUAUUGAGAUGGAUGCAAUUAAAAUGGCAUAUGAUAAAACAAAUGAUGCAAAAAAUAAUAAUACAGAUAUGUUAUAGAAAAAUUAAUAUAUUCGAUAAUAUUUUUCUGUUGUAUCAUAUUGUUUAUUAUGAAAUUUUUUUAUUUAAUAUAUAUAUAUACACAUAUUUGAAUGUUUAAUUUAUAAUUAUAUUAAUAUAUUUCUUUUAAAAUUAUUUAACUACAAUCUAUAUUGUUUAUAAAUAUCUGUUAUUGUUUAUUUAUUAACACAAAAAUUUAAUUAAUUAUUAAUAUAUAUAUAUAUAUAUAUAUAUAUAAAACCGCACUUGUCCCGCAAAUAGCUUUUUCACCAAUCACAUAUUAUUUCGUACCGCUUAUUUUAUACAAACCGCAUUUGUCCCGCAAAUAUAUUUCUCCCGUACGUCCCGCAGUUGAACCGUACCGCACUGUAAUACCGCACUUCUUCCGUACCGCAAAACGCAGUUACCAUUCGGAACCUAAGAGUUUCAAAUAGUACUAAACUAUUUAAUGUUUUUGAUAUAAAAAAAAGGUUUGCAAGUUGUAGUCAUAUUUAUUUAUUUACUACUUACAUUAAUUUACACUCCACUCUUAUUAUUAGUUUAUUACACAUGACAACUUGCAUAAACAAUACUUCAAUAACGAAAAUAAGAACGUAUGUUUUCAUAUAUGAACAUCGUUUUAUCAAUAUGCACAGGGGAUGAUGGUGUUAACAUUAUCAGUAACUAUACCGGGAAUUAAGCCACCAGAAUGUUCCACGACUAAGUUCGAAGAUUGCAAAAAGGCUUCGGUUUUACAAUUAGCGGUUUUCUUUGGAGCGUUAUACACCUUAGCAAUCGGUACAGGCGGAACAAAACCGAACAUAUCAACCAUAGGAGCUGAUCAAUUCGAUGUAUUCGACCCAAAGGAGAAGACUCAAAAACUAUCAUUCUUCAACUGGUGGAUGUUUAGUAUCUUCUUUGGUACUCUCUUCGCCAACACUGUUCUUGUCUAUGUUCAAGAUAAUGUUGGUUGGACCUUGGGGUAUGGUCUUCCAACAUUAGGUCUGGCUAUUUCCAUUACCAUUUUCUUGUUGGGCACUCCGUUUUACCGUCAUAAACUUCCCACUGGAAGUCCUUUCACCAAGAUGGCUCGAGUCAUCGUGGCUUCAUUUCGCAAAGCCAAUGCACCAAUGGCGCAUGACAACACAAGCUUCCACGAGCUACCCUCACUUGAAUAUGAGCGUAAAGGCACCUUUCCGAUCCAACCCACUCCAAGUUUACGGUAAUGUGUAUAUUAGUUUGGUCUCAGUUUAGGUACCUAGCAUAUCCUAAGUAUAUGAUCAUAAAGUACCUAACAUGUAACUAUGAUGCAGAUUCUUAGACAGAGCUUCACUCAAAACAGGGACAACUUAUAAAUGGAAUCUUUGUACUACCACAGAGGUCGAAGAAACAAAACAAAUGCUGAGAAUGUUACCAGUCUUGUUCAUAACUUUCGUCCCAAGCAUGAUGCUUGCUCAAAUCAACACAUUGUUUGUUAAACAAGGAACCACUCUAGACCGAAAGGUUACCGGAUCUUUCAGCAUCCCACCAGCAAGUCUCUCCGCUUUCGUCACACUCUCAAUGCUCAUUUCGAUAGUCUUAUACGAUCGAGUCUUCGUCAAGAUAACCCGAAAAUUCACUGGAAAUCCAAGAGGCAUUACUUUGCUUCAACGAAUGGGAAUUGGUCUUAUCUUCCAUAUCCUCAUCAUGAUCGUUGCAUCUGUCACUGAAAGGUAUUCUUAACGACAAAAAAUAUCAAAUACUUUCUUGUGUUGCAAGGUUCCUUAAACUUCUUUAUUUGGUAUUUUUGUAAUAGGUAUAGACUCAAGGUCGCUGCUGAUCAUGGUCUCAUUCACCAAACCGGAGUAAAACUACCUUUAACCAUCUUUGCUUUACUUCCACAAUUCGUCCUAAUGGGUAUGGCUGAUUCGUUCUUAGAAGUUGCAAAGCUCGAGUUCUUCUACGAUCAAGCUCCAGAGAGCAUGAAAAGCCUCGGGACAUCUUAUUCGACAACGAGUUUAGCGAUUGGGAAUUUCAUGAGCAGUUUCUUGUUAUCUACAGUGUCAGAAAUAACAAAGAAACGAGGAAGAGGUUGGAUUUUGAACAAUCUCAACGAGUCUAGGUUGGAUUAUUACUACCUGUUCUUUGCGGUACUUAAUCUGGUUAACUUCGUCUUGUUCUUGGUCGUGGUUAAGUUUUAUGUUUAUAGAGCUGAUGUUACUGAUUCAGUGGUUGUGAAAGAGGAGGAAAUGAAAGAGAAUGAAUGACAAAUAAUGAAUAAUAUAGUUUUUUCUGUAUCAUUUUAAUUUCAGUAACUUUCAUUCUUGACUUGUUACAUUACAAACCAAAAAUACACAAAAACCAUGAGUAAGAAAACAGAAUCAGGCUUACACAUUUCAAAGAACAACAACAAAACACAUGUCGCCCAAUAAAAAAAAACAAAUUAAGAAAUGUUUAUUCCAGCUUACUGGUGAUAUUCCUUCCAUCUACUUUGAAAUUUUUCCAAAAAAUUAAGAAUUUAAGAAGAAUAUUCUAAAAAUAAAUAUAAUUAAUUUAGUAAGAAAGUGUCAUUGCUGCCACUUGCCAUCAUCUGACUGUAAAUAAUUCUCAUUUUAGUAUGAUGUGUUAUUAUAGAAACAAAUAUUUUCAUUUCAUGAUGUGGCAUUAUAUGUAGAAAACUCAUUUUGGUAUGACGAUAGAUUUUCAAUACUAAAAAUUACUUUUAUUUAGGUAAGAUUCUUUUCUUUCUUAAGGCUGGAAGGAUAUUCUUACCUAUAUUUUGUUUUAUAAGGAUAAAAUUUGAUAUUAUCUAUAUUUUUUUUUUUCAUCUUAUAUAAAACGAGUUUUAGAUAAGAAAUUGUAUAAUAGACCCCAUUUUGAAUUUUGAACUCAAGUAAAAAAUAAUAAUUAAUAUAUUAACACUUUUAAAUAAUUAAACAAACACAAUUGGUGAUGAAAGUGGCAUUUUAGAUGGAGAGUGUUUCAUUUUGUGCACGAUAAACUGUUUGUUUUUAGUUACUUGAAAAAGGAGUAAACACACUUAAUUGUUUUUUAAAUAUCUUUCAUUUUAUCAUGUUUCGGUUUCAAAAACGUUAAUUAUAAAUUCCAUUCAUACAGUAUGACAUAUUACAAAAAUGGUUGAAGAGGUGUCAUUUCUAUGAAGCGAGCUUAUCUUGGUAUUACAGCUGUGAUGAUAACGAUAGUGAUAAUAAAUUGUAUAUUUGACCAAUAGUAUUUGUCUAUACAUAUGUCAACAUGUAAACUGUACCUAAAAUCAAUUAUAGUAAUUAAUUAAAUAUAAACAAUGUCAACUCUUAUUUUUAAAAUAGUGAUUAAAUGGUAAGACAGCUCAUUUAACUAUAUAAUACUAUAUACACAUAUUAUAUGUGACCAAAGUACCAACUCUCUUCAAACAAAGAUCCGUAUAAACUAUAUUGAACAAGAGAGAAAUGACAGUAGAAGAGGUAGGAGAUGAUUAUACAAAAGAUGGAACAGUUGAUCUUCGAGGAAAUUGCGUCCGAAGAUCUCAAACAGGCCGUUGGAAAGCUUGUUCCUUCGUCGUUGGUAUAUAUCAUCUUUAGUAAAAAAAAAUCUCUAUUUUUAGUUAUUUUUGUGUAUAUGAUCAAGAGUUGAUUGAUAUUUUGAAUGUUAAUGUGAUUAGUGUACGAGGUAUUUGAAAGAAUGGCGUAUUAUGGAAUAUCAAGCAACUUAGUGAUCUACAUGACUACCAAAUUGCACCAAGGCACGGUCAAGUCGUCGAACAAUGUGACCAAUUGGGUUGGGACUAGCUGGCUCACUCCAAUCUUGGGUGCUUAUGUUGCCGAUGCUCAUCUCGGUCGCUACAUCACUUUCGUCAUCUCUUCCGCUAUCUAUUUAUUGGUAUUUAUAAAGAUAUUUCUUUACCUUACAUACAAAUUCUUAUAACCACAUCAAUAGUAAAGAAUUUAGAAUGAGUUUUUGUGUUAAAUAUACGACAUAACAUUACAGGGAAUGGCAUUACUGACGUUAUCAGUAUCUCUACCGGCACUUAAACCACCGAAAUGUUCGACGGCUAAUGUUGAAAACUGCGAAAAAGCUUCGGUUUUACAAUUAGCGGUAUUCUUUGGAGCGUUAUACACAUUAGCGGUUGGUACAGGCGGUACGAAACCAAACAUUUCUACAAUAGGUGCUGAUCAAUUCGAUGAAUUCGACCCUAAGGAGAGGAUUCAUAAACAUUCAUUCUUCAAUUGGUGGAUGUUUAGUAUCUUCUUUGGUACUUUCUUUGCCACAACUGUUCUUGUCUAUGUUCAAGAUAAUGUGGGUUGGGCCAUAGGUUAUGGGCUUUCAACUUUGGGUCUUGCUUUCUCAAUAUUCAUAUUCUUGUUGGGAACUCGGUUAUACCGCCAUAAACUCCCAACGGGAAGCCCAUUCACCAAGAUGGCUAGAGUCAUUGUGGCUUCACUUCGCAAAGCCCACGAGCCUAUGCCCCGUGAUUCGACGUGCUUCUAUGAGCUUUCGCCAAUGGAAUAUGCAAGCAAAAGGGCUUUCCCGAUCCAUUCUACUCUAAGUCUUAGGUAAAUGCUUAAUCCUAUUAGAGUGAACGUUCGAUUUUUUGGUUCAGUUUGUUUAAUUUUUUUGACUCUUGGUGUUUUGUUUUAUAUCAUAAUGUACCUAAGAUUUAACUGUGUUGCAGAUUCUUAGAUCGAGCUUCACUCAAAACCGGAUCAACCCAUAAAUGGAGUCUCUGUACAAUCACAGAAGUGGAAGAAACAAAACAGAUGCUAAAAAUGUUACCUGUCCUCUUCGUAACAUUCGUCCCAAGCAUGAUGCUUGCUCAAAUAAUGACUUUGUUCAUCAAACAAGGAACGACCCUCGACCGUCGUCUCACAAACAACUUCAGCAUCCCGCCAGCAAGUCUCUUAGGCUUCACAACAUUCUCAAUGCUCGUCUCUAUAGUCAUAUACGACCGUGUAUUUGUUAAACUCAUGAGAAAACUAACCGGAAAUCCAAGAGGUAUCACAUUGCUCCAGCGAAUGGGAAUCGGUAUGAUCCUUCACAUCCUAAUCAUGAUCAUAGCGUCCAUAACCGAACGGUAUAGGCUCAAGGUCGCUGCUGAACGCGGGCUAAACCACCAGACCGCUGUACCAAUUCCCUUGACCAUUUUCACAUUGCUUCCACAGUAUGUACUAAUGGGUUUGGCUGAUGCUUUUAUAGAGAUAGCAAAGCUCGAGUUCUUCUACGAUCAAGCACCAGAGAGUAUGAAAAGCCUCGGGACAUCAUAUACGAGCACAAGUAUGGCAGUCGGGAAUUUCCUGAGCAGUUUUUUGCUUUCGUCCGUGUCUCAGAUAACAAAGACGCAGGGAAGAGGAUGGAUUCAAAACAACUUGAAUGAGUCUAGGUUGGAUAAAUAUUACAUGUUCUUCGCGGUACUUAAUUUGGUUAACUUCAUCCUCUUCUUGGUUGUAAUUAGAUUUUAUGAGUACAGAGCUGAUGUUACGCAAUCAGCAAAUGUAGAACAGAAAGAACCAAAUCAGCAAAUGUAAGGAAAGACAUAAGUUUUUAUUUGGUUGUUGUAAUAAAUGUACCAAUUGGAACCAAAUAAGCAAAGCCUUAAUCCACUUACAAAUCAUCAUCAUACACUGUUAUUUUUAUGUUUCUUCUCUACCAGACACAGAGAAAACACUAAAGAUUGUUCUUGUAAUUUCAUCAGAUAGAUAUUACAACAUAAGGCAGAUAACUUUAAGACGACUUACAUGAUUUUCGAUAAAAGAAUCGUCUCAGAAAUUAUACUUCCUUUUGACAGAGACAUGGUCAUCUUCAUCAUCCUCUUCUUCCUCUUCUUCUUCUUCUACUUCCUCCUCUUCUUCUUCUUCUUGCACAACAUCAUCUUCCGCCGUAUUAACCCUCUCGCACUCAUCGAUCCAUUCGCUAUAACUGCAUUCAUUUUGAACAAACCAGAGAGAUUUAGAGAAAUACAAAAGCGAAAACAUAAUGUUGAAAUAGAUGUGUACUUACAUGUCUAUAGCUUCAGUCAAAGCUACAAGAAACAUAACAGAAAAAGAAUGAUCAGAAACGUAAGUAAAACCCGACUCUAUAUCGACUUGAAAGACCGAAAAAAACCUGUGAUAGUAGUACUAAAGCUUUCUUCACAGAUUCUACAAGCUGCUUUACCAAUCAGAUGCUUCAUAUCACUGGAAAAACAAACAAAGUUAUCAGUGAAUGAUUUCAAUUGUUUUCAUUCAUUUCAUUCACAUAUUGUGAAUCAUCUUACAUUAUGCAUUCGACACUCGAGCCGUGAUUGCAGAAAGGACAACUAAAGAUUGUGUCAAGCUUAUCCAUUCGCUUCGUAGGAGCAGGCUUUGCUCUUGAUUUCCUCUUUCCCAUUGUUUAAGCUCCUUUGCCACAAAACACAAAAAUCAAUACUUUACUUACAUAAAAGCACCUUUGACACAAAACCAACAAAAAUCAAUAACCUCACUAUACUUAGAUAAAAAUCAAUCCUUUUGUAAUGAUCAAUUACAAGAUUGAGAAAAAGUAUUCAACUUCAAAGAAAUCUCAAUAAUUGCUAAACUCAAAUCAAAGGAACAAAGAUCAAUACUUUCGCAAUUACAAGAUUAUCAGAUAUUAGGGAUCUUGAAACCCUAGAACAGAAAUCGUGAAACCCUAAUCGCAGAACAAAGAACGGAUUCGCAAGAGCUUUAACUUCAGUAGAAAGAGAUCGACAUCAUGGAGAGAGAAUUGAUUAGAGAAUCGAGCUUACCAGGUGAUUAGGGUUGUUUUGGUUAUGAAGAUUGCGGAGGAGACGGCGGUCUUAGCGGUGGCGAUAGAUUGUAACCUGACGGCGAGAGAUUGAUGUUUGUUUAUAUUUUUGGACGCUUUUCAAAGUUGAGAUCUAUCCAUUGUUUCGAUGGUGUUUAAAAUAUUUUAGGCCCAUUUAUUGUUUUCUAAGGCCCGUAGGCCUGAUUGAAUAGUAGUCAACCAAAUAUUUUGAAUAAUGGGCUUGAGUUGAAUUGUUAUUUUGAAUUUAUGAAACUAUUGAUUUGUGAAUUGAAUAAUUUCGUUUGAUUUAAAAUUAAGGUCUAUAACACUUGUAUAAUAGUGUUUUAAAUUUUUUUUAAAAACACUAUUAUAUACGAAUUUGCAGUUAAAAAAAAUAGUGUUUUUUAAUUACCUAUAUAUGCAUUGGCCAAAAAUCCUAAUCUAUUUUUUAUUUACAGUUUCAAUCUCUACAAAGAUAUUGUCCUAACCAAAUUUUACAAAGAUACCUUAACUACAUUCGAUUAAUUUCUAAUUCCUAAAAUUUCUAUGCUUAAUUUAAACAUAAAUAUAUGAUUCUUCUUUCACUUUUAUUUGAUCUUAUAUUUAAAUUAUUUUGAAAUUUAUAUAAUAAAAUAUUAGUUUUUUUUUUGCAUAUGAUGUGAUUUUAAUUUUUUAAAACGGACAUAUAUUACUCUAUCGAUGAAGCAAAAAUAUGUGUACAAUAUCCUAUAUUGCUUAAAAAAUUGGGCAAUGGUUCAGAGUCAUACUAUAAAAAGAACCAAAACGAUUAUGAAUACGAAUGAGCAUGAAACUUGAUUUAUCAAGCGUCCAAAAUUGAAAGUGUUAUCCAGUUUACUCCGGUUCUUUAUUUUAAAUAAUUAAAACUUUUAAAAAGUUUCAAAAUAUUAUAAAUAUUUAAACUUUAUUGAAAGUUUAAUAUUAUAAUUAUUUGACCAUCCCCAUGGAGGUGGUGAAGGGAGGGCUCCAAUUGGUAGAAAAAAUUUAAAAAGUUAAGCUUUAAAAAACAUUUUAAAUAAGUUUCAAAUAUUAUAAAUAUUUGAACUUUAUAAGAAUUUAUAAGAAGGUUAAACAUAAUAAAUAUUUAUAAAAGAUAUUAAUAUGGGACGGUAUACUACUGAAACGACAUGAAUAUUACGUUUAUACAUUUUCAUAAAUUGUUGUUCAAAAAUAUACUAACAAGAUCUGAUGGAAUAAACUAUUUUCUAGAUAAAAAGUCGUGGAUGGCUACUGAAACCGAAUCAUCUUAUAUAACUUUUAUUAUGACGUGGUACAUACCAAAUAUUUUUGAUAAUUUCUAUGUCAUAUAUUACUUUGUAAAACAAAUAUGAAUAUAAAUAGUUUUUGAAAUUCAAAUGACUAUCAUUAUUUUUAACAAUUUGUACUGUUACCAGCUUAAAUUUGAUAUCCCGCGUAAUGCAUAGGCGAAUAAAUCUAGUUAGUUAAUAAUUAAAUACCAGCUUUGAUGGUAUAAGUAACAAUGUUUCAAGAGUAAUAUUGUAAUAAAUUAUGCGUAUAGUAAAAAUAUAUGCUGCAUAUAGUAAAAGCACAAACAACAUGACGUUUUGGUCAUUAGUUUUGACCAUUUACUGUAUAAUUAUUUGGGGUAAAUUAGUUUUAUUUAAUUAUUUUGACUAACAUUAAUCACCAAAUUGUAUUCUAUUGAUCACAAAAAGAACGAGAUGUAGUAUUAUUCGGUGGUGAAGACACCAGAGAUUGUGUUUCUCUUGUGAGAAUGACGGUGUUUAUUAACGACAUGUCUUUGGAAGUAGUGCUCGGAUUAUUCAACGUUAAAGCAGCUUUUGGAGGUUUACAAAAAAAAAAAAAAAAAAAAAAAAAAAAAAAAAAAAAAAAAAAAGCAGCUUUUGGAAAUGAUGCCGUUUUUAUCAACUCGUUUGGCUAGCCUAUUCUUAUAGAUAAAUUUGGUGUUACUUAUCAACCUCUCCAAAAUGUGAGUUUUGGCAUUCUAUUAUCUUGUGAGUUUUUUUCUUUUUGAUAAAAAAAGUUUAUGUUUUUGCUUUUCUUGUAAGAAUUGCUAAAAACGUUUUUGUUUGAUUUUGCAUAUUUAGAAGAUAUUGAAGAUCGAGUGUUAUGGUGUUAUGGAUGGAAUAUUAAUAUAAUAAAGAAUUUUUUGCGAUUUAUUUAGCUAUUAAUUAUCUAAGUUUCUCAUUUCAUAUGUUUUAAAUUUCUGAACAAUUUACAUGACCUUUACAUUUUCGAGACUUUGAAAAGUAAAGAAUGGAAUAAAGUUACAACUUCAUUAAAAUUUGUUUCCAAUGUUCCUAAGUUAUGUUCAUUUGUGCAUUUCUAUUUUCUUUUUUUUUUUCUGAAUAUAUAUCUUCUUAUCUAGUAUGUCAUUAAAAAAAAUGUUAGUUAUUUUAUAUAUGUAUUCAUAUAUUUUUCAUUCAUGUGAGAAAAGAAAUGAGAUGAGUUAACCUUCUAGAUCUAUUAAAGACGAAACAAUUGCUGAAAGAUGGUUUUGAUAAAAUAGUACUUCCGUUGUUCUAAAAUAUAAAUUAUAACCAUAAACCAAGUUUAGGAAGAACUAAACUUCUUUGUUCAGAGCAGUUCAAAUGGCUUGGAAAAAUUUUGUUGACAACAACAAAAAAAAAUGAUUUGGAAAACAUUCAAUUAGUUGAUGAUGAUUCAUCCUCCCACAUACUACUCUAGUUUCAUGCGCAAGGUCUUUUACUCUUUACUCUAGUUUUGGGUUUUUGGGCUUUUUUAGAAUUUCUCGAAUAUUUUUCUGAAUUGCACAAGUAGAUUUAAAAUGGGCCAACAUUGUGAUAUCAUGAGCCUAACUUAUUGAGGCCCAUUAAUAACCCAUUCCGUUUGUGCGUGUAUGUUACGCUGUGUUCUCGUUCAAUCAUUUUCUUCUCUCAUUUCCAAAAUCUAGAAACCCUAAAAAAGCAAAACUGAGAUCUCAUGGCCUCCGGCGACCGUAACUUUGGUUAUAUGACCGGAAAAUAUGCGGAAGUAAAGCUUCCACUGACGACACGGGUCAAGAACAAGACUCCGGCCCCGGUGCAAAUCACCGCAGAGCAGAUUCUAAGAGAAGCUAGAGAGAGGCAAGAGGCUGAGAUCCGUACACCUAAGCAGAAAAUCACUGAUUCUACUGAGCUUUCCGAUUACAGACUCCGACGUCGGAAGGAGUUUGAGGAUCAGAUCCGUCGAGCGAGAUGGAACAUCCAAGUUUGGGUCAAGUAUGCGCAGUGGGAAGAGUCGCAAAUGGAUUACGCGCGUGCUCGGAGCGUGUGGGAACGAGCUUUAGAAGGAGAUUACAGGAACCAUACGCUUUGGGUCAAGUACGCAGAGUUUGAGAUGAAGAACAAGUUUGUCAACAAUGCAAGGAACGUUUGGGAUCGUUCUGUUACGCUUCUCCCUCGAGUAGACCAGCUUUGGUACAAGUAUAGUUACAUGGAGGAGAAACUUGGGAAUAUCGCCGGAGCUAGACAGAUCUUCGAGCGGUGGAUGAAUUGGUCGCCGGAUCAAAAAGCUUGGUUUUGUUUUAUUAAAUUCGAACUUAAGUAUAACGAAAUCGAACGUGCGAGAUCGAUAUACGAGAGGUUUGUUCUUUGUCAUCCGAAAGUAUCUGCUUUUAUUCGAUAUGCAAAGUUUGAGAUGAAGCGUGGUGGUCAAGUUAAGCUUGCUAGGGAGGUUUACAAUCGGGCCGCAGACGAGCUUGGAAACGACGAAGAAGCUGAGAUUCUCUUUGUAGCGUUUGCUGAAUUCGAAGAGCGAUGCAAGGAAGUAGAGCGGGCUAGGUUUAUCUACAAGUUUGCUCUUGAUCAUAUUCCUAAAGGAAGAGCUGAGGAUUUGUACAAGAAGUUUUUGGCGUUUGAGAAACAGUAUGGUGAUAAGGAAGGUAUUGAGGAUGCUAUUGUUGGGAAGAAGAGGUUUCAGUAUGAAGAUGAAGUGAGUAAAAACCCUUUGAACUAUGACUCGUGGUUCGAUUAUGUUAGGUUGGAAGAGAGUGUAGGGAACAAAGAUAGGAUCAGAGAAAUCUAUGAGAGGGCUAUUGCUAAUGUUCCACCUGCCCAAGAGAAACGAUUCUGGCAAAGAUACAUUUAUCUUUGGUGAGUUUUUAAAUUUUAGUUUCAUGUAGAGUGGAAAGCUUUUGGUUCUUUAGCAAACUGAUUUGACUAAUUGGUGUAGGAUUAAUUAUGCUUUGUAUGAAGAGAUUGAAACUAAAGAUGUGGAGCGUACACGAGAUGUUUACAGGUAUUCUGAAACUUUUCAAGUUAUAUUCAUAGCUUGUGGCGGAUUAGACUGACUGUUGUUUUUGCAAACAUUACAGAGAAUGCCUCAAGCUUAUCCCACACACCAAAUUUUCUUUUGCCAAAAUAUGGUUGCUGGCUGCAGAAUAUGAAAUCAGGCAAUUGAAUCUUACGGGCACACGGAAAAUUUUAGGAAAUGCGAUUGGGAAAGCUCCAAAAGAUAAGGUAAGCCUGACGACUCGUAAUCUGGAAAUGGUUUACAUUAUUGCUCAUGUGUUUUUUACUAACAUUUUUUUGUUAUCUGCAAAACAGAUAUUCAAGAAAUACAUUGAGAUUGAACUCCAGUUGGGAAACAUCGAUAGAUGUAGAAAAUUAUACGAGCGGUUUCUUGAAUGGUCUCCUGAGAAUUGCUAUGCUUGGAGAAACUAUGCUGAGUUUGAGAUUUCUCUUGCUGAAACAGAACGAGCUAGAGCUAUCUUUGAGCUUGCAAUAUCUCAGCCUGCUCUAGACAUGCCUGAGCUGCUUUGGAAGGUAAAUUUUUACUGUCUAAUGCAUCCAUAAAGAUUUCUCAGACUUUUGAACCGAUUGGAUCAUUAAAUUCUCUAUAUAUUGUUUGUGGCAGACGUACAUUGAUUUUGAGAUAUCGCAAGGGGAAUUAGAGAGGACACGGGCUUUAUAUGAGCGACUCUUGGACCGUACAAAGCAUUGCAAGGUGUGGGUUAGCUUUGCAAAGUUUGAAGCUUCUGCUGCGGAACACAAAGAAGACGAGGCAGAGGAAGAAGAAGAUGCUAUUGAACGCAAAAAAGACGGCAUCAGACGCGCCAGAGGUUUGACGCUACAUGUUAUAUUAUGAGUUUUGAUGGUUCCUUGUGACAUUUUUUAACUGUUUUUUGUUUAUUAUUUAUUUCUUCUACUCAGCGAUCUUCGAUAGAGCCAACACAUACUACAAAGACACCACACCGGAGCUGAAAGAAGAGCGUGCUACGCUUUUGGAGGAUUGGCUUAACAUGGAGACAGGCUUUGGUGAGCUCGGGGAUGUUAGUGUCGUUCAAUCGAAGCUCCCGAAGAAGCUCAAGAAGAGAAAGCUAACCAGUAGAGAAGACGGUUCUACAGAGUACGCAUUACAUACAUAUAACUUCCCGUUUUGUUAUCCUUGGAAUGUGAGAAUUCGAAUGCUAAAGUGCUUAAUGUGAAAAUGUUGUUUGAAUAUUUGGCAGGUAUGAAGAAUACAUUGAUUAUUUGUUUCCGGAAGAAUCACAGACGACGAAUCUUAAGAUUCUUGAAGCUGCUUAUAAAUGGAAGAAGCUUAAAGCUGGGGAAUGUGUCUAAUGGUGGUUAACAUCAUAAUGUACUAGGUAGGUGAUGAUGUCUCUUGCGGGGUUAAUAUUACAACAAAUUAACCGGGCCUUGUGGCCUAGUGGUAAAAGGGUCACAGCUGUGACUUCCGCCACCAUGGUUCAAGGCACGGCCACUGGCAGGUUUACAUAGGGGAAUUGUCAGCCUCGUGGGAUUAGUCUUUGGGCCUAGGAAGCCUUUGGGAGACCCGCGGUUAUUCAAAAAAAAAAAAAAAAAAUAUUACAACAAAUCUUUAUAUAUAUCAAACUGUAUUAGAACAUAUAAUUGAUCUAUGUAUCCUUAUUUAUGACUCAAUUAAAACAUAUAAUCUCUUCUCUCUUGAAUAUUGAUAAUGUUAACACUGGACGUAGAGUUAUGAUAAUUUCAUAUAGUUUCUCCUUUAUAUACUCACUCUAAUAAUUUCAGAUAGUUUAGUUUUUGUUUCAAAUUAUUGUUUGUAUGAUGGUUAUGAACUAAAGCUUUUAUUCUGUCUAGGAUUAUGAUGUCACAGUACUAAAACAACAAAUGUUUUUUGUGGUUUAUGCAUUUGGCUGUGUGAACUUCUUUUGUAAUUUUCUUGAUUACAUCUUGUUAUCAAAGAUGGCGAAUACUUAUUUUCUUGCGAAGGCAGAAGUAUGCACAGAGACGGUAGCCAAAUGCCAUGACAAGCAGAACCCCCUGUUCUUGCAAACCGCCAUUCGCAAGACCAGCCUGAGAUGCCGUAUGCAUGAAAGACAAGUACUUCAACCAGUGCAUGAAUUUGGGUAUGUGCUGCAUUUCGUGUUCAAAAGCUCGUCACUUUUUAUUAUGAUUAAUUAGAAAGAGUAUCCAUCCAAAUCAUAGUUUGGGGUACCUCCGUACCUGAACAUAGUAACCAGCAACAACCCCUUGACCCUAAACCCCAAGAAAGUGACCAUAAGUGUACUUAUACAUACCAUCUUUAGAAUAACAUCUUCUGUCUUCUGGUCCCUCCAGGAGGAGUCUUAAUAGUCUGUAUUUUUCACUUGCUGUCAUAACACAUGUUUGGACCAACUUUUAUAUUUGCACCAGCUUGAUCCUCAAAUUAGCGAUGCAAGCCUCCUUGUAUCGCAUAUUUUUCAGGAAACGGCACGAGUAAUCCGAGCCAAAUUGGAUCCUGUAAUUGUGUGAAUCUCCGGGAGAGGAGAGAUAUGUAUUGAGCGUGUAUAUAUAACGUUACAAGAGAUAGGAUCAAAUCUAUCCUAGGAUCUUAGAUAUAUACAAAUAUAAGAUUCCUAUAUAUCUACGCUAACACCCUCCCGCAGUCGGAGCUGGAGGUUGCCGAACACUCAGGCUGGACCGAAAAUCUUGAAAUAGAGUAGUAGGAAGUCCUUUGGUGAAUAUGUCUGCAUACUGUAGAGAAGAAGGGACAUGGACGACCCGAAUAUAGCCUAGUGCAACACGCUCUCGUACAAAAUGUAUGUCAAUCUCCACAUGCUUUGUGCGUUGAUGCUGAACCGGAUUGGUGGAAAGAUAUACAGCACUCACAUUGUCACAAAACACAACCGAAGUCUUGGGAAUAGGAAUGCGCAUCUCGACAAAAAGGUUCCGAAGCCAAGUAAGCUCAGCCACGGCAUUUGCUACACCUCUAUACUCAGCCUCUGCGCUUGACCGUGAGACAGUUUGUUGCCGCUUCGAUGACCAAGAAAUGAGAUUAUUACCAAGGAACACACAAUAGCCGGAGGUGGACCGCCGUGUCGAUGGACAACCGGCCCAAUCAGCAUCCGAAUAUGCAACCAUAGCCGUAGGCGAUGAGCGAUAGAGCUGAAGACCAUGUGAAAUGGUCCCCUUGACGUAUCGAAGAAUUCGUUUCAAGGCAUUGAAGUGGUCUUCUCGUGGAUCGUGCAUGAAGAGGCACACUUGUUGAACGGCGUAUGAGAUGUCCGGUCUAGUGAAGGUGAGAUACUGAAGGGCGCCGGCGAGACUUCGGUAGAGAGUGGGAUCCGUAACCGGCGGGCUCGUGGAAGUGGUCUCGUCAAGUUUGGGCUUGGUGUCAACCGGAGUGAGGCAAGGGUUACAAUCCGUCAUGUUAGCUCGAUGGAGUAUGUCAGCCGCAUAGUUUUGCUGAUGUAGAAAUGUUCCCUUGGCAUUUCGUAUGAUGGAGAUCCCGAGAAAAUGAUGGAGUGGCCCGAGAUCAGUCAUAGCAAAAUUAGAAUGAAGGGCUGAGAUGACUGUUGGUGUCGGAUCCCGCACCAGAAGUCCGAGACCAACCAAAGAUUGCCACGUAGUCAAGAUAAAGGCCCAUAAAGGAUAAAGCCCAUUGGAUCUGUGAGCCGAAGGAACGGUCGAAGUGGUUAUCACCACUUCGAGAGUUCGAAGUGACUGCUCUUUGACAUGAGAUCGGUGUAGAAGACACGGGUAAGUCGGUUCAAGGAUACUUGGGCCAAAAGGCGAAGCCCAUGAAGAUCAGAGUCAAUUCAAAUUCAAACGUUAAGGCAUUAAAGCCGAAGAUCAAAACGGACACAUUUAAGAGAGAAUAAUUACACUUAAUUAGCCACUUUAAAUGUCGUUUCUCUAUGUAUAAAUAUAAAGGCCAAUGGCCAUGUAAGGGGGAUCUUCCUCUCAAGAAAGAAAUACUAUAGCAAUUUUCGUAGCAAUUUAGAAGUUUUUACCUAUUCAUUUUUGUCCCUCAAGAAUAAUCUUUCCUACUUAAUAAAAUACUUGAGUGUGUGAAUCCGACAUCCACAUUUUGGCGCCGUCUGUGGGGAGAAUUAGGAUUCUUGAGUGGUCAGAUUUUUUCUUUACUACACUUCCGAGAUAAGCAACAAUGUCCGGAGGAGACACCGUUGAGACAUCAUUGGCUGAAACCCUCAAAGCUAUGCAGCAAACCAUGUCGGACAUAUCACAAAAGUUCUCGGAUGUGGAAAAGGCCGUCGAUACGUUGCAAACAUCCCAGGUAUCUCUUAGUCAAAAUGUCAAUACUAUACAAACUCGUGUUCGCUCUUUAAGUGCAGGAAACCUUGUGGGAAUCCGAAGAGGGAUAUUCAACUCGCCAAGUUCCGCUACACGAAAUGAAACCAGCGGACAAACAACUCCCGGUGCUACUAAUAAUGUAGUUCAGACGUUGGAAGAAGAGACACAGCUUGGAGAUGAAGAACAACUUGCAGCUCAAUACGAGCAGGAGAACCUCGACCAGUUCGAGACCAUGAGGAAGGUUAGCCAGGAAUUAAAAGAAAUGAAAUCGAAAUUUCAUCAAGCUACAAGUUCGGAGCCAGACAUCAAUCGAGUCAUCGAAGAAGCUAGGCGAACACCUUUUAUCUCGCGAAUUGCAAGUUUGAGGAUCAAAGACUCCCGAAAACUCAAGUUGGACCCUUACAGCGGAUUGGAGGAUCCAAAAAGCUAUCUCGCAGCUUUUCUGAUCGCUGCUGGAAGAGUCGAAUUGGAUGAAGCUGAUGAGGACGCAGGCUACUGCAAGCUUUUUUCGGAGAAUCUAUGUGGCCAAGCUCUAAUGUGGUUCACCCAAUUAGAGCCGGGUUCGAUCAGCAAUUUCGGCGAACUAUCAGCUGUAUUCUUAAAGCAAUACUCCAUCCUUAUGGAUAAAAGCGUUUCGGAUGCCGAUCUUUGGAACUUAUCGCAAGGAUCUAAUGAGUCACUUCGAGUUUUCAUCACCAAAUUCAAAGGAGUGCUGUCAAAACUCCCAAGAAUCUCACAGCAAUCAGCUUUAUCUGCCCUACGAAAAGGAUUGCGACAUGAUUCAAGGUUUAAAGAAGACUUAAUACUUCAUAAACCAGACACAAUUCAGGAUGCACUCUUCCGCGCGAACAACUGGAUGGAGGUAGAGUACGAAAAAGAAAGUUUUGCCAAAAGGAAUAAACAAGAAAAGCCGGCAAUCACCGUCCCUACCAAGAAGUUCGAGCCUAGGGAGAGCAAAGGACCAAGGAAAUUUGGGUCGCAACCCUUCAACAGUACCGUCGGAAAGCAAUUCCAAGGGAAAGGAAGAUCAAACACUUGGGUCCGUGAUGAAAGUCUAUAUUGCGAUAUUCAUAAAGUAACCGGGCAUUUAACCAAGGAUUGCAGCGUUCUUAAAAAGCACCUCGCAGAGCUUUGGGCCAGUGGAGAUCUUUCCAAAUUCGAUAUAAAAGAUUUUGUGAAGGAAUACCACGAAGCGAAGGAAAACUCCAAAGAUCAAGAUUUCAAAAGACCAAGGUUAUCCAACGAGGAAGAACCAAGGAGUUCGAAGGGUAAGAUCAAUGUGAUUCUAGGAGGUUUCAAGUUUUGCGGAGAUUCGAUAAGUUCCAUCAAGAAACAUAGACGAAAUAUCCUACUCAAAGCAAGCUUAAGCGAGGAAGUCGAUUUUCAAGGUGCAUCGAUAUCAUUUAAUGAAGAAGAAACGCGGUACCUCGAAAGACCGCAUGAUGAUGCUCUAGUCAUUACCCUUGACGUUGCUAACUUCGAAGUAUCAAGGAUCCUUAUAGAUACAGGCAGUUCGGUCGAUUUGAUCUUUUUAAGUACUCUAGAAAGAAUGGGAAUCAGUCGAGGAGACAUAGUAGGACCCCCAUCUCCGUUAGUUGCGUUCACAAGCGAGUCAGCCAUGUCUCUCGGAACAAUCAAGCUACCGGUCCUUGCCAAGAAGGUAUCGAAGAUCGUGGACUUCGUUGUCUUUGAUAAGCCCGCAGCUUACAACAUCAUCCUCGGGACUCCCUGGAUUUAUCGAAUGAAAGCAGUCCCCUCUACAUACCAUCAAUGUAUCAAAUUUCCAAUAUCAAAUGGGGUGGAAACAAUUCGGGGAGAUCAAGAAGCUUCACGGACGUGUUACCUAGCUAGCCACCGUAUGAAGAUUCAAUAGCAAUUAACGAAGCCCGCAAAAGAGGGACUAAGAACAAAAUUUCCUAGCGGGCAGAAGAAGGAUGAUGUAGUAAUCGAAGUGGUGUUGGAAGAAGACAAGCCGGACCGAAAAAUUCGAAUUGGAGCAACUCUGACUGGCCAGAUAAAAGAAGCUUUGGUCGAACUUUUAAAGAGAAACAAAACAUCGUUUGCAUGGUCAGCAGCAGACAUGCCUGGUAUAGAUCCAAGUAUAAUCUGUCACGAGCUAAACGUAGAUCCGAGCUUCAAGCCGGUAAAACAUAAAAGAAGAAAGCUCGGAGUGGAGCGAGCCAAAAUAGUAAAUGACGAAGUAGAUAAACUUUUGAAGAUAGGAUCCAUAAGAGAAGUGCAAUACCCGGAAUGGAUAGCAAACACUGUCGUUGUCAAAAAGAAGAAUGGGAAAGAUAGGGUUUGCAUCGAUUUCACAGACCUAAAUAAAGCAUGUCCUAAAGAUAGUUUCCCACUCCCACAUAUAGAUCGACUUGUAGAGUCCACCGCUGGGAACGAGUUGUUAACAUUCAUGGACGCCUUCUCGGGUUACAAUCAAAUAGUGAUGAACCCCGAAGAUCAAGAAAAGACGUCAUUUAUCACAGAUAGAGGUAUCUAUUGUUAUAAAGUGAUGCCUUUUGGUUUGAAAAAUGCAGGAGCAACUUAUCAACGGUUGGUUAACAAGAUGUUCCAUAAUCAUCUCGGGAAAACAAUGGAAGUCUACAUAGAUGAUAUGCUGGUUAAGUCGUUAAAGAAAGAGGAUCACGUUAAGCAUUUAGAGGAAUGUUUUGAUAUUCUCAAUAAAUAUCAAAUGAAGCUGAACCCGGCGAAGUGCACAUUUGGAGUCCCAUCCGGAGAAUUUCUUGGUUAUAUCGUGACAGAAAGAGGAAUCGAAGCCAAUCCAAAUCAAAUUAACGCCUUUCUGAACAUGCCCUCUCCAAAUCAAAGCGGCUCUGAAUCGUUUUAUCUCGAGAUCAACAGAUACGUCGUUGCCUUUCUACCAAAUUCUAAAAGGGAACAAAGGAUUCCUUUGGGAUGAGAAGUGUGAAGAAGCUUUUGGGCAGCUUAAGGCAUACUUAACCACUCCGCCUAUAUUGUCCAAACCGGAAGUGGAUGAAAAACUUUAUUUAUACGUAUCGGUUUCAAACCACGCGGUUAGUGGAGUCUUGGUUCGGGAAGACCGUGGGGAGCAGAAACCAAUUUACUACGUGAGCAAGUCAAUGACGGAUCCGGAAUCCAGAUAUACAAUGAUGGAAAAACUCGCACUCGCGGUGGUGAUAUCUGCUCGGAAGCUACGCCCGUAUUUUCAAUCCCAUCCGAUUGAGGUAUUAACCAAUCAGACACUCCGAACAAUACUUCAUAGUCCAAACCAGUCCGGACGAUUGGCGAAAUGGGCGGUGGAAUUAAGCGAGUACGACAUAGAGUUCAAAAGCCGGAUCAGUAUGAAGGCUCAGGUCUUAGCAGAUUUCCUGACCGAACUACCAAUACCUGGAACGAUGGAACAACCGGAGAACCAAACUUGGAAAUUACACGUAGAUGGGUCUUCAACAAAACAAGGAUCCGGAGUGGGAAUCAAGUUGGAGUCUCCAACGUCAGAAAUUCUAGAACAGUCAUUCCGGUUGUUAUUCAAUGCCUCCAACAACGAGGCAGAAAUUCUAGAACAGUCAUUCCGGUUAUAUAAAAAUUUCUCGAAAUUCGAAUUAAUCCGCAUACCUCGGGGAGAGAAUACAACUGCGGACGCACUUGCAGCAUUGGCAUCAACAUCAGAUCCUGAGUUAAAGAGAGUUAUUCCAGUGGAAUGCAUUUCGGAGCGAAGCAUUCAAGACAGCAAAGAAACCCUCGUCGUUACAAGAUCUCGAGCAACGGUACGUGACCGUGGCGAACCAGAUAUCGAACCACCACCCAACAAACGAAGGAAGUCAAAAGGAUCGAAUACAUCUAACAAGGAACCCGUUGUCUUAGCUGAAGAAGUAAUUCCAGAAACGAUGUUAGAGACCGAGCCAUUAUUCGAGGAGGAUAUUCUUGAAACAAACGAGCAUCCCGAGCCAAAGCCACGAGUAUUUCACAAGGUUGACCAAAUUCCGGCUAAAGACUGGGGAGCUGACUGGAGGGAGCCAAUAAAGCACUACAUCAUGACAGGUGAGCUCCCAAAGAAUAAAUGGCAGCGCAGGAAAAUGAAAAUCGUUAGCGCGAAAUUUUGUCUGUCAAAGGAUGCGUUAUAUAAACGAGGUGUCAGUGACCCUUACCUAUUAUGCAUUUUUGGGCCCGAAAUCGAAAUCGUCAUGAGCGAAGUGCAUGAAGGAUUAUGUGGGAGUCAUUCAUCAGGAAGAGCUAUGGCUUUUAAAGUUAAAAGAAUGGGGUAUUAUUGGCCCACUAUGAUCACAGAUUGUGUUAAGUUCGCCCAAAGAUGCAAGCGCUGCCAACUCCACUCACCAUUGAUCCAUCAACCGUCGGAGUUAUUCUCCUCCAUUUCCGCCCCAUACCCGUUUAUGAGGUGGUCAAUGGACAUCAUUGGACCAUUACACAAAUCAACUCGAGGUGUACAAUACCUUUUAGUCCUUACGGACUACUUUUCAAAAUGGAUUGAAGCUGAGGCGUAUGUUGGUAUCAAGGAUUCGGCGGUGAAGACCUUUAUUUGGAAAAACAUUAUAUGUCGACAUGGAGUUCCAUACGAAAUAGUCACUGAUAAUGGACCGCAAUUCAUUUCACACGAGUUUGAUGCCUUUUGUGCGGACUGGGGAAUUAAAGUUAGUUAUUCUACUCCACGAUAUCCGCAAGGAAACGGUCAAGCUGAAGCCGCGAACAAGACAAUAUUAGGCAACCUCAAGAAGCGCUUAAGUCAUCUAAAGGGAGGAUGGUAUGAAGAACUCCAACCCGUCCUGUGGGCCUAUCGUACAACCCCUAGGCGACCUACAGGAGAAACUCCAUUCUCUUUGGUUUACGGCAUGGAGGCGGUAGUACCAGCUGAACUCAAUGUGCCCGGACUUCGCCGAACAGAAGCACCGUUAAAUGAGAAAGAAAAUUCAGCAAUGCUUAAUGAUUCACUAGAUACCAUAAAUGAAAGGCGUGAUCAAGCUCUAAUUCGGAUCCAGAAUUACCAGCAGGCAGCAGCCCGGUAUUACAAUUCUAAGGUUAAAAGUAGGCUUUUCUUCGUGGGAGAUUAUGUAUUAAGGCGCGUCUUUGACAACAAAAAAGAAGAAGGUGCCGGUAAACUCGGUAUUAAUUGGGAAGGACCUUACAUUAUUACCGAAGUGGUUCGGAACGGUGUUUAUAGGUUGAAAGACUUAGAAGGCAAUCCGGUCAAGCGACCUUGGAAUGUGAUCAACCUAAAGAAGUUUUAUGUUUAAAAGCUACAUGCAUUGUUUAUGUACAUGAACUACGAUGUGGCUUGAUCCCGAAAUGGGUACGUAGGCAGCUCGGAAACGAGUUCAGCUAUUAAUAAAAAUUUGUUUUAUUUCUUUACUAAAGGAAAAAGGUUCGACUAUGCGAACGAGUGAAGCAAAUAGAAGGUUCGGCUAAGCGAACAUACAAGAAAUUGGGAAUAGAACGUUUAUUCAAAAAACGGAAUGUCCCUCAUCGUACACUUCGGACUAUGAAAAUCUUGUUGACGAGCAGAACACUUCAACUCCUUGACCAGCAAGAUCGAGGAUUGGCAUCAUGCAGUCCGGAAUGCGAGCAAAGUCAGAAAUUCCAAGCUCAAUCCACUCUCCGGGGUGAGAUUCAAGGAUGUGAAGAUCUCUUGACACCAUAGUAAGCCUGCGUCGCAUCCGGUUAAUCCUCUUCCGAAGUCUCCUUUUCACCAACAUAAGCCUCCGAUGUUGAAGCUCGAGUGCCUCUAUGAACGCCGUCGCUGUUCCUUGGUCUCUGAUUGGGAGAUCCCUGAUCAAAGCACAUGGGGCUCGGAUCUGAGAUCUUAAGACGCCGCGAGGUGGAGGAGGCUGCCUGUUUGGCUCAUUUGGAACAUCUUCGCUCAUCAUUCCGAUUCUGGAGAAGUCAGGAACCCCAUAUCCUUAGCAAGCUGCGGAUUCUAUCCAAAGAAUGGAGUGAUUCGCGGAGAGAUUUAUGCCCUCGAACAGAUCCUGCAUUAAAAGACGCAUCUCCGAGAAUAUUUGAAAAGAAAGGAAAGUCGAGAAUAUUUCCAUAAAUAAAAAGGGGCCGAAGCCCAUUACGAGUUUAAAGUAAGUAAAAAAGUUAGAGGACAUUUAUGGAAGAGGCUCAGGAACAGGCUCCUUCAUCGCCGGUUUAGUCUUCGAAGUGGACGCCUUGUUCUUGGCAUCCACUUCGGGAUGAUCCCAAACGCGUUUCCGACAGGUGCUGGCCUCCUCUUCGUCUUCUUCUUCGCUGUCAGAUGGAACGGCGCAAACGGGAGCGUUCACGGGACCCGGGACUCCUUUAGCGCGGAGAUACAUCCGAAGCAUCUUCGGGAUCUCAGCGACGGAGUCGAAGUUCCGCCACUCCCAUUGAAAGGGGUCACUUUCCAAGGCCCGUAUCUUCCUUUCCACCCGAGCAAUGCGAGCCUCGAGUGUUUGCCUUUUAAGGCCCAGCCGCUGCCUCUCUUCACACAAGCGACGGUGCUUGUCGGCGACCUAGCAUAACGAUGAGUGAAUAAGAUGAAACAAAAAGUUUUUAAAAAAAAAACUUCAAAUAUUUACCUUGUCAAUAAAAUCGCAAGCCUCUUUCUUCUCCUUUGAAGGAAAGUGAAAGACGGCGUGAGGGAAGAGAACGCCGGCCGGUUCAAAGCCGUCGCCGGACAAGAAGAGUGGGCUGCCGGGAUCAACGGGGGCUACUUUUUCGUUUUCCAUUCUUGAAAUAUUUCUCAAGUAAGAUUCUAAAAUCAUGUUUAAAUAAAGCUUAGAAGUAGGUAAGCCUUUAUUUAUAAUGAUUUAGGGUUUGUCUUGGAACCAUAAAUCCAAUAAUGGCAGUGUGUCCGAGUGGUUUAAACCAUUUUUGGAAAAUCGAGAAAAGGCAUUUAUUGCAUUAAAGACGAGCCGUUUUCCUUACUUAUAAGAAGGGAAAGAGCAACCGUCGCAUUAACUAUAAAAGUUUCUAAGGCCCAAGCUUAAUAAAAUUAUUGAGUUGACUAAACCCGAAGUGGGGAACUCGCUUUAAGCCGAGCUCAGUUCUCGCAUUCUUAAGAGAAAGGUCUGAUCAGCCUAAAAAAAUCUCAAAAGCAUAACCACAAGGCCACAAAAGGUUAAAAGCGGACUUUGCAAACCCGCAUAUAAUUUUAACCAAACCCCCUUGGGUCAUAACCUAGAAAGGUUUAAAAGCCUCCUCAGGCAAAUAUCUUGUUCAAAAGAAAAUAAUAAAGCCUCCUUAGGCAAAGACAAGUUCGAAAUUAAGUUUUAAAAUAAAUGGGACAAUUCCCAAUUAAAAGUGGACGCAACCACUACGGAGUGAUAUUCACCUCGGACCCCGGCUCAGCAACCGAAGUUUCGUUCACCUCCUUAGCUGGUGCUUGGUCGGAUGGAGCUCUUGGUCCGCCCUCUACAUUACAACCAUCUUCCGGAGUGACCGCCGGUGCUACAGGUACUUCGGGUGGGACGACAUCCUCCGCCUCACUUGAACCUGGGAAGGACAAUCCCAGUCAACUUUAAAAACACAUAAGGUGAGGAAAAGGUAGUAAAUGUCAGGAGCCAAGCAUUACCUGCCCAGUCUAGACCUGAUUCACUUAUAGGAGGCGAUUCAGUGAAGAAUUCCUCGAAGUCCUGAGGGUUGAAGGUCGAAGUAGGAAGAGCUGCCAAGCGACUCCGCUUUUCAGAAAGAUUAGUCGACAGUUCGGUCCUUUCUUGCUCCUCGGAGAAAUCUGUUUCAUGGAUUUGGUCCAGCAAAAUCAGGUUGCUCUUAUGCUCCUUGAUGUCUGAUUCCAAGUCUGACCUAGCCUUCUCGGUCUGCAUGAAGCGGAUGGCCCCUUGAAUCAACUCCAUCCCGCGUCCCUUAACCUCCUUUCUGGCCUUCGAUGCCGACCUUGCCAACUCGGAGUCACGUAAUUUGGCGAUCGCCUUGUACUUCGCGUUAAGCUCAAUAAGUUGGUUGUUCAGGGAAUCAGCGUUUGAUUCGGAUUCUUGAAGCCUACCCUGAACACCAGAAAACUCUUCCUGGAGCUUGAAGUUCUGGUCGUACUGACCCUGCAGCUCCCCCUUAAUCUUCGCCAGUUCGGAUGUUAGAUUGUCGACCUUGUCUUCCAGUUCGUGCUUGGAGCCGGUAGAAGAGCUUAACUCAGCCUCAAGAGCAUAAAGCUUUUUCUUCCACACGUCAAUCUCCUUUUCCCGACCAAGGACCAGCCCUUCGUAGUGUUCGAUCAUGUCGUUGAGUUCGCCGUGAGCCUGGUAUUAUACAUAAACCCGGGAUGGAGAGUCAGUUCGCUGAAUGGCAAUGCAAAAAAAAAAAAACAAAAACAAAAACGGAACUAACCCGAGAUGAGUGAUGCGCGUGAAGCAAAUAGCGUUCACGAAUCGCAGGGCGCCACUUGUCGAAAUCUGGCAAGAUUGAACCCGAUCGGGUCUUGAAGCAUCGGAAGACAUGCCUUCCUUCUCCAUAGCUGCGAAGAAGGAAGAGUUGUAAAAAAUUGGAAUCUUAAUAGAAACAAAAACGUUAGAGUAUGUGUAAAUCACCGAACCUGAAAGCGAUUUGACUUGAGGGACAAGAACGGGCUUUAACCUCGAGGAAGCAUCUCGAGAUUCAGAAUCUCCCUUUUUAGGAGAUGCACUCCGAGCAGUCUUUUCGCUGUCGGGUUGAGAAGGGGAAGACAUAUCAACCGGUCGUGGAGGACCCAUUGGUUCAUUAGGAGGAGAUGAUCGAGGUGAACGAUCAGUCUGGGCCCUUGACUUUUCCCUUCGCGGGGAAGAAUCACUGCGAGAGUACUUGUCUCUCUUCCGGCGAACCAUCUCGGGGAGGACGAGGUGAAUCACGGCGAGGAGAUCGGUCCCUCCGAGGAGAAUGUGAAUCAUGACGACCGCGACGAGGAGUUAAUCUGAAAGAAGCAACGGAUCUGGCCCCUUCGGUGCUGCCAUCAUCAACCAGCAGGGUCCUACUGUAGUCCUUAUUGUCUAUAGAAGUCGCGAGAAACUUUUUCUUCUCCUCGCAAGCCUCAGCCAUCGGCUUGGAAAGCAUCUUACGCUUGGCCGCAAGGGCCCGAGAUGACAUCCCCUGAAUUGAGGGAGGAGGCGGAAGUUGGUGAAGAUGACCAGGUGGACUCAUCCUGAGUCUGUGGUUAGCUUCUAGGAAUCGUUCAAGAGUGAAAGAAUUCCAAAGGGUUUCCCCUUCAAGAAUUAUUUUGAAGAAUUCGAUGAACUCUGCAGAUGGGAGAGUGGAAGCGACGAAAGCUGCGAAAUGAAACAACGGUGUUAGUCAAUAAAGAUAAAGAAACAACCGGGAAAGAUACGGGCGACCUAAUCUCUACCAGGUUUCGCAGACCACUUCGAAGGGAGAAAAUCUGCAAGAUUUCCAAUCGAAGCGGGAGUUUUCUUAAUCAGAAACCAAGGAUGAUGCCAAUUUUCAUCCUUGUUCGGAAGAUGUGAAAUGAUGUUCCUGUUGGCGUUAGGAUAUGCUGAGAAAUACCCCGUUUUCUUCGAUGAACUUCUCACGCUUAGAAGCUCAUUUAGUUCAGUAACUCCGACAAUGUAUCCGGCCUCCGCCGCGAUUGUUAUAAUUCCAAGAAUAGUACGGAGAAGAUUGGGGGUUAAUUGAGGAAGAGCGAUUUCAAGAGCCGCUAGGUAUCGAACUAGGGCUUCGGGAAGAGGAAAAGUCAGCCCGCAACCCUUAAAAUAGAUCUCAUAUACACAGAAAUAGCCGUCGCGAUAGUUUUCUGGGGACUCCGUAGGAUCAGCUAUCUGCGCCUCCGCCAUAAUUCCCGAUGGGAUUCGGCAGAGCUCUUUCAAUCGUUCGAGGGACUGAAGGGUGCAGGUGGAUCUAUAGUGCGGACCGGCAAUAUCGUUAGAGCGGGUGCACUCGUCAUUGCUAGAACGCCUCUCAUCAAAAGACGGAGACUCGGGUCUAUCGGAAUCGGAAGUCAUUGGGAAGAAAGAAAAAUUCAAGUUUUGGGAAAAAGAAGAGUUUGGAGAGAAAAGUAGAAGGAGUUUUUAACCACAAAGAUCAAGAGUAAAAGUAAUAAUGAAAAAGAAGGUUACCUCACGCAAGCUAGGUGAUAAUGAUGGAACCGUCUUGGAAAUCGUGGAAGAAGUGGGAAGGUUUUUUCCCGCUUUAAUAGUAAAUAAACGAUAUGCGGUCAUAAUGGCGACAGAUGUCACGCGACUAAAUAUGGGUAGCAACAAAAUUAAAGGACUAAUGGGAUCUUGGCGGGAAAAUCAGAAGAUUCCUCGGAACGCAAUCUUUGGUCAUUAAAGCAUUUAAAGUCCUCCGAAUUGGGAUAGCACUUCGAAGAACUUGGGGGGCUAAUUGUUGGUGUCGGAUCCCGCACCAGAAGUCCGAGACCAACCAAAGAUUGCCACGUAGUCAAGAUAAAGGCCCAUAAAGGAUAAAGCCCAUUGGAUCUGUGAGCCGAAGGAACGGUCGAAGUGGUUAUCACCACUUCGAGAGUUCGAAGUGACUGCUCUUUGACAUGAGAUCGGUGUAGAAGACACGGGUAAGUCGGUUCAAGGAUACUUGGGCCAAAAGGCGAAGCCCAUGAAGAUCAGAGUCAAUUCAAAUUCAAACGUUAAGGCAUUAAAGCCGAAGAUCAAAACGGACACAUUUAAGAGAGAAUAAUUACACUUAAUUAGCCACUUUAAAUGUCGUUUCUCUAUGUAUAAAUAUAAAGGCCAAUGGCCAUGUAAGGGGGAUCUUCCUCUCAAGAAAGAAAUACUAUAGCAAUUUUCGUAGCAAUUUAGAAGUUUUUACCUAUUCAUUUUUGUCCCUCAAGAAUAAUCUUUCCUACUUAAUAAAAUACUUGAGUGUGUGAAUCCGACAUCCACAAUGACUUCGUUGAGGAGAGCCGUAGAUGAGGCAGUAAGUGCAAUGUCAUCAACAUAUAAGAGUAAAUAUGCGAUGUCCUUGCCUCGUGGUAAGACAAAGAGAGACGGAUCCGAGAGACUUUGGAUGAAACCAAACUUAGUAGCAAACGUAGAGAAGCGUGUGUACCAAGCCCUUGGAGCUUGCUUAAGGCCAUAAAGGGAGCGUCGUAGGAGACAAACAUGAUCCGGUUUGUUGAUGUCUUUAAAUCCUGGCGGUUGAUGCAUGUAAACUGUUUCCUUUAGAUCACCGUGGAGAAAUGCGUUUUUAACGUCGAGUUGUCGGAGAGGCCAAUUCUUAACUGUGGCUUCAUGUAACACGGCACGUAUCGUAGCUGGUUUGACCACUGGGCUAAACGUCUCGUCACAAUCAAUCCCGGGUUGUUGCGACUUGCCAUUCGCAACGAGUCGGGCUUUGUACCUUGCUAGCUUUCCGGAAGAAUCGAAUUUGUGCCUGUAUAACCACAUAGAACGAAUAAUGUUAGCAGACUUGGGCCGUGGUACAAGUGACCACGUUCCCGUUUUAAUAAGAGCCUUGUAUUCAUCACCCAUAGCCGGAUUCCAAUUUGGAUCCUUUGCCACAUGUACAUGGUUUGAGGGUAAUGGGGAGACGGUAGUGGUAUGAAGGCAAAGUCGAGUGACUGGUUUAAUAAUACCCGAUUUGCUGCGUGUUUGCAUAGGAUGCGAGGCGGCUUGUGGGACAAUUGGUGGUUCUGGUGGAGGUGCUUCGGGAACAGGUAGAACCGGAAGAGGAGGCAAGCGAGGAAUGGGUGGUGGUGUUGCGAUGACCUCUUCUGGUGGUGGUGGUGUCGGCACUUGAGCAAAUGGGAAAAUAUUCUCAUCAAACACCACAUGUCGUGAGAAGAUUAUUUUCUUGGUAGACAUAUCGAGAUAACGGAAGCCCCGGUGAUCAGAUGGGUAGCCAAGGAAGGUGCAUGCCGUGGAUCUUGGGGCUAAUUUGUGGAUGGAAGUUGGAAGUUGGUUUGGAUAGCAAAGUGAGCCAAACACUCGGAGAUCGUCAUAACGUGGUGGCUUGUUGUAGAGACGUGUGAAGGGGACCUCGUUAUUGAUUGCAGCUGACGGCAAGAUAUUGAGGAGGUGAGCUGCCAUGUGUAAAGCUUCUACCCAAUACGACGGUGGCAUGUGAGCUUGGAGGAGAAGUGUGCGAAUCAUGUUGUUGAGUGUUCGCAGCAUACGUUCGGCCUUGCCAUUUUGUUGAGAGGUGUAUGGGCAGGAGAAGCGAAAACUGGUCCCGGUGGCCGCAAAGUGAUCGCGGAAGUGGUGGUUAUCGUAUUCUCGGCCAUUGUCACAUUGGAGAAAGGAGAUUCCGCGAUGAAACUGGGACUGAACCAUCGCCGAGAAGUGUAGAUAUCUGCUAAAAACAUCACUCUUGCGUUUGAUAGGAUAUACCCAAACAAAAUGAGUAUAAUCAUCAAGAAAUAUGAGAUAGUAUUUGAUGCCACUAACACUUGGAACAGGAGAGGUCCAUAAGUCAGAAUGAAUCAACUCAAAGGGUUGUGAAACAAAUGUUGAUGAACGAAAAAAUGGAAGACGAACAUGUUUUCCUAAUUGACACGCAUGACACAAAGUUGUCAAGUCGGUCUUAGCUGUGGAAAUAACACCUGAAGAAGCAAGAGAUUGUAAAACAGUAUAGCCGGGAUGACCAAGACGACGAUGCCACACAUUGGUCGUUGGCGCGUGGACGGAAAAGACAUGCGCUGACGAGACUUGUGGCGUGAUGGUGUAUAGUGGACCAUCACUAUUGCACCGGAGCAGUUUCGUCUGAGUCUGAAGAUCCUUAACACAAAACCCAAACGGAUCAAAUUCCACAGAGCAUUUGUUAUCAGUAACAAAACGUCGAACCGAGAUAAGAUUUUUAACAAUCGAUGGGCUCACAAGAACAUUUUGUAAAUGAAGUGGGCGUGGGGUUGUGGUUAGGGUGGUGGAGCCAGUAUGUGUAACAGGGGCAAAAGAUCCAUUACCAACCAUGAUUGAAGGAACAAGACUUUUAUUAAAAAGGGAACGUAGCGUACCUGGCUGAGUCGCAACGUGAUUGGUGGCGCCGGUAUCCAUCACCCAAGAAUUUCCAGAUGGAUCUUGCAAGGUCAUGGAACUGAAGGCCUGUGGCAGAGUCGCAAGUGGUGGUAUGUUGCUCAUUGGAUACGCAGACUGGGUAAAGUAAGCUUCGUGUUGUGGGCGAGACUGGUUGUAAUUGCCUGGAGAACCACCAGGAGCACCGUAUGGUGGAGAGAUGGCCGGAUGAUAUGAUGGUGGAGCGAAUGAUGGUGGGGCUCCGUACGGUGGUUGAUACAUCCAUGGAUUUUGAUUGUAUCCCCAUGGUGGAGAGUAUCCAAAUUGAUGGUUCUGCCAAUUGUUGCGUCCUCUACCGCGGUUGUGGCGACCUUUUCCUCUGUUUUUGUUGUUGUUGUAGCUACGGCCCGAGUUGUUGUUGUUGUUGGUGUAGUCCUGUGAUUGGCGUUGCUGUGAAUCGUGGUUGGUGAGCAGCACUGUUGGCGAAGAAGCGUUAGUGUUGUGUUGUGGAGAAGGCUUAACUUGCUUGUUGAGGCGCUGUUCUUCCAUCAGUAGCAUAGAGCGAGCCUUAGUGAACGACAUGAAAGGGGUUUGAUGCUGAAUGACAUUGAUGAUGCUGUCAAAUUUGUCGGAUAAGCCAUUGAGCAUGUGCAUGACCAAGGCCCGAUCUGUGACUGGCGAAUCGAGAUUGGCCAGCAAGUCAGAUAGAGAUUUCAAUUUGUGGCUGUAGUCGGUGAUACUCAUAUCGCCGAUCUCAAGAGUACGUAGCUCGUUGUCAUAUUGAAGGGAGCGUGCCUCCUUGUUGUCGCGAAACAAACCUUCAAGCGUGAUCCAGAUGUCACGCGCCGUGGAUUUAGCCUUGAGGAUGGUGUCGAGAAGCUGCUCCGACACGGUUCCGUAAAUCCACAUUUUUACAAGCCCGUCGCGUUCUUUCCACUGCUUUGCAUUUUCAGCGGAUGGCGCAGAGGAGCUUUCGAGAUGUUCCAAGACACCAAAACUGCUGCAAUGGGUCUCGAAGAGCUCGCGCCAGACGUCGUAAUUCAGCUUGGCCAGAUCAAGACGUACGGGGAUGUAACCUCGAAUCUAUGCGAUUCCAAAGGGUUUAUCGGCGGAGAGGGUGACAGCGGUGAUAGAAGAGUAUGUCGACAUCGCCGAUUACUUUAAAAAAUAGAAAAAGAAAAAGGAAAAGAGAAAAUAUAAGAGCGACGAAGAAAGAAAUAGAGCGGAGGAGGAUCGGAGAGAAGCUUUUUAGCUUUGCUCUGAUACCAUGUAAUUGUGUGAAUCUCCGUGAGAGGAGAGAUAUGUAUUGAGCGUGUAUAUAUAACGUUACAAGAGAUAGGAUCAAAUCUAUCCUAGGAUCUUAGAUAUAUACAAAUAUAAGAUUCCUAUAUAUCUACGCUAACAGAUCCACUAAAGCGAACUCAACAGCCCUCUAGCAACUCCAAAUCCUACCUUCCUACUUGGUUCAGAAUUUUUGAUCAUGCCAAAACAAAACAAAAAACUUCUCCACCGGGCCUCUUGCGCUUCUCAUCUACAGUGGAAGACUCAUUCAUCAAAGUAGGACUUUGAGAUAACAUUGAGUUUAGAAAAAUAGAAAUUAUUGUACCAUUGGAAUGACCUAACUUGAAGAAGGCAGCAGAAUUGAUCAUGAUAUUACAACGAGACCAGAAACAGUUUCAGUAAACUUAGGGUACUUUAAGAACAAUGAAGUAACUAAUAAGAACAGCUUCGAAUCCGUAAUCUUUAUGUGGAUCUUUUUCAUCAUUCUUCCAGGGGAAAAUUUGCAUCCACAAACCUUUGGCUCUUAUUGCUCUCACUCCGCAAAGAUAGACAAUAAAUAUAGCUCUUGAAUGGUAUUAAAAAGUAACUGACACUACAAGAAAUACAGCAUUUUCCUACGGUCAAAAUCGUAGGAAAUUGGUAGGAAAUAGACGUUUCUUACCAAUUUCCUACGAAAUAUAUUUGAAGGGAAUCGCCCGUAGGAAAUAUAAUUUGGUAGGAAAUUUGUGGGAAUUUUCCUACGAAACCGGUUCGUAGGAAAGCGCGUAGGAAAUUUCGUAGGAAAUUGGUAAGGCUUUUUCACCAUUUUCCUUCCAAAUUUUCGUAGGAAAUUUAAGUAGUCCUACAACUUUCCUACGAAAUAUUUCUCACUAAUUACCUACCAAAAUUAUCUUACCAGUUUCUUACGAUACACCUCCUACCAAAUUUCUACCAUUAUCCUUCAAAAUUUCAGAGACAAUAUUAAUAAAAUUAUUUAUAUUUAUUUGUUACAAAUUUUGGUUUUUUGAAUAAAUUAAAUUUAAAAUUCAAAAAAGACUUAUAAUUAAAUUAAAAAUUAAACUCCAUACAAAUUAAAAUUUAUUGUACAGUCAUUCUAAUAUAAAGAUUCAAAUCCUAAUCGAUCUACUCUUGAGUCUCGUCGUCAUCGUCAUCUAUGCUCGUCUUCGUCGUCUUCGUCGUCUCAUUUUGCCCUUUCGGAUAAUCCGGUGGUUGAAUUUGUGCAAAUUGUUGGAGGAGGAGCUUGUUCCAUAAGAUAUUUGAGUUGACGAUCCUUCUCAAGGUCACGGUCCUUGAGAGUUUGAAUCUCUUCAAGUAACGAUAUGCAAAAGGCAUGGAGAUCUAAACAUUGAAAAACCAGAGCAGGCAAAGAAAGAAAUGUUACAAGAACAAAGAAAAUUAUAGCUACAUUAAUGUUAGACUGUAAUACACAGUUAAGCUAGAAACACACCAAGUCUUUGUAUUGUUAGACAACAUCAAUAAAAGAUCUCAAAGUAAUGAAGAUAGCAAGAUUAUUAAAAAAAAAAAAAAAACAGUGCAUCAGGAAGUGUUUGUACCUAAUCUUAGCAGCUCCUUUACCUCCAGCUCCACCACUAGAACCUGCAGCCGCAGCUUCAGCAGCUUUAUUAACUGCCUUCUCUUGCAAUGCUUUUCCAUCUCUGUAUCAUUCAUUACACAACAACCACAAAGAUCGAAUGAUUACACAACAACAACACAGAUUGAAUCAUUACACAAUAACAACACAGAUUGAAUCAUUACACAAUAACCACGCAGAUCAGAGUAAUCCAACUAAAGAAUCGUUUAUACCUUUCACGGCGUUGCUCCGGCUUCAAACCAUUGUUACUAUUCUUACCCUUAUCACCAGCGGCUCUUUCACGGUCACGCUCUCUCUGACUUCCAUGUGACGCAUCAAAAAUCAAAAGCUUGAAUCAAAGAAAACAACAAACUUUGUUCUAGUUUCACAAAUUCAGAAUCUUCUAAGUAAGAUUCGAGAAAGAGUCAACAAGAUCUAGUCUUUAUACAAACCUUAACAGUGAAUCAAACAGAGCAAUCUAGAAACGCCGGUGGACCAUUUCUCCGGUUUCCUAUUGGGUAGAAUGAUUUUAGUUGGUAAACGAGACUUGGGUGAUUGAUCUUGAGGAAUCGGUGGUGUUGCUGAAAUACUAGAAAUGGUUUCUUGGUGUUGGAAACUUGAUCCUGUUCUUCUUGUGGAUUCUCAACAGUGGCGGUUGUUGUUGUUGUUGCCGGAGCGAGAACGAUGUUCCUCUCCGAUGGGAUUUGUGCCGGAGCCGGUGUUACUACUUCCAUCGCCAUCUUUCUUCGAUCGAUCACUCUUCUUUUAGUCUCUUUGCGUAACUUUAUCAAACCCAGAAGCUAUUAACAGAGAAGGGCAAUCAAAGUAAAGAAGAGACCGGCACCGGUGCUGGAGGAGCCAUGGAGGAGACGGUCGCCGCCGUUGGUUGUUGUCGAAACCAAAAUGAUAAUAACGAUUUUUGUGUUAGGGAUUUUGUUCUCUUCUUUUAAUAAUUUUUCUUCUAAUAAAAAUCUCUACGUGUUAUAAACCACAUGUUGGAUGGACUCCAUAACCGUGGACCUUAUGCAUAUUCUAGAAGGCCCAUGUCCAUGUCCUAGAAGGCCCAUGUCCAUGUUCUUGAAGAUUCUCCUUAUGACGGCCUAUAUUGUACUUAGUGGGCUUUUGGGCUUUAGGGUUUACUAGCCCAAUGGGGAUUUGUCUCCCCUCAUCAUGUAUAUAUAUGUAUCGAAAUCUCAUUCAUUAAUCAAUAGAACAACACAGUUUACAACACGUUAUCAGCACGACUUGCUCUUAACGAAAACCCUAAAACCCUAACCCUAAAAAUCGCGGCACUGUUCAUCGCCGACACUGUUCAUCUCGGUACUGUUCAUCGCCGUACUGUUCAUCGCCGUACUGUUCAUCGCGGGUACUGUUCAUCGUGGCACUGUUCAUCGUGGUACUGUUUGCGGUUCGUUGCAGCAGCGUGAGUUACCGAGGUCUUUAGCUCCCGGUUCUAGUCCAUACAACCCCAUAAGGUGAAAGGUAACAUCAAAACCCUAAAGCUAAAGAACCAACAAUUGAACUUGAAAGUUAAGCAAAGAGAAACCCUAAAACGAAUGAUGAUUGAUUAAGUGAUUGCUUUGCUUGUAUGAUUUGAUUGCUUGUUUGAUCCGAUUGCUUGUUUGCUCGAUUGUUUGACUCGUUUAGAUUGCUAGAAAAAGUUGAUUAUCGCUUAAGCUAAACUCGCCUAAGUUGCUAGAGAAGUUUUAAUUGUCUAAACCUAAAAUCGCAAAACGAAAAUACAUAAGCUAAUAACCGAAACUUUAAAGGUCUAAAAACCUAAAACCUAAAACGAAUCUAAUCCAAAAAAUUCCAUAAGUUUAAAUCGGCUUGAUUGAGAUUGUUUAGGUUGUUAGAUUGUUUGCUCCUUUGAUUGAUUACAUGCUUAACACCCUAAAACUAAAAUUGCAUGAACCCUAGAAAACUUAGAAAAGAUAAUCCUAAAAGAAAUCUCAAAACCCUAAAACCUAAAAUCCUAAAUAAAAUAGGAAACCCUAAAAUCUAGGAAACCUUAAAAUCCUAAAUAAAAUAGGAAACCCUAGAUAAUAGGAAAUCUUAACAACCCUAAAUCCUAAAUAGGGAAUCUUAAAAUCCUCAAUAAAAUAGGAAACUUUAAAAUUCUAAUAGAAAGCAUGAAAACCUAAAUAAAAUCCUAAAUCCUAUUGUACUCUAAAUCCUAAUUAAAUUAGGAAAUUCAUAAAUCCUAUUCAAGAUAGGAAAACUUUAAGAAAUAGAAAAUUUCCAAAAACUUUAAGAAAUAGAAAAUUUCCAAAUCCUAAUUAAAAUAGGAAAUCUUAAAAUCUAAAAUCAUAAGUGAAAUAGGAAAAUUAAUCCUAAAGUAAAGAGGAAAGUAAAUCCUAAAAAGGAAAAGGAAAAGUUAAUCCUAAUAAAAAGAGGAAAUCUAAUCCUAAGCAAAAGAGGAAAGUCAAAUCCCUAAGUAAAUCGAUUCAUGGUUCGGUCUCAAAUACCGCAUGACACUAACGAUUACAUGAUUUUGACUCAAAACUUUUCCUUGUAGAUGUUGAAUUACAACUUGUACUUUACUGCCCUAAAUUUCUUAGGAGAUAAUUAUUUUAAAAUGGGCAAUGGAUACUAAGAUUAUCCUAAAGUCAAAAGGACUUGGUGAAUGUAUCUAAUAAGGCAAGAAUGCCAAGAGAGAAAGAUAGAUACAAGACAAUAUUAGCCACCAUCUUAUUGAGAGUCUCAUAAUCCAGGACUAUAAGUCCGUGGAUGAGUCUAUUGCUAGAUGAAAAAAAAAAAUAAAAAUAAUGACUUACAGAUAAAAACAGUGAGUUACGACCUCAUAGAUUAACCCCAUUACCUAAUGCCAAUAAGGCCGCAGAGGAUAAGAAAGAAUCCAAAGAAUCUAACCACGUCUAAAGUGAUAGACCACACGGCCGUGACCGUGGUGGAUGGAAAGGACGUGGUUGUGGCCACUAUAACUCAUCCGGCCGUGGGAACCACUAUAACCGUGGAUGUAAACCCAAUUCCGGCCGUGGUCGAGGGCGAGGACGAUGUGGUAUUUCCAAACCACAACACUCGACCAAAUGAGUAUGCCAUAGAUGUGGUAUUGAAAGGACGUGGUUGUGGCCACUAUAACUCAUCCGGCCAUGGGAACCACUAUAACCGUGGAUGUAGACCCAAUUCCGGCCGUGGUCGAGGGCGAGGACGAUGUGGUAUUUCCAAACCACAACACUCGACCAAAUGAGUAUACCAUAGAUAUGGAAUGGGAAACCAUUGGGCUAAGAUAUGUAGGACUUCCAAACAUCGUUGUGACCUCUAUCAAGAGAGUGUAAAAGGGAAGAAUCCUAAAGCCCAUUUGGUAUAUAAAGAUGGUGAACAUGAUCAAGAUGAUCUAAUAGAGUAUGAAACUUCUGAUUGCAUAAAAGAAUCAAGUUGAUAAAUCUUACUUCGACAUCAAAACCUCUAUGUUUUUCUUUGCAUUUUAUGUGUUCAUUGAUUGUUAUUUGCUUGAAUUUAUUUUAUAUUAUUUUAUGUUUAGAACAUGAUUCUUGUCCAUAUAAGAAAUGGCCGAGGACAAGAACAUAAUUGUGGUGGAUAGUGGAGCCACACAAAAGAUAAGAGAUAUUUUCCUAAAUCUCAUAAUGAAAAAUAUUAGCACCAUAGCGGGUAUAGCUAGUCUUAUUGAGGGCCAUGGUCAUGCCCAUAUACUUUUAUCAAAGGGCACGCAUCUUGAAAUAAGCGAUGCCCUAUAUUCACCCAGCUCGAAGAGGAGCUUGUCAAGUUUCAAAAAUAUAAGAUUGAAUGGUUUCCAUAUUGAAACAAAGGGUGAAGGGAACAAAGAAUUCCUAAAUAUAAUUGAGAUCACCCAAAGACAUAAGAAAGUCCUAAGAGACUAUACCCGCAUUAUCCACUGGUCUCUACUAUGCUAAAAUCGAUAUGAUCGAAGCUAAUAUGGCAAUGAACAAAGAGUUCAUCGAGAAAUUCACUUUAUGGCAUGACCGGCUUGGCCAUCCGGGUCAUAGUAUGAUGCGUAAACUAAUAACUAAUUCAAAGGGGCACACCCUAAGAGAGAAAAGAGUUAUCCCUAAGAAUCUCACGUGUGAAGCAUGUUCACAAGGGAAACUCAUUAUAAGGCCAUCACCGGCUAAGGUAAAUAAAGAGACCUUAAAAUUUCUGGAAAGGAUACAAGGAGAUAUAUGUAUGGUCCUCAUUGAUGCAUCGACAAGAUGGCCGCAUGUUUGUCUCCUAUCUACUAGAAACCAAGUGUUUGCUAGGUUAUUGGCCCAGAUAAUAAGACUGCGAGCCCACUUUCCAGAUUUUCCGCUUAAGACUAUACGUCUAGACAAUGCCGGUGAAUUCACGUCCCAAGCGUUUAAUGACUACUGUAUGUCCAUGGGGGUAAGUGUGGAACAUCCCGUAGCACAUGUACAUACACAUAAUGGAUUAGCGGAAUCCUUCAUUAAACGAAUUCAAUUGAUAGCUCGACCAUUACUCAUGAGGUCGAAGCUCCCAGUAGCCGCUUGGGGACACGCUGUUUUACAUGCAUCAGAACUUAUACGCAUAAGGCCAUCUAGUGAACAUAGAUAUUCACCAUCCCAAUUACUUAUGGGUCAUGAGCCAGACAUAUCCCAUCUAAAGACUUUCGGGUGUGCCAUAUAUGUACCGAUUGCUCCACCACAUAGAAACAAAGAUGGGACCUCAAAGGAGGAUGGGAAUAUAUGUUGGAUUUGAUUCUCCCACCAUUAUUAAGUAUCUAGAGCCAACUACGGGUGAUCUAUUUAAGGCUAGAUACGCGGAUUGUCAUUUGAAUGAAUCCGAAUUUCCUACUAUAGGUGGAGAGACGAACAAGCUGGGUAAAGCAAUAAAAGAAAUAUAAUGAAAUCAAACAUCCUUAAAUUGGCAAGAUCCUCGGACUCUGGCAUGAGAAUCAGAGGUCCAUAAGAUUAUACAUUUGAAAAGCUAGCUAAUCAAUUGCCAGAUUCCUUUGCUGACCCAAAGAAAGUUACAAAAACGUACAUACCAGCUUGUAAUGCACCAGUACGUAUUGAUAUCCAAAAGCGAAUCAAUGAAAUUGCUACCGAGUCUAACACACGAAAGAAACGUGGUAGACCAAUAGGUUCCAAAGAUAAAAAUCCUCGAAAAUCAAAGAAAGGUGCAAUAGGAAUCCGAGGUUACUAAGGAAACCAUCCCAGACAUGGAGAUAAGGCCGGCCGGCUCUAAGGUACAGGUACCAUAUAAUGUAGCUUGGGACGCCAAGCUGCAAAGUAUUAAAGGUCCUGACCAUAAUAAAUCUCAAAUCGAUUAUAUCAUGUCUGGAACAUAAUGGAACAUAUAAGAAAUGUCGACAUAAGAUGAUUUUGCAUGCAAGGUAGCACUUGAAUUUAUGAAUAUAAAUGAGGAUCAGGAGCCCACGUCUAUACUAGAGUGCACUCAAAGACUUGAUUGAUUAAAUGGUACAAGACCAUAAAACGUGGAGCUAAGAAUCAUUAAGAAAAGGAAUGAGUUUGGUCCGACCUUAAGGACACCAUUCGAUGUAAAAACCAGUAGGACACAAAUGGGUCUUUGUGAAGAAGAGAAAUGAGAAUAAUGAAAUCGUGAGAUAUAAGGCACGGCUUGUUGCACAAGGAUUCUCACAAAGACCGGGGAUAGAUUAUGAAGAAACAUACUCCCCUGUGGUGGAUGCUAAGACAUUUAAAUUUUGCUAAGUCUGGCUAUAUAAAGAAAAAGACUUGAUUUGCGGCUAAUGGAUGUAAUGCCUGCAUAUUUAUAUAAGUCCACUGGAUGAUAUAUAUGAGAUUACCAGAGGGUAUUGAGCUCAAAGAUAAAGAUAAGAAAGGGUCUCGAGACCAAUACUGCAUAAGGCUGAACAAAUCGCUUUAUGGACUGAAACAAAGUGGACGCAUGUGGUACAAUAGAUUAAGCGAGUACCUAGUCAGAGAAGGUUAUAAGAAUGAUCCCAUCAGUCCAUGUAUCUUCAUAAAGAAAUUUGCAAACGAAGGGUUUGUGAUAAUAGCAGUAUAUGUGGAUGAUUUGAACAUCCUUGGAACCUCUGGGGAAAUCGCCCAAACAGUCAAAUAUCUAAAGAAAGAAUUCGAGAUGAAAGACCUAGGCAAGACAAAAUUCUGUUUGGGAUUGCAACUUGAGUACGUGAAUAAUGGAAUUCUUGUGCAUCAAAAGGCAUAUACUGAAAAAGUACUCAAGAGAUUCAAUAUGGACCAGGCCCACCCAUUGAGCAGCCCAAUGGUGGUGAGAAGCCUCGGAUUGGAUAGUGAUCCAUUCGGUCCAAAGAAGGAUGAGGAAGAAGUUCUCGAUCCUGAAGUGCCAUACCUUAGUGCCAUAGGAGCGUUAAUGUACUUGGCUAGCCACACUAGACCAGACAUAUGUUUUGCCGUGAACCUCCUUUGCCUAAAUUUAGUUCAUGAUCAACCCAAAGGCACUAGAAAGGUUUGAAGGAAGGUUUGGUUAAAUUUUAAAUUCUAUUCUUCCUAUGUUUGUUUAUUUGGGUUUUAUUCUAUACUGAUCUAACCAAAGAAGGUCUAGUUUGCUUUGGUUUAGUUUGUUUUGCUGAUGCAGGUAAAAUCAGAUUAUGGCAUGGUCAAUAGAUAGGAACUACGUGUGGCUUGAUCCCUUCCAAGGGUACGUAGGCAGCCUUCUUCAAGGCGCAGCUACUACAACAUCAAAGACCAUCAUAUGAGGAGACAACACAGCCUGUAUCGCUCAGCUCAAGGACGGCUACAUCAAGGGAGAUCGGACGAAGCACAUUCUAACAAAGUUCUUCUUCACGCAUGACUUGCAAAGGGAUGGAGAAGUUCGAGUGGUACAAGUUCGAUCCAGCGACAACUCAGCCGAUCUCUUUACCAAGGCAUUACCAACAUCGACAUUGAGGAAGCUCACGCAUCAAAUUGGAAUGCGGAGACUUAAGGACUUGCAGGGAUGACCAAAACAGGGGGAGUAAUACGUGCUGUACUCUUUUUCCUUAACCAUGGUUUUGUCCCAAUGGGUUUUCCUGGUAAGGUUUUAAUGAGGCAGCAUCCCCAAGCGUAUUACUGAGAUCCUUUGGCAUCUACACGGUUAUGUCAUCCAAGGGGGAGUGUUAUAAACCACAUGUUGGAUGGACUCCAUAACCGUGGACCUUAUGCAUAUUCUAGAAGGCCCAUGUCCAUGUCCUAGAAGGCCCAUGCCCAUAUUCUUGAAGAUUCUCCUUAUGACGGCCUAUAUUGUACUUAGUGGGCUUUUGGGCUUUAGGGUUUACUAGCCCAAUGGGGAUUUGUCUCCCCUCAUCAUGUAUAUAUAUGUAUCGAAAUCUCAUUCAUUAAUCAAUAGAACAACACAGUUUACAACACUACGCUAAUCCUACAAUUUUCUUACCAAUUAUUUUUUCAUAAUUUUCCCUCGCAUUUCCUACGCGAUUUCCUACAAAAAUAUGUUCGUAGGAAACUGGAAGGAAAUAUACCUUCGAAUUUCCUACCAAUAUUUUCCUUUGCCUUUCAUUUCAUUUUCUUACGAAAUUUCCUACGAUAUUUUUUCUCGUAAAAAUUUCGUAGGAAAUUUCCUACGAAUAUCUUACGACUUUUGUCGUAGAAAAUUUCAUUCGAAUUUCCUACGAAAUAUAUAUUUUGUAACAAAUACGUAAGAAUAUGGUAGGAAAUUAUUCCUACCAAAUAUUUAGUAGGAAAUUUGGUAAGAAAAGCCUAUGUUUUCUUGUAGUGUGAGGCUUAUGAAGAUUCCAAAUUAGUUUGCUUAUUUCCUCUGUUUAUUUAAUCCCACAAAUUCAUGGAAAAACUCGUUGAGUCUUAUGUGACCCUAAUUUUGGUGAUGUUACGUUUUCAAGUUGAGUCGUUAGCGUUCAAAAAUUGUAGAGAGUUCUUCAAUUUUAAUAUAGUAGAAGUAGAUAUACGACUAUAAGCAAAGGAAAAAAAAAACUCCCAUUUUCGCAUUAGUAAAUAAUAAGGCAGAGGCCCACAGCCCAUUUCCAUUUUAUAUAAAAUAGCUCGUUGCAUGCAUACGUUGAUGCAAGUUGCAAGAAAUUUCGUAACUUGAUAGGUGAAAAUGUUUCAACUUUGUGAAUUGUUGAUUUUCAGUUAAAAGUGUAACAUACUUACAACAAUGAGCUUAGUUUAAACUUUAUUAUUAGCGAAGCUGUGAUACAAAUCAAUCUUCUUUUUGGCAGGGUAGUGAUACAAAUAGUUUAGAGAGUGUAUUUUCUUAAGACAUUGCACGCCUUAAUUAGCCCUAUUAUUCUUGCACCGAAUUGGUGUCAGUUAGGGUUAAAACCUACGUAUCAACGCCGCUUAAUGAUAUAUAUGAUUUUAGUGGAUUAAAUUAUUAUUAUUCUAUAAUAUAUCUGCAUGUAAAAAUAUAAAAGCAGAGAGUAUAAACAGAGUACUACUUUAUUCAAACAUAAGAACCAUAAGACAGUGUUAAUGAGGAUACUACUAUAUUAGAAACCGUGUAGUAAUAACAACCAUGACGACAACAUAAGACCAUAAUUAAGGAGAUUAUAAAGCAUAUAUAGCUUUUUCUCUCACUUAUUCUACCAAAGCAAAGAAUUAAAAGCUUAAGCGUUAGCGAUUGGCUUGACAUAAACCCCAAUUUUUUUUUUUUUUUUUUUUUUUUUUUUUUUUUUUUUUUUUUUUUUUUUUUUUUUUUUUUUUUUUUUUUUAUAAACCCCAAUUUGGUUGAGAGAAACUUCAGUCUUCCCAUAAAACCCAACAAUCUUGUGAUCUUUCUCCUCAAGCUUGAAUGAUGUUCCCUCGUAAGUGUAUUCUGGACUGUGACUUAACACUUGAUAUGUUGUACGGUUUGUAUUGAACUUAAGCAUCGUCAUAUAACCGGGAAAAAGUGAAGACAUGGCAAUGGCAGAUGCGGAUGUAUUAGGUGCGAAUCUCUUACCAUAGUGUCCAAUUCAACGGAUGUGAUGUAUUCAUUGUUAAAAUAGAGCUUGAACUACAACAACAACAAAAAAAAAAAGACAAAACAAAGUUAUAUUGAUAUGAUGUCUCCGUGAGCGUCUCCGAUUACAGAUCCAUUUAUGUACUCAAACUUGACCGAUUUCACAGAUUUUUCGUCGUAUCUUACUGUUAUCAUUCGAACAUCGUCAUGAAUUCCAUCAUCCCACUCCUUCCCAAGGACACCACCUUUUGCAUUUAGUUUCUUGACCGGAGGAACUACCACCACCGCAAAAUUUGCUCCGAGUGCAUUGAUACGAUUUACGGACGACCUUCCUCGGAACCCCACAAUCUUAUCAAGCCCUUUUGCCUCAAGUUUGAAUUUUGUACCAACCGGUGUCCCAAAUUUCUCAGAGCUUCUAUUCAUUGAUGUUUUGAAGGUUAAAGACGAGAUGAAACCAUCUUUGUCGAUAGUUCCCUCCACGGAUUUAACAUACUCACCAUCUUGAUCCUUAAGCACAAACUGCAAAAAACGGACUCUUAAUUAGAGCCAGAGAGAAAAAAAACAAAGAAAAAGAAGAUGAAUUCAAGAAACUGAUAUACAUAUAUAUAUAUACCUCUUUACGUUCUUUCGAAUCCUUUCCGUGACAAUGAGUUAUCCGGUCGUUUCCCUUAACAUAGUGGAACUCAACGGAGCUCACACAAUGAUCAUCUUCUCCAACACACAAUUUAUUAAGACCAUCAUAAGCCCCAUCAUCCCAAGAGACCCCGUUGGAUCCACCUUGAGGUUCCAACUGCUUAAAAGCUGAAGAAACAACGUAAAAGUAAGCUCUUAUGGCGUCGAGAAAGUCACCAGAACGUCCAUGGAGCCCUAGAAGCUUCGUUCCAUUUUUUCCCUCCAAAACAAAAUCUCUGCUACCAGGUCCGGGCAUACCAAACUCCUCAGAGGUUCUCCCGUGCGAUGUUUUGAAUUGAAGCUCUGACACUGUAUUCGUAUACAUUGGACUUCCCAUGUUUGCAGCAAGAUAUAGGUCGUAUUUUUCUGCAGGAGUGAGCUACGGAACAGAACAAUUAUUGUAUUUAAAAACAAAUCAACUAAAAGAAGAUCGGACUAAUACACAGAGCCAACAAACACCUGAGUUUCUUUGUGGCAAAGACGAUCCAACGGUUUAUAGCCAACAUGAUCGGGCUGAAAACACAGCAAGUAAAAGAUCAGAAUUAUUUUUGAAAAAACAGAACAAUUAAAUAAUGAGAUUAAAGAAACAAAGCAAACAAACACCUGUCCAGAUGUACUCCCGCCGGUAGAUUUGUAUCUGUGAUCAUCGUUUCUGUAUGUUCCCCAAAUAGACGUAAUGUAUUCGUCUGGGCACUUCACUUCAAACUCGGUCUUAAUGACAUAGCAAAACAAAAGAACAGAAAAAAAGAGCAGUUAAAAGCAAGAGCAAAAAAAAAUCAUAGAGGGAGAGAAUUAUGAAUAAUAUUAAAAAUGAAAUUUCAAACCUCUGUAAUAUGUGUUCCUCUUGCUCUUCCGUGUUCUUUAAGCACUACAUCUCCGUUUUUCACGUACUGGAUCUUGAGGUAAACGAUGCCAUGAGAGUCUUCUCCAACUAUCAAUUUACGCACACCGUCGUAAGUACCCUCGUAAACACCAUCAUCAAAAUUUUGUCCAUUGGAACCACCGUAAGCUAUCACUUUCUCUGACAUUUUUUCCCUUAAAGGUUCAAGAAAAAAAGUAUAGAGAGAGAGGGAUUUGUGACCUUCUUAGCUCUGAUGAAAGUGAAUGAAGGAAAAUGUUUUGGGUAUAUGUGUAUAUAUACUGAAAUUUUUAUCACCGAGAGUUCUUGAAUUUUAAUCUUAUAAACUUUAAAUUAUAUUUCACAUACUUUAAUUGGUAAAUCAUCAAAAUUCAAACAGAUUCCACUAUAAGUUUUGUUUUAUUCUUUAAUUGGUAUAUCAUAGUUAAUUCAAACACAUCUUUACGACUUAUAAAAGGGUGAAUUUAAGUAAAUGGCAAACUAAAAAAUGUUAUUGGCAGUAAAUGUAACAAAGAAGAGAAGAAGACAUUUAUAAAUCAUAUUCAAAUGCAACACAUGUGUAUAAGUAUAUACAUGCGUAUAUUUGAUGUUAUUAAGAAACAUACAUAAUGAUGGAUUUGUGAAUACAUAAAUAUAUAUUCAUACUUUCGGAAGAUGGAGAGGAAAUGUUGCAAUUAUGGUUUUGCAUGGAGAUGGAGUAUGGAUAUUAUCAUCAUCGUGUUGCCUUGAUGAUUAUGAUGAUCAUGAUCCUUAUUAUAAUUCUUGUUUUAGCUAGAUGACAUUAUAAUGAUGCAGGAGAUAGAUAGAUCAAUAUAUUACCAUUUUCAUCAAAUCUCUACGUCCAUCAAUAAAUCAAUAUAUUUACCAUUUUCAUCUACAGUUUAUUACGCGUCUCUCUCUCACUGCAAUUAAUAUCGACGGUAGAAUCAUUAAGGAAAAAUUAAAAGAUAAUGUCAAGCAAGGGAUAUACAACACAUAGACUGAUAGACCUAUGAAUUGCAUACUAUAUAUAGUAUAAAUAUACCCGCAUCACGAAUACACAGUCAUAGAAAUAUUUAUGAAAAAAACUUGGAGAAGAAAAGAUUCAACCAAUUUGAAGCUUCUUUUACUCGUAAGAGCAUCCACAGUGGUGAAUGUGUUAGUAUGGGUGUAAAUAACUUUUUAGUAUUAUAAUUAGAGAGAGAAAAGAGAGAGAUAGAGGGAUAGAGACAAGAAAUUUUUUUCCUUUUUUAUAAUACCCACACCCGAAUGCAACUCUACAUGUGGAUGUUGUUGAAAAGCUACUUUUUGCAUUAUUUUUCUAUAUUAAAUUACAUACACCCGACGCUUACAUGCGCCACUGCGCUUGGUCUAAGUAGGUAAAACGUAUUACACUUUUUUUUUUUCUUUAUUUUAAAAAAGCGUAUUAAGUUAUAUAUAUUUUUAAUACGUUGAAAUUGUUCUUUCACAAAAGUCUUUGAGAUAUCUUUUUUUUUUGUUUCUUUUUGAUUAAAACCACAACUUUUUUCGAUUAGGAAACUCUUGCACACAGUGCUUACGCCUAUAUUUGUAGUAAAUAGUAAUUCUUUAUUUUUCAACCAUUAGAUUAACUACCAACUCUCUUUUUUUUUUGUCUUUUCUUAAAAACACUUUAACCAAAAAUAAUUGCACUAUGUUGAGUAUUCUGUAUUCAUAAUAAAAAUACAGAUAUUCACGUCUUACGCAUUCAUUUGACGACAUGCAAAUGCUUGAUCAUCCGUUGCCUUUUAGUUGAAAUUUCAUAAAUUAGGUUUAUUAAUGGGUUUUGUUCAAAAAAAAAAAAAGGGAAUUAAUGGGUUCUCUUUAUUAAUUCAUAAAUUAGUUGAUUAUAUAUUAAUUACCUUACAAAACACCCAUACACAAGAAAACAUUUCAGCAUAUUUCGGCGUUUUAUAGAUUGUAUAUAUGUCUUUAAGCCUAAUGGUGGAAACUAGGCACGUCACUAAGCAGUUCUCGAUAAUUGUUUUUCUGGGAGACUAAAUGUUACUUUCGUUCUUUUUCUAUCUAAAUUAACUUCUUUGUUUUUGUAAAGUUUUAGGUUAUGAGGAAGUUGCUAAAAUCGACCCUGAAGAAACCAAGUUGCUUAUAAUACUCAUAGAGUUCAUCAAGUAAGUAAAGAGCAAAAUUCUAUGCACAUGUAGUCCAUAACAUAAUUAAAAUGCCAUAAUCUUCUUAUAAUAUACCAUUUUUUUUUGUUUUUUUGAAAAAUGCUUUUGUUAUAAUAUACCUUACAACGACCUUAUAUAUCGCACGGACCUACGUUAAAAAAAGUCAUACUGUUAACUAUUUUUAGAAAUUUCCUUUGUUAUAGCUGAUGUCACGGUAAAUUUGCAUUCUCCAUGAAAUAUUUUACGAUUCAUCAAUAUUUUAGCUUUGUUCUACUGAGAUUUUUUUCUUCUAAGUUAUUUUUGCAUAAAUUCAAGCAUAUAUCUCGUAUAUUAUUGAAAAAUAAUCGAUACAUGAAAUAAUAUAUAUGAACAAAAAAAUGAAAUAAUUUAUUGACUGAUUGAAUGUCUCUCCUCUAUUUAUAGAUCGAUUAGUUUAAGUAGGUACAUUUUGUUUUGUGUUUACUAUGUUGAUGUUGUUCUUUCAAAAAAGUCUUCGAGAUAUUUCCUAUUCUAUGUGUUCACUUGAUUAAAAUCAUAACUUUUUCGAUUAGGAAACUCUUGCACACAGGUUUUACUCCUAAAUUUGUAUGUAAUUCUUUUUUCCCAUCCAUUGUAUCAACCACCGACUCAAAGUUACAGACCACUUUAUUCAAAAUGGCACUAGGAUGUGACUCAUAUAUAUAUGUGUCUUUCAAUUUCUAUAAACACAUAGACAUCCACGUUUUUAUGCAUUUGAACAUACGCAAUUCGUAAUCUUUUAGUAGAAAUUUCUUAAUUAUUACCUUAUAAGACAUCAAGCUAAAAACAUCCAUACAAAGGAAAACAUCUCAACAUAUUUCACUGUGUUAUAGAUGAUAGUAUUUAUUUUAGCCUAAUGAAAACAACAAAAACUCCACACGUCAUUGGGCAAUAUUCUGUAAUAUAGUUUAAUAAUUUAUCUAGUAUAUACAAAACUAAAAUAUCUAUUAGUUUUCUUUAAAGAAAAGAAUAUCUAUUAAGAAACUUAAUCGAAAAAGAUAUCUGAAAUCCUAUAUUUUCUUUACUACAGUAAUAUGAAUCUAAAUUAUGUAUAUAAGUUAAGACAAUAUGUUUAUUUUUUACAUUUAUGCGUGUAGACUAGACAUACUGGUGAAGAUAAAUGCAUGUUCUAGCCUCUAGGUGAGAGAUCAAGUGGACUCCUAUAAAAAGAAAGUUAUAGAGUUUAUAUAUGUGAAAUUUAGGAUAUGGACAAAAUAACGUGAAAAAUUUGCCCCUUAGGAUAUAUAUUUUGAGUUAUCUUGGAACAUAAUAUUGCAAAUAACAGUUCUAUAUAUUGUAAAAAAUAUUCCAAAAAGAGUUUGGCGAACCAUUUAGAAAAUAUGUUUAGUUAAUACUGAAAUUUUUAUGUAAAGAUGUUCCAUAUGUAUUUUUUUCUAAUCGAAAAUAAUUGAAUGUAUGAUGCAGCACAUCUCUAAAACGAACUUGUCGUUUAUCAUGUUUGAGCUAAAUCGUUAUUUGAGAUUUGUUUUUUAUGGGUUUAAUGUUUAUUUAGGUUUUGAAUGCUUGUGUUUGUAUGUUUCUUCACACUAUGGUUUUCGUUUUUUCACUUAUUUAAAAAGAGGUAAAACUCAUUAUUGUGACAGUUUUUGAUUAUUAAAUAAAAAUAUUCUUAAAAAGCUUUCUUUUGCUAAGUUUUGAGAAGAGGACUUUCAAUCUUAAAGAGUUUUCGUGUGCAAAGUUAUGAGAGAAGGAUUCAUCAAUCACACGUAUGAUUAUGUAUUACACGGUUUAAUCCAUUAGACCAUUCUUUUUUCUUUUUUACUUUUCUCUUUUCUGUUUAUUUCCACCGGAAUAUGUGUAUUGUUUACCUUUAGCAAUCUCAUUGCUUCGUGUAUAUUUUCCCUUUUUUUUUUUCAGUUGAACUCAACUAACUAUGUAUAUCAUCUAAAUCAAAGAAUGUGGACAAGUAAAAAGUUGAAUUUCUUCUUCUUCAAGUUUCAUUCAUAAAUAUCUUUAUGAUUGUGUAUGCGUAAGGCGUGUAUAUUUACAACCAACUUAGUAUACAUCUUUGUGUGUUUUAUAUGCCUUGCUUUAUAAUUUUAAUUUUAAUUUCUCUUUAAUUAUUUUGCCGGUCGAUAUUAGUUGUAGUAAGCAACGUGUAACUAAAGGUAGAUGAAAAUUGCUAUAUAAUGAUUUAUAAAAGGAGAUAGAGACUUGGUGUUCCUCUUGCCUUAGCCUAAGCACUUCUGUCUAUCUCUUUCUUCAUCAUCAUCAUCCAAAUGGCAUCUAUCUCAAACAAGAAUUCUAAUAAGGAUCAUGAUCAUCAGAAUCAUCAAGGCCAACAAAGAUGAUAUCCAUACUCCAUCUUCCAUGCACAACUUUGAUUGCAACAUUUCUUCUCCAUCUUCUCCAGGUAUAUAUAUAUAUAUAUGUAUUCACAAAUCCAACAUUAUGAAUAUAUUUCUUAAUUACAUCAAAUAUAUGUACGUACAUAUUUGAUUUGACUAUGACAUAUGAAUGUCUUCUUUCUCUUCUUUGUUACAUUAACUAAUAACACACUUUUUACUUGCUACGUAAUCAAAUUCUUUUCAAUAGUAAGUGAUAUCUAACAAUUCACCCUUUUAUGAAUUAGUCGUAUCGGAUCCUAAACCAGAAUGGAAACCAAAUCAACAUCAAGCUCAAAUACUCGAAGAAAUUUUCAUCGGCGGUUAACCGUCUCUAACCGAUAUCAAACGAAUCAUAAUCAAACUUCAAAAUUCUGGUGAAAAAGUCGAAGACGUACACGUCUACAAGUGGUUUCACAACCGAAAAUUUAGGCUCAAACAUAAGCUUCGUGAUGCCAAGCAAAGCCGUCAAGAGUUAAAGAACUAAAACCAAGUUCCGGUGGAUAAUAACGUCAUUGGUUAGGAGAUUCCUUACGGUGAAGGUUGUUUCUACUCAUGCUUCCUUGGUCAAUUAAUUAGUUUUAAUAGAAUAAUAAUUUAUACAAUUUUUUGUUGAUAACCAAUGUAUACAAAUGUUAGUAUAAGUGAAACUAUUAAUUUCUUAUACAUAAUUGUGGGUAUGAUUACUGUUAUCUAUUAUUCACUUUAAUGUUUGGGUUUUGCAGGUCAUGAUCUAGAAGAUGUUGAAGAUAGAGGAUUACAACGAAAAUAGAAAAACGAGUUUGUAAUAAACGCUUUAAAGUUUGAUUUAUUAACAAUUAUGAUAUUUAACUUCAGGUUGUGUUAAGUUGUCACAUUUCUAUAAGUGAAAAAUUAAAAUUUAACCAGUAUUAAUAUUGAAAAUGUUAGAUUAUAACUAUUCAAAAUAUAGCAACCAUACUUAAACUAAUUAUCCAUAAUUUCCUACAGACAAUAAAUAAUAUGAUUCAAUUCAUUAUUCAUAUUAUGUAGAAACACCAAUUUGAUUAUACAAACAUGUACAUGAUCUCUUGCAAUAUAUUUUUUUUUGGUAGGAAUCUCUUGCAUAUUAUGAUAAUAGAGUUUGUAAACUAUGAGGACUAUGUUUUGACCAAGAAAACCACCUUAUUUCAUAUGUCAAAAUCAUGUAGAAACCACGUGGACAUUUCUCGUUAAUUUAUUAUGCACUAAGUUGUUGAAAAUGCAAUUUCCGCGAAACUGAGUGACGACAAGAACACGAACAAAGCUUAUAGUGAAAAAUGAAAAUGAGUCAUGAGUGCAUCAAAACUCAUAACCAAAAGAAUUAGAACUAGAACAAGAACCGAACCGAAAUUGUUUGAUUCCUAUAUAGAUCUUAAAUUUUAGAAUCGAAAGAACAGGAACCGAACAGGAACCGAACCAGAACCGAACGGGUACCCGAACGUCCAGGCCUAAAACUGUGUGUAUUAAUAAACGACGACGCCGUUUUGUUGGUUUACGAUAAAGAAUACGCUUAUCACAAGACGCCGUCGUUUUCAUCAUUUAACAGCAAAACGAGUUAGUGACCGUUCGAUCUAUAAGUUCAGAUGGUUUUAUAGUACACCGCGUUACAGAGGAAUAAAAAUAAAAAUCCACACUGAAACAAAGAAUCCCCAAAUCCACAGGUGGCUUUAGGGUUUUCGUCUCUUUACUCGUAACCGGAAGAGAGGAGGACAAGAUCCUCCACUAAUUUCACAAAAAGCUUAUCUUUUUAUUCGUUUUCGAAUCGAUUCGUUUUCUGGGUUUCAAGAAUCAAAUUCUCUGGUUUCGUUUUUCGUUUUCUUGAUUUGUUCUCUCUCUUUCCGAAAAAGUUUGCAACGAUGGGAAGAGGCAAGUUCAAGGGUAAACCUACCGGCCAACGCCGAUUCUCUAGUGCUGCUGAUAUUCGUAAGUAAUUUUGAUUCGUUGUUUUGAUUUUUGAAUCAAUCUUGAAUUUUUUGGAAAUUUUCGUAAUUGCCCUAAUUUGGUUUUUCUUGAUUUUAGCAGUUUUGGAAUUUUGAGCUUGUUUAAUCGUUUCCAUUGAAUUGAAAUAGUUGAUAUACAUAAGGAUUGGUAAAAAAAAUUCGAUUUUUUUUUUUUGUUGUUCUGCUGUGCAAGUUUAGAUUUUUGUUGUUCUGUUGAUUGAUAUGAUAUAUGAUCAUUGAGUAUUCCAUAAGUUUAGGUUUGAUUUGCUCUUGCAUGGUUUAUGUUUGAUUUGGUUGUUAUAUACUUUGAUAAUAUUUUUGUGUUAUAUCUUCGUUUGCUUGAUUUUGUGUUUUCGAGUUUUGCUUUUAUGAUAAACUUUGAAAUCUCUGGCUAGGAUAAUUUUUAUGGUCUAUGAUCAUAGGAUUUGCAUUAGAAGUAUUCAGCUUUCGUGUAAUCUGGUCCAGUUUUGGGUUCUCUGAAGCUGUAAAAUUGAGAUUUAUGUGGAUGAAUAUUAGAAUUUUUGAACAGCUACUUAUUGUCUCUGUGUGUUUUGUAGUUGCUGGCACAUCUGCUGCACGUCCUCGAUCAUUCAAACAGGUACCUUUUGUAGUUUUCUUUAACAUUUUUGAUACUUUUGUUGAUGUGUGUGGGGGGUGAAUCAUUGUUCUUUUAAUGAUAUUAUCAGAAAGAAGCUGAAUACGAAGAAGAUGUCGAAGACGAGUCAGAGGAGGAAUCUGAAGAAGAAUCCGAAGAUGACGCUGAUGUGAGUGAAAACUCUUCUCUUUAUGUUGCCUCAUCUAGUAUCAUUGGUGGGAGAAUUCAUCUUUACUUGGUUUAUAAUAUCAGGUGAAGAAGAAAGGAGCUGAAGCUGUUAUCGAAGUUGAUAAUCCUAACAGAGUAAAAGCAAAGACCUUAAAAGCAAGAGACCUCGAUGUAAGUUAUUUAAUUAGUAGUGAGUUUCUGUAUAUCUCAAGUAUGGAUGAUUAUUUUAAUAACUUUGAAUUUCUUUCUGUUCUUCCCAUUUGUUAGGCUAGUAAAACCACUGAACUCUCAAGGCGUGAAAGGUCUGUUGCUACUACCAAACACUCUUAAGCUCUCUUAUCAUUCAACUGUUCUUGUUAAGGAACCUCUUAAUCAUUGUCUUUCUGGUAAAUCUGCAGAGAGGAGCUAGAGAAGCAGCGAGCUCAUGAGCGAUACAUGAGGUUGCAAGAGCAAGGCAAAACCGAACAAGCAAGAAAGGACUUGGGUAAACAACGAUAAAUCUCUUGUUCUCACUUGCCUCUUUUUGUUUCCAAAUGGGCUUUAUCGAUUAUCUUAUCCCCUGUGUGUGUUUCUUUACAGAUCGUUUGGCUCUGAUUCGCCAACAGAGAGAAGAAGCUGCCAAGAAGCGAGAAGAGGAAAAAGCUGGUAAAAACUGAAGUGUUUGUUUACCUUUUGCGAUGUUUUGGUUUCGAAUACAUACUCUUACUCAUGUCUCUGAUCUUGUAAUGUUUUGGUUUAUUGCAGCAAGGGACGCUAAGAAAGUCGAAGGGCGCAAAUGAGAAGUGAUCACACUCAAAAGACCUACCUACUAUGCAAUUAAGACGUGUUGUUUUUACUUUGUUCUUUUUCGAUUGAUAAAAGAUAAAACCUCUGCUAUUACUCAGGAUCGUAGAUACCUCUCGAUCUUCAAUACAUUUUAAGUUGUCUCGUCUUUUUAGGUUUGAUUUUAAAGGAACCCAAAUAAAGCAUGCUUUUGAACCAUUUAUAUAAUCGAUUGUAGAGUUCAAAGUAUGUGAAAUUAACGACAAAUUAAUUGAUGGAAUUAACGACAAAUUAAUCGAUCAUAGAUCUUGUGACCAUCUCCUUAACUUUCUUGCAAAACUCCACCAGCUUCUUCUCAAAAUCAGAUUGCAUAGGCAUGUGAGAAGAAGAAGAAGCCGAUGAUAAGGCCCCAGCAGCCUGACACUCCAGCCACCUGUGAGCCACGACUUGGCAUAUAUAGUCCUUCAAGCUCAGAAUCAACUAUAGGUUUUUCUUUUUUUGUCAACACAAUAAUUAAAAAUUUAUAUUAUGCAACUAAAGUUAUCAAGUAUAGUUUUCUUUUUUCUUUUUUUUUUCUUGGGAGGGGCGAAAUCAAGGAACUCUAUAUCUAGUUUAGUAUGGUUUUCUAGUAUUCUAAAAAUCAAGGAACUCUGGGGUAGAGGUUAGUUAUUUUUUCUUUAACAUCUGCUUUGUUAUGUAUACGAAUUAAUUAGCUUCAUAUCAUUUUUUUAAAAAUAAUAAUUAAGAAACAUGAUAAUAGAUUUGGGUAUUUGCAAGAGAAGAGAGAGAAUUUGGUACAAAAACAAAUUCAGGACAAAAAUAUCCUCUAAAGUAUAAGCAAGGGGGCGAAAACUAGUAUAGUUUUCUAGUAUUCUAAAAAUCAAGGAACUCUAUAUCUAUUUCAAGAUUAUAAUCUUGAUAGCUAUACAAAAUUGUAUUAUGAAUUUUUUAUAUAAAUAGGGGUGGAGGUUUGUUAUUUUUUCUUUAACAUCUGAUUUGUUAUGUAUACGAGUCAAUUAGCUUCAUAUCAUUUAAAAAAAAAAAAUUAAGAAACAUGAUAAUAGAGUUGGGUAUUUGCAAGAAAAGAGAGAGAAUUUGGUACAACAACAAAUUCAGUACAAAAAUAUCCUCUAAAAUAUAAGUGGGAGAAUUUCGUAAGGGACAUAUGCGUCAGAGAAUAUGCAGUAGACCACCACUUAUUAAAUUUUUUGCCGUUACAGCAACGUCCUCAAUAGUUCAGUAAAAUCAGAAUCUGAAGAAGCCAAUAAAACAUUGGGAGGUAAACGAUUCUCAAGAGCUUCAUCUAGUAUCACACCCAGUAUGAUUCUGUCAGCCACAUGAAACGGUCUUUCAUAAGGUAAUCUUCUGUUCCAUGAUGGUUGAACCACAACACCGCAGUCUUCAACAGCGCAUAUGCGUAAUCUAUGCGGUACAUCUAUGAAAAUGAAUCCUUCUCUCCUUAGAUACACCAUUUUUUUGGAUGAAAUCAAGAUUCAGGUUUCCUACCAGAACUUUUUUGACUAUAUGAUAUCUCUCGUCAACCGUUUUCAGAGACAUAAGAAUAUUUUUCAUCAUGCCUGGUACCCUACGAAAACAGAUACGAGCGUUCUCGACAUCCCAAAUGAACAAUAUCGCAUAUGUUGGAUCCAGAGACAUAGUCGAACCAGAGAAGAAAAAACGGGGAAGUAAGAUCUUAGAAGAAAAAACGGUGAAACGGCUAGUGAAAAACGUAAGAAGAAGAAAAAGAUAGAAGACUGUGUAGGGUUUCAAUUGGUAGGCUAGAGAUGUUAAAGAUGGGUAAAAACCCGGUGGGUACCCAAAGCCCAUGUUUAAAACUGAGCCCCAAAACCUGCUGUUUAGUUAAAAAAAAUAUGGGUUUAGAACGGGCGGGUACCCAAAACGAUAGAAUCUUACACGGGUUUACCCUAUCAGAUUAUGGGUACCCAUCGGUUUUUUUUUUCUCUUAAUUGUCAUUUACAAAACGAAGCAGUUCUGUAUCUUUCACCUCCAAAAAAUCAAAACACGAAUCCAAUUGUUUGUGUUUCUUUAUGAUGUGAUUUAGAUUUAGAUUUUGUGGGAUCCAAUUUGAUUUCAGAUUUGGAAACGCUAAUUGAAAAUGAAACCAAAUUUGAUAAUUUUGAUUUCGUUUGAUCUUGUUCAUGUUCUGAUAUUUUCUGGGAUUUGUAAGCAUUCUUGAAUAUUGAUGACUGAAGCAGUGCUCGUGGUUUAUAUUGAAUUGGCAAUUAAAAGUUGUGUCGAUGCCUUUUGACUUUUUUUUUAGUUUUAGAUAUAAAUAAUUAAAGAUGAUUUUAUUGUUGUACUAAGUCGAAAUUGUCAGAUUAAUAUUUAGUGGAUGAUUGAUUAUUACAUCCUUCCGUUGGAAAUUUUUUUUUCAGUAAAAAUGGUGAAUUUUUAGAUAAAAUGUGCUCAAAUAACACCUAAAAGUGAGUUAAUUACUGAGAUAACACCCAUCAAAGAGAGUAUACUCAAAUAACACUAAAAUUGCCAAAAGUCUUUUAAGCCGUUCUAAAAUCUUUAUUUACAUUUGUGCCAUUUUGAAUUAGUUUUUAGAGAAACAAAUUUAAAUAUAUAUUAGAAAGAAACAUAAACCUAAACCUAAAUUACAUCGUAAAAAAAAAAAAAAAAAACCCCCUCUCGAUCCCACAUAGGCGAUCUAUAGGUUUUCUACUUUUCUUGCUUCUUCCUAUUGAUUCCGGCGGCAACGUGUGUGUCCUUACGACCGCCGGAGUUGAAUUCUCAAUUUUAGUGUUCCUAUUGGAUAUUGCUUCGUUUUUGGUUCUUUGGAGGCUUCGUCUCUGGAUUUAGAGGUUUCCGAUUUGGGAUAUGGAUCUUCGAUCUGUGAGUGUCGUUUUUUAUACCUUCGAUUUGGAGUUGGUGAUGGCUCGUUGGUAGAGUCUGGCUUCAAACUAGGGGGUUUAGAAACUUUUCUGCCAUGGAUCUGAGUUCUGACUCUACUCUCAAUAAGAUUAACUUCAUCGCUCGCUUGAUUUCGAAACCCAAUUCCGGUGACCUAGAUUUUGAUUUUGAUUCUUGCUAUGAUCAUGAUUAUGAUCUGUAAAGUCUUUUUUUUUUUCCUGAUUUGGUGAAUCAGGAGUUCUAGAGACAGAGGAUCACCUUCUUCUUCGUCGUCGUUACCUGGAAUAGAUAAGUAUAACGAAAAGGUGAAGAAUCAGAUACAAGCACUUGUUCGUGUUAUUAAGGUUGCUCGCACCUAUAGAGAUGACAAUGUCCCUUCUCUAAUCGAAGAGGUUAUUACUACUACUACUCACAGUUUUUCUUGUUUCUUCUCUGGAACUACCAAUCAAUGAGUGAUUCAUUGUCAAAGAUCAAAGCUUUUGUUGAAUUUGACUUUCAGGGUCUUUAUCUUUGAGUAGAGGAUCUGGAUUUGUCGCAUUUUCAACUCCUGAGGAAGCAUCUAGAGCUGUAAGUGACUAUAAUAUAAAGAAGACAUGUCAAAUUUUAUUGAUCUCAUAUUCUCUGGAAGGAUCUCGAUGCUUAACAAUGUCUUCUUUUCCGUUGUUCAGAUUACAGAGAUGAAUGGAAAAAUGAUCGUUACCAAACCUCUAUAUGUUGCUCUUGCGCAGCGGAAAGAAGACUGCAAAGCUAGGUUACAGGUCUGGUUAACUUUACCCUGUUUUUAUCCUUAGAAAAGGAUGAUCAUAAUCCCAUUCUCAUCGAGCUUAAUUUUACUUCUCUGGCAUUUUAAGCUCAAUUUUCCCAGAUGAGGCCGGUCAAUAUGCCACCUGCGGUUGGUCCUAGGAUGCAAAUGUAUCCACCAGGUGGUCCACCAAUGGGUCAGCAACUCUUCUAUGGUCAAGGACCUCCUGCUAUGAUUCCUCCUCAGGUAAAGCUCAAAGCUUUUAGCAAAAAACAUGUGAUUCCAAUCUUUAUAAAUUUCUUCUCCAACUGGGUAUCAAACAGCCUGGAUUCGGAUAUCAACAACAGCUUGUACCCGGUAUGAGACCUGGUGGGUCUCCAAUGCCAAACUUCUUCAUGCCUAUGAUGCAACAAGGCCAACAACAACAACAGCAGCAACAGCAGCAGCAGCAGCAGUAGUAGCGACCUGGUGGUGGUAGAAGAGGAGGAGCUCUUCCACAACCGCAACAACCUUCUCCUAUGAUGCAGCAGCAGGUUAAGUUUUGCUUUCAGCCCAAGACUUCCUUCACAUGUUUAACUCCCUUAGCAUGCUAACAUUUUGCAUUCUCUCCAGAUGCAUCCAAGAGGUCGGAUGUAUCGGUAUCCUCAGCGAGAUGUAAACACAAUGCCUGGUCUUACUCCAAACAUGCUUUCUGUUCCAUAUGACAUGUCAAGUGGUGGUGGUGUGCAUCAUCGUGACUCGCCUGCUUCUCAAUCUGUUCCUAUUGGAGCUUUGGCUACACAACUUGCAAAUGCAGCUCCAGAGCAACAGAGAACGGUAAAGUCAAAUGAUUUGUUUUUAACAGAGCGAGAACAACUAAAAAAAAUGUGCCUUUCUUAAUCCUAUUAUGUUUCUUCGUCAUACAGAUGCUUGGUGAGAAUCUAUACCCGCUUGUGGAGCAGCUGGAGCCAGAAUCCGCAGCUAAAGUCACGGGAAUGCUUCUUGAAAUGGACCAAACCGAAGUACUUCACUUGCUGGAAUCACCAGAGGCACUUAAAGCUAAAGUUACAGAAGCAAUGGAUGUUCUGAGGAGUGUAGCACAGCAGCAAGUGGUGGUGCAGCUGAUCAGUUAGCUUCUCUGUCUCUUGGAGACAGCAUCGUACCUUGAGAGUUCUAAGUUAUAUCUGAAAGAGCUCAGUUUAUAUACACUUUAUAAGUGUUUAUUUUCUUCUUUUGGUGAAUCAGAAACAAAGAGUUUAUCUUGAAAGUUUUGGAUUUUGAGUUUUUGUUUUGGGCGAGAGUUUUAGCAUUUUCCUUCUGUGUUUUUGAAUUUCUUAAUACUUUGGGAAGUUUUGUAUCGUUCCUCUUACCUUGUUUCAUCUACACAUUGCUCAUUUGGUAGUUCUUGUUUGGCUUUUUGUCUAGAGUUCUCAGUAUAAAAUUUGGUUUAAAAGCGUCUGAUGAUCAAUGUCACAAUAAGUUUACAAGGCUUUUCUAGGAAAUUAUUCCUUUUUCCUAAAACAGACUGGGACAAAUCUAACGGGCCUUGGAAUAACCUCAUCGACUUUGUUAGUGAGUCGGCCUUGGCCUGACCAUAACGACCGAGAUCUCAUCACGAAACUUGCAAACCUUUUCUUGGUAAAGUUUAAGCUCUUGAUUUCAUGAGAUUAGGUCUCUAGCCCAAAGUGCUAUAUAAUACAUAAGACCCAUGCAUGUAGUAAUAUUUGCAUAUGAGUUUAAGUUCCUGGUUCGAUAGGGGCAAAUACUUUAUUUUGGUAUGUAAUUUAUAUGAGUUUAUGUUCCUGGUUCAACUUGUACAACUAAGAGGAGUUUAAAAUUAAAAUUAUAUCUAUGCCAUUUUAAAAAUUAAAUCGUAACAAGUGAUUUUUAACAUUAAAAACUUUAAACUUUAAUAAUUUAUUACAUUUUCUAUUUUCAAAUAUAAUAUAUAAAUUUUUAAAAAUUUAUUUGAUAAUAAACUUGUUUUUACACAAAUCACUCUUUGUGUAACAAGGAACAUUUAGUUCAUGAUGACCUAUAUUGAUGCAAUAAAUAGUGAAACUAUUAUUUCCUGAAUAUUUUCCUAUCAAAACUUCUUAAAAACCGAUCUAAUGUGAAAAUUAAUGUGACCAACUAGAUUUAUAUUUUCGAUUUCAAGGUUCAACUUCAAAAUGACGAAGUUUCAUUUAGUUCAACUAUGAAGGAAUCAGGACAACAAGACAUCUACAUACAACUAUGUACAAUAUCUAGUUGUGAAAGACCCCACAAAAAAUUAAAUGUCGUAAUAUAAAUUUUUUUAAAGGGUAAAAUCGAUAAUUCAUAAUGUUAUGUUCGCCCUACUUAAGUCUAAUCGCUAACAAUUUCUUAUAAAUCUAUCACCACAUACGUCCAAAAAAAACGCCCAAACGUGCUAGUUGAGUAAACCGUUACUCUGCCUCGUUAUGACAGAGUUAAAAAAUAACUCUGUCAAAAUAAUUAACUCUACCAUGUUGUAACAGACUUAUUACGGUUUCUCUGUCAUAUAACUCUAAAUCGCUCUUUUAGUCUACCACCAUUACAUAAAACUCUCCCUCACAAAUAUAUUAUUUUACCAUGUCACAUAACUCUGCCACCACAUACGUUAAAUAUGUCACGGUGCUAUUUUAGUAAACGUAAAGUCAUCAUAAUCUGUCAUGUAACUAUGUUUUUUUUUCAACUCUGCCACCACUGUAAUUAACUCAAUCAAAUAACUCUAUUGCUUUAUUACUCUAUCACAUAACUUAUUCAACCUAAUAACUCUAACGUGAUAAUCUACCAAAAUCUAUUAACUCUUUCGUCACUACAACGAUAGACUUUUGAUGUGGAGGGAAAUUUUCCCUCUUAAAACUCACUUUCUCUCUCUGACGUGGCAGCAUCUUUUAAUGGCAGUUUUGUAAUAACUUUUUUCCUACAACAACAAUUCAAGGGUUAUUUGGCCAUUAAUGAUCAACCAAUAGUACAAGCUAUAUCAGUAAUAAACACACUUUUAUGUGUUAUUUGAGUAACUCACCCGAGUUUUUAUUUUUUUUUGAGAAAACACCUAAAAUGAUGAAAAUAAUUUUUUUAAAAAACUUAUAAAAUCAAUUGUUAUAGGAUUAGUAAUUUUCAAUUGUUCAAUGAAAAUUUAUUGUUAUUUUGAAACAUUUUAGGUAGUGGAUUUAAAGUGAGUUGAGUGACUUGAUGUGAUAUUUCAAAACAAUUUAAUAACCAAUUUCCUAAUUCAGUGGCCAAAAUCAUCUCAAAACUCAUAUAUAUAUAUAUAUAUAUAUAUAUAUAUAUUCCUCUUUCAAUCAAUAUAUAUAUAUAUAUAUAUAUAUUUAAUCAAUCACAUAUGACAACAGAAUUCACUCAAUUCAGUAUCAAAAUAUUUAUUUUAAAAUCAACUAACACAAAUAUCAAAGAGAACCAAGAUGUCAUUAGCUCCAAGGCAUGAAUCUAUUCACCAAAACAUUAGUUUAUCCGGUGACGAUUUGAGAAACCAUCUCGUUAACCUUGAAUCUCACUUAGUUGGAGUCAAGCAACAAAAGAUAAGUAUAAUGAACUUGAAGAAGCCCAAGUCGAAGGAAACGGAAGAGGAUGAUCAUCUUAGGGUUUCAGACAACAACGCCACCAUCUCAAACCGCAAGGUGUCUUCGUCCGAAGAAAAGAGAUUAGGGUUUGGUGGUGUCUUUGAUUAGUUGGUUUACGUAAAUACGUGGCUCCCACGAAAUUGUUUCCAACAUUGGAUCUUCUACUUCUUCGACGGUUUCUAGGGAUGUUGGUAGUGUUACCGAUUCUUCUCUACUUGAUCCUUUCACGUUAGGGUUUUCCGGCGAUUGUUUCCCGGGGGAUCUUAUAGCGGUCAUGGAUAAUUUGGGGGUUUAUGCCAACAAUGGUGUUUGGCAUCCUUCUUGGCUAGAUUUUGAUUUUUUGCCAACACUAUUUACUGAUGAUUGGACAGUUUCUUGCUACAAUCCACUUCUGGGAGCCACUGAUUCUUUUACGGCUAGCACUUACCAAACAUCAAUCACAGAUUGUUUAGGGUCCGUCUUCUAGAUUACGAUUUUGAGGGCAUGAUAACUACUAAGUAUUAAAUAGGGUUUGAUAUCUAAAUAUGUAAUUCACCUAUAUAUUUUAUUUCAGUUUAAGCGGGAGAAUUUCGUAAGGGACAUAUGCGUCAGAAAAUAUGUAGUAGACCACCACUUAUUAAAUUCAUGCAUCGAUAGUAUGUUAUGGAAUUACGUAUUGUGAUAUUUUAUUUUUUAUCGGAUACAUGAAUAUAUAUCAUACAUCGUAAUAUUUUAUUAGUGUUAUUUACAUAUGAUGUAUCAAUAUAUAUUAUAACAUAUAUCAUGGUAUAUGUUUAACCAUACUAAUCGAUGAUAGAGACGUCGGUUUGACGGUGUCUCAAAUCAUCUUCAAUAUAUGCUCAAUUAUAACGAAAAACACCACAUUCGCGACGUCUCAAUAUCGAAAUAUAUUGCAAUUACUAUAUUUAUAUUCGUAUGACCAUAUUUGAUGGAAAUACAUGAACCUCAUUUCAUGUUGUAGUGUUACAUUUAAAUGAAAUGAAAACAAAAGGGAAUUUAAUUAUAUUUAACAUAUCAUAUGAGUGGACACUAUUUUGAUGAUUUAUUAGUGGAACCAUAAUGAUAAUUGUUGUGUUUUCAUUUCAAAAACAUUUUUGUUACAAGUAUGAUACACAUGAUAAAACAAGUAGAUUGCACAAGCAAAUAUAGGUGCUUUAAGAUUUUUUUAAAAUUUUCAAAAAAAAGUUAUAUUUUAUAUAAAUUUAUAGAACGUUAUAAUUGCAUUUAAAUGUAAAAAUAAAACAUGAAUUAACUACAUCUAACAUAGCAUAUGAGUUUUAGAGAAUGUAAUCAGUUUAUUUUAAAAUUUUUAAAAAUAUAGGGUAUUUCUCUUCGAUAGAGAUGUUUUAAGUCGUUAGACAUACUAACGAGUUCAAGACACGACACUCUCUCCUAUAUGACUUAUAUGCAAGAAUCGAGAUGCAAAAGUGUUGACUUAAAUGAAUUUACAACUUUUUUUUUUCUUUUUACUUUUUCAUAUGAAAACUCUUAAACAAAUGAAUAGUUAAUUAUACCUAUGUUGUUCAAAUUGUGUCAAUCCAGUAUUUAUUCAUGAGUCUAUCACGAUGUGGCUAGAGUACUAGAUCAAGAGAGUACAUAGAACAAAUAAUUGUUUGUUUAAAAUCCAAUUAUAUAAGUUUCAAACUACAUAAAUAACAUAAUUACAUACUAUUGUAUCAUUAUAUCAUAUAUUGUUGUUGUAUGUAUUCAUAAUAGUGAAAAAGAUUAGGAUCUUAGCUAUAUAAAUAAACAGAUUUAUAAAUAAAAAAAAUAUAACUAAUAUUUGGAGUCAAAAAUGAAUCUAACCAUAAAUUAAUAUUAUGAGUGUAAAAAUUGAUGUCGAGAAUAAUAUACAAUUUUUUAAAAAAUCUGUUUAUGUUUUGCUUAUUUUUACUUGAUCUUUUUUGUUAAUAUAUUUUCAAAACUUAGGACUACUAAAAGAUGAGGAAAAAUACGACUAAACAACAUAAUGGAAAAAUAUUCAGCUAACAACACAAAGAAAAAUAAGUAUACAUUUUGGUGAAAAGAAACUCUAGAAAUUUUUCCUUUUGUUUUAAACUUUUUUUUUAAACUUAUGUUUUGCUUAUUUUUAAUAUGUAAUAUAUCUAUAUUUCUUAUCUUUUCUAUCAAAAAAAAAUUGCUUAUGUUUUGCUUAUUUUUACUUGAUCUUUAUUGUCAAUAUAUAGCAUAUCAGUUUUAGAUUAACAAGCUUUUUUUGUUGGGUAGAUUAACAACUUAAACACUACAUAUUUCUCUCAAUCUACAGUAAAACCUCUAUUAAUUAAUACAGUUGGGACUAAAAUAUUUUAUUAAUUUAUCGAGCUAUUAAUUUAUUAAUUUGUCAAUUGAUCCGAAAAACAAAUUUGGGACCGAAGAAAUGUAUUGAUUUAUCGAGGUAUUAAUUUAUCUAGUAUUAAUUUAUAGAGGUUAACAAACUUUUGAAAAUUUGAAAAUUUGAAAAAUUCACUGAUUACAUGAUCUAAAACUCAUAUGCUAUGUUAGAUGUAGCUAUCUCAUGUUUAAUUUUUAUAUUUAAAUGCAACGAUAACGUUAACGUUAUUGAAAUUAAUAUAAAACAUAACGGUUUUUUCGUCAACACCAUUAUGAUGGUUGUUAUGUUGUCAUUUCAAUAACAUUGUUGUUACAUGUGUGAAAAAUAUAUGACAAAUUAAGUGGACUGCAAGCACUAAAUUCCCAUCAAUUUGCAUUUUUAAUUGUUUUUAAUCAUGGAUGAGAAAAAAAGACUAUAGUUAAAAACAUCUUUCUGAAACCCAUGAUCUGUUAAAUGUAACUAUCUCACGCUACCGUUAAUUUUAGGUUGAACACCAUGGUACCUAGCGACUAUCGCUACUUCAUAAGAGAGAUUGGGAACAUGUUGAUGUUUAUUGCAGCUUCUCUAGAAUCAUUAAAAAAGAGUCGCAACGACAUAAUGAAAGAGAUAAAGAUGAGAGAAUAAGGAGAGGUGAAGGCUAUUUUUUUUGUCACCAGCCACUGUCGCAGCGAUAUUGCCCCGAGCAUACCCAUCAUCUAUCGUAUUUUAACAGCCUAUAAAUUCAUGGAAAGGAAUAUUAUUAUUAAUGUAUACUCAGAAGUUGAAAAUUUACAUAAAAUUUUGACAUUCUAUGACGAAAUUACAAAUGAUAUGACAAUAUAAUAGUUUAAAAAUACAACAUAAAAAAUGUUAGAUACGUAUAAAAGUAAGAGAAAUGCUCUAUUGAAAACUAUCUCUAAACAAAAAAAAAAUUCUUAAACAAACAGAAAAUCCCAAAAAAAUAUUCAUGUCUAUUUUUAUGUAGGCAUAUGUUAAAUUCAUAGACAGAAGAAGACUCUUGAGAGAAAAGUAGAGAACCCAGGAAAUGAGAGAGAGAGACAAUGCACGUGUAAAUUGACGACAUGGAUUUUGUUUAUGAUAGAGAGAAAGAGAGAAGUUCAUUCUUAACUAAGUUCUUAACAUUGAGAAGCAAGUUUUUUUUGAGUAAUUGGCCUUUAAGUCAUUAGACAUACUAACGAGUUCAAGACACGACACUCUCUCCUAUAUGACUUAUAUGCAAGAAUCGAGAUACAAAAGUGUUGACUUAAAAUGAAUUUACAACUUUUUUUUUCUUUUUACUUUUCAUAUGAAAACUCUUGAAACAAAUGAGUAGUUAGUUACACCUAUGUAGUUCAAAUUGUGUCAAUCCAGUAUUUAACCAUGAGUCUAUCAUUAUGUGGCUAGAGUACUAGAUCAAGAGAGUACAUAAAACAAAGAAUUGUUUGUUUAAAAUCAAAUUAUAAAAGUUUCAAACUAUAUAAAUAACAUAAUUUCAUACUAUUGUAUCAUUAUAUCAUAUAUUGUUGUUGUAUGUAUUCAUAAUAGUGAAAAAGAUUAGGAUCUUAGCUAUAUAAAUAAACAGAUUUAUACGUAAAAAAAGUAUAAUUAAUAUUUGGAGUCAAAAAUGAAUCUAACCAUAAAAAUUGUAAUUACAUAAGAUGGAUCUAACUUUAUUAACUACAUAAUAAAAGACUAAAUGAACAUAAAAUAGCAACAAUAAUGGUUAAUAACACAAAUUUUUAACAAUUUUUAAAAUAACAAUCCACGAUACGUGUGGGUAUUCACAUAGUUAAAGUAAUAGCUUACUAUGGGAUAUAAUCAUAUAUUAGGAUUUGCAUAACACGUGAGUGUAAAAAUUAAUGUCGAGGAUAAUAUAUAUAUAUAUAUAUUAAAAAAUCUGCUUAUGUUUUGUUUUUUUUUGACUUGAUCUUUUUUGUAAAUAUAUUUUCAAAAUUAGGACUACUAAAACAUGAGCAAAAAUACGAUUAAAUAACAGAAUAGAAAAAUAUUUAGCUAACAACACAAAGAAAAAUAAGUAUACAUUUUGGUGAAAAUAAACUCGAGAACUUUUUCCUUUUGUUUUAAACUUAGUUUUUGCUUAUUUUAAUAUGUAAUAUAUCUAUUUUUCUUAUCUAAUAUAUAUAAAAAAAUUUGCUUAUGUUUUGCUUAUUUUUACUUGAUUUUUAUUGUCAAUAUAUUUUCUUUGUUUUUUUUAUUACAAUAGUUGUAAUUAAAAAUAAGCUACUAAUGAAUCUUUUCAUUUUUAAAUUUUUUUUUUGUCGAGGCAAUAAUGAUGCGACAUUAGGAUGGUCACAACAACUUUCGACAUUAUGCAAGUUUUUUCAAGUAAUUGGCAUUUGAGUUGUUAGACAUAAUAAGGAAUUCAAGACACCAUAUUUUCUCUGAUAUGACUUAUAUGCAUGAGCAGAGAUGUAAAAGUGUUGACUUCAAUGAAUCUCCAAUUUUUUUUUAUUUUUUUCUUUUCUUUUCAUAUAAAAAUUCUCGAAGAAAAUGAAUAGUUAAUUAUACAUAUGUUAUUCAAGUUAUGUAAAUCUAGUAUUUAAUCAUGAGUCUAUCAUGAUGUGGUUGGAGUGCUAGAUCAAAAGAGUACAUGCAAAAAAAAAAUUUGUUUGUUUAGAAUAAGGUUAGGCAAGUUUCAAACUACGUAAGUAAACAUAAUUACAUAUUAUUGUAUCAAUAUAUCUUAUAUUGUUAUUGUUGUAUGCUGAAAACAGAUUAGGAUAUUAGCAAUAUAAAUAAUCAUAUUUAUACAUAAAAAAAGUAUAAAUGAUUUCAAAUCAAAGAUGAAUAUAACCUUAAAACUUGUAAUUACAUUAGAGGGAUCUAACUUUCGUAAGAACUUCUCUUUAUUAAACUACGUACAUAAUAAAACAAAAAUAAUAAAUAUAAUAUAGGAACUAGAACGGUCAACAUAAUAUUUUUUAACAAUUUUUAAAAUAACAACCACGCUACACCUAGUUAAAGUAAUAGCUAAUUACUGAACGUCAUCAUAUAUUAGGAUCCACAUAACACGUGAGUAUAAAUAUUGACGUCGAAACAGUGUAAAAUUUUGAUACCAAACAAUAAAAGUGUAAAAUUUAUGCCAUAUCAAAAGAAUUCACCGAUGUCUCUAUCUUUAUUCUUUAAAAUUUUAUAUAAAAGAUUUUUAUAUUUAAGUUAGAAGUCUCAAUGACAUCAAUAUACAUUUACUUUUCCUUAAAAAAAAAAAAAUACAUAUUUUGCAUCAAAUAUGGGUAUAUGAGUUACAAAAUAACAAUCCAAACUUGGAUGUUCCCAUACGCUUUGAGCACGCGCGUAAUCCAUUUGCGACUCUUCCCACUGCGCAUAUUUGACCCAACCUUAAUUUUUUCAUCUCGGGGAAAAGGAUAUUUUCGUAUCCAUACAAUCCGCAAAAUGUGUUUUCUGAUCUAUACAAACAUAUAGACUUAAUUCAUACCCAAACUACAAAAAAAAAUUUAGUUUCAUACUCAAACUUUACAUCUAGAGCAUAAUUUGGAAUCGUAAUUAACGAAUAUUUGUCAACCGUUACGGUUUUUGAGUAAGCUGACACGUGUAUGAUGAUGUGACUUAAAACGACGUCGUUUUGUUUGUUGGAAUUAAAGAUUUAUAAAAUUUGGGUUUCGAACCCACAACAUUAAACUCGUUUACGCAGCUCAUUACCAUCUGAUCCCGCAAUAGGCUUUUUAAAUAACUGAAACAUCGUGGGUUUUAAACCCGAUUUUUGAAUAUAUUUUUGGGAAAAUUGGAAAUAAAGGAUAAAUAUUUAAGUAUUUGUCCAUAUAUGAAUUCUAUGAACAAAUAUCAACUGAUCCUAAACUACCCCUUGCAUAAGAUUGAACCAAUUGUUUCAAAAACAAUUAAGAAAAAUUUGUAUUAAAAUGAUGAAGAAGACAUGAGGAUAUAUAAAAUGUCAAAAAUAUGUCGUUUUGUUGAUGUUUUAGAUGGAUAAAAUUUUAUCUAUAAAGUUUAGAAUACGUCUUCUGAAAUUAGAAUGUAUAUUCUAUACAUUCUACAUGUUCUACAAAAUUUAGAUUAUGUAUUCUACAAACUCUGCAUGUUCGGUUACGGCUUUAUGAUCAGGGGUUCAAGUCAUGGUUUUAGGGAUUUUACCUUUUUUUUUUAUUUUUAAAACAAAACGACGUUAUUUUGUAUUAUCGUACACGUGACAUCCUAUUCAGCUUUCUGUCAACGGAACAUUAACGAUGUUUGACGAUUUGUAGGUUUAGACCGGAUUUGUUUUGUUCGUGUAUGAAAUUUAAAUUUAACAUGAGUUUAUAUAGUUAAAGGCACACAACAAAGUUUUAUGUAUGAAUACGAUAAAGCAACUAAGUUUAGGAGAGAAUUGGCCGUUUUCCCGCAUCUUUCCCAGUCAUAUAACCAAAGUUACAAUCUCGUUCGUCGGAGGCCAUGAGAUCGCGUUUUGGUUUUUUCUUUCUUUUUAGGGUUUCUAGAUUUUGGAAAUGAGAGAGUAAGACAAAGGGAUUCAACGAACAUAGCGUUUACAUACACGCACAAAAUAGAAUUGGUUAUUAAUGGGCCACAAUAAGUUACGCUUAUGAUAUCUCAAUCUUGGCCCAUUUUAAAUCUACUUGUGCAAAAGAAAAAUAUUUCAGAAAUUCUAAAAAAACCCAAAGACCCAACACUAGAACAAUGACCUUACGCAGGCGAGCAAAAAACCGAGGAAACUAGAGCAGUGCGUGAGAGGAUGGAUAAACAUCAACUAAUUGAAUAUUUUUUCAAGUCCUUUUUUGAUGUUGUUGUUGUCAACAACAUUUUUCCAAGCCAUUUGAACUACUCUAAACAAAGAAGUUAAGUUCUUCCUAAAUUUGGUUCAUGGCUACAAUUUAUAUUUUAGAACAAAGGAAGUACUAUUUUAUCAUAACCAUCUUUCAGCAAUUGUUUCUUCUUUAAAAGAUCUAGAAGGUUUUGAUAACUAACAUAUUUUCUAAUGACAUAAUAUUAGAUAAGAUAUAUAUUUUUAAAAAAUAAUAGAAGUGCACAAGUAAACAUAAAUUUGGUACAUUGGGAACAAACUUUAAUGAAGCUAUAUCUUAAUUCCAUUCUUUAUUUUUCAAAGUCUUGAAAAUGAAAAGAUCCUUUAAAUUGUUCAAAAAUUUAAAGAUAACAAAUGAGAAAUUUAUAUAAUAAAUAACUAAAUAAAUCGCAGAAAUCUUUUAUUAUAUUAAUAUUCAUCCAUAGCACCAUAACACCAUAACACUCAAUCUUCAAUAUCUUCUAAAUCUGCAAAACCAAACACAAAAAUUUUGAGCAAUUCCUACAAGAAAAACAAAAAUCUUAUGACCAUUUAACUUUAUAUCAAAAAGAUAAAAAAAAAAAACUCACAAGAUAAUAGAUUGCCCCGUUUUGGAGAGGUUGAUAAGUAACACCAAAUUCAUCUGUAUGAAUAGGUUGCCCAAACGAGUUGAUCAAAACAGCAUCGUUUCCAAAAGCUGCUUUAACGUUGAAUAAUCCGGGCACUACCUCAAAAGGCAUGUCGUUAAUAAACACCGUCAUUCGCACCGGAGAAACACUAUUCUCAACAUCUUCAUCACCGGAUAAUAUUAUAUCUCGUUCUUCUUGUGACCAAUGGAACAUGUUUUGAUAAUUAAUGUUAGUCAAAAUAAUGAAAUAAUACUAAUUUAUCCCAAGAAAAUAAACAGUCAAAUCUAAAGACCAAAACGUCUUUUCCCCAAAACACGUAUGCAUGCGUUACUCGUUCCAAAAUAUAGGAUAGUUGAAUAAUUUAUUUGCCAUAUUAUAUGAUUAUGACCUAUCUAAUAUUAUAUAUAUGACCAAUAUAUAUAUAUACAAACUAAUAUAUGAAUAAUGAACGUACAUUUCUAUGUAUAUGUGACAUGUGAUAACACAUGCAUACGUAUGGUAAGAACUAUAUGAUAUAUACUAAAUUUGGUACACUAAUUAUAUAUAAAUGCAUUAUUUAUAAUAUUUAUUUUUUUGUAUGUUGAGCAAAUGAAGGAAAUAAAACUAUUUCGAAAAGAAAAAUAUGAACAAUAUUUACUAUUUCGAAAUGAUUAAUUCACCUUGAGAUUGAUUGAUGGCUAAUGGAACAGUCAAAGGAGCAGUCAAAGGAGAAAAACAAUUUCCACCGCCAUUUCCAUCUCCUCCGUAUAGAUUGAUCGCCGGAAUUUUAUCAAAACUGUCAUCAGUCUCCAAAUUAACGCCGUUAUUAACGGUAGAGAAAGCCAUCCCUUCUUCCGUUACCACCGGUACAACAAAAUCACUAAAACCAAACCCUGAUUGAGCUGCGCUCGGAUCAUUAUGAACCGGGAAUAGAAAACUGGCCGGUUCGGUUACCACCAAUUCAUUGUUUUGAACCGGAAAUAAUCCGGUUUCUUGGUUAACAAAACCAAAACAAUGAUCAGCAUCAUUAUUAGGAAUAACCAUCUUGUCCUUCUUUGACAUUUUAGGGUUUUUGUGAUGAACACGAAGCUUGUGUUUUGCUCGAGAUUUCCGGUUUUGAAACCAGUAAAACACAUUAGCAUCACCGAUUUGACCGUACUCUUGAAGCCGGAUCCGGAUUCUUUGAAUCUCCUCUCUAGGUGGGUUAACAGUACCGGAAUUGAAGAUUGAUUCGAGUAUCCGAAUCUGCUCCGGUUUAGGGUUCCAUCUCGGUUUAGGAUCUGGUACCCGAUCUGAUUCAUAGAGCGGUUUAUAUCAUCAUGCAUGCAUGUCUUAACAUAUGUACAUAAAAUCGUUCAUAUAGCUUAUUUCUACAAUCAAGUAAAACUAAAAAUAUACUUUUUUCUAAUAAAAUUAACAGAAGAAAAUGAAGGAGAUAAUGUAAAUUUUGUGGUACCUGAAGAAAAGGAAGAUGAUAGGUUGCAAUUAGAGUAGUGCAUGUAAGAUGGAGUAUCGAUUUCAUGUUGAUGAUGAUGAUUAUUGUUGCAAGGUUUGGAUUUGAACAUGCUUGGCCAAUUUUUGUUUGAGGACAUGAUGAUGAAUUGAUGAUGAUGAUGAUGAUAAUGAUCGAGAGAGAUUACUUAGGGUUGAUAGGAUGAUGAUUGAGAGAGAUUACUUAGGGUUGAUAGGGUAAUGAGAGAAGAGCAAAUCUACUCUCACGUUAUAUAUUAGCCUCUUUACCUACCCUUUGGUUUUUCGUUUUACUACAUUUAAUAACUAAUAGAAAUUAUAAAACGUAAAAUUAGAGCGAAAGAAAAAAAAAAGCAAGGGAAAUUGCAUACUGUGUGCAUUUCUCAAGAGACACAAAUUUUUUUACUUUAUCAAUUAAACUUUGUUUUUGUUUUUUUUUUUUUUUGUGUACGUUCAUUACACUUGUUUUGUGUCUAUGUAAUUCGGAUUAAUUGAAUUCGUACUCUUAAACUAAUUAUCAGGAAAUGCAUAUGAAGUGAUGAAAUUUUAACCAAUUAUAAAGUGUUUUUUUUUUAAAUACCAUACGAUUUAUAUAUCUACUUUUAAAUGAAUUUUCAUACAAUUCUUUCUCUCAUUUUCAUAAUAUCGGUUGUACAAAUUAAGUAAUUAAGAUGGGGAUUUGGAUUGACUCGAGGGGUCAUAUUUACUCAUUAAAUAUUUAGUCAAUAAUAAGAGAAAUCUUUAACAGAAAUUAAUUAAAUGAAACUGAAGUAAUGGAUUGCUUUUAGUUAUGCUUUAUCAAUAUAAUUAGAUGGAAAAUUCUCAAAUAAUUAACCAUGUUAAUUUGAAACCGUUUUCUUUAAGUAUGUGAAUAUGUGGAAAAUAGACAGAAAAAGAACAAUGUAACUGGUGCAAAAGUGGUGACUUGUCCCCAUUACAAAUACGGCACACUUUCAGUCUCAUCAUCUAAAUUGACUAUGAGGAAAAAUACAAAUCUUCACAAACUACGAAGACUUUGAAUUAAAGUGAUUUUUCUGCCGUUUCUAGAUUUACUUUUGAUUUUCAGCUACAAUCUCCCCUCUUCUCUCUUUUUUUUUUCACAUAACUUUGAUAAUAUCAUAAAUAUUUUAUCUGUUUUUUAUUUAUAAAAAAACAGUAACCAUAAAUUCCGUUACACAAAAUUUCAAAACAACCCUAAACAUGAAAAAUACGACGUAUAUAGAGCAUGAAACCCACAUCAAAGAAUCCGUUACACACAUUUUUUUCCUCUUUUUUUUUUCCCUCAAACUUACAGCUUUGUUUAUUUAUUAGUGUAUUAUUUAAGAAUCCGUUCAUACAGCUUUGUUUAUUUAUUAGUAUAUUAUUUAAAUGUUCACAAGUUUUUAUAUUUCACACAAAGGAUUUCUAUUGGUUAGUAGAUUUUGUUAUACAAUAUUUGUAUUUCACCAAGCAUCAUUCUUAUUUGAUAAAAUUUUGUUACAAAGACAAUUUUUAGAGCUCUACACAAAAACGAGCACUUACAAAAACAUUGGAGCGAAAAUUUAAAAUUAGUAAACAUACAUUUGAUUUCAUGAGUUCGAAUACAGAAAAGAGGUAAUGACAUUAAUGUUUUGGCGUAACUGAAUUUCCCUCAGAGAAUUUGAACCAAAGAUAAAAGAAAAACAGUUCAACUAGAUCGACAAAUCUAAACAAAAUCAUUUGUUAUUCGAUCAAAAUUAUAAAAAUUCGUGUAGUGAUUUACCACUAGAUUUAACUACGAUUUCAGCUCAAAGUAGAAGAGUAAGCUUUGUAAAAAAAAAAAUUUCUUUGUCAAAGUAAGCUUUGUAAAUUUGAAACGAUUUCUAAACACUAAUUAAAAUCUUCAUGUUAGAUUUAGAAAUCAGUGAGUUUUAGUUACGAGCUAAAUACAUAGUUUUACAAAUGAAUUAAGACUUCUAUGAACCUUGUGUCUCUAGGAUAGAUCUUGGUCGGCUUGAAAACAUUGGGUUCAGCAAAAUCGAUUUAAAAAAAAACGUUAAAAAAAAACAAAACUUUUGUCACAUAAUAACUAGUAUAUGUUUACAUAAUAUAUGCAAAAUAUUCGUUUAAUGUUAACUAAAUAAAGUUGGGGUUGAUUACAAUAUCACUAAUCACUUUAAAUGAAUAUAUAAAGAGUUUCACAGGUAUAGCUUGGUUAAAAAUGUUUUCAGUUAUCCGAUGUCAGUCUCUAUUUAAUACUCCCUCCGUUUCGUUUUAGUUUUCGUUUAAGGUUUUUUCACACAGAUUAAGAAAACAUUAAAUUUUCUGUUUUACCCUUUAUUAAUAUAUUUUAUAAAAAAAUUUAUUGGCCACAACAUUAAAACAAUAGGAAUAAUACUGGAAUUUUUACCAAAUAUUUGUAUUGAAAACCUAAAACGACAACUAAAACGAAACAAAAUUUAAGUCCUAAAACGAUAACUAAAACGAAACGGAGGGAGUAUCACGUUAUUGUACAUAUAUGAUGUAUUGUGCCUCCAUGUAUAUAUUCAUUAAUAGACAAGUGUUAGUUUACCCGUACGUUUAUAGUAAAAAUAACAAUUAGGAUGAAUCAUUCAUUUUUCGAUUACAAUAAAAUAAUUAAUGAAUGAACAAUCGUACAUAUAACUACAAGAUUUACUAUGUAAUAACAAUCAACUCCACAUAUAUGUAUAUAUUUCUUUCCAAGUAUAUACAUGCAUAUCUUUCUUCACAAGGAUGACACAUUACAUUUAGCUUUUGAAACAAAACCAAACAUAUACAGUGAAUGAUUAAACAAAAAUGAAUGUAAAAUGGUUCAUAUUUAUAUAUGCAAUGAGUAGUAGUAGAGUAAUUACAUAGGGAGACAAAUAUAUUUUUUCUUUUUGACUUAUGCUUUCUGAUUUUGUCACUUUUACCAUUGCCACACGCCUCAUCUUUUCCCGCCAAUCCACGCCGCUUUAAUGAUGAUCAGAUUGGACACUUUUUGUUUUCUUGAUACUACUAACUAAUCCAUCAUACCAUCGCAGUCUUUGAAUAACUUUUACGACUACAACAAAAAUGUUAACGACUAAAUAUAUAAUUAAUUACGGAUUUUGCCCUUUUUCAUAGUGAUAUUUGUAGAUUUUGCCAUUUUUUGAAUAGUUUGUGGAUUUUACCUUUUUGCAAGCUCUAAAAAUAUGAUUUAAUAUGCGUUUCACUCGUUAUGUUUGGGUUUAGUCGGUUACAUUUGUUCUUAGGGUUUAGUAUUUGGUAUAAAGUAUGUAUUUUUGCAAAAAAAAAUCACAAAAUACGUACAUUUUUAAGUGUUUAAAAAGGGCAAAAUCCGUAAACUAUUCAAAAAAUCGCAUUUUCGUAAGUUUUUCCCCAAAAAUGGUAUUUUAAACAAUAAUCCCACUAGAUAUAUCCUAUAUAUAUUUCUGAUUUUCUGUAUUAUGGAUAAACUAGUGAUUAUUUUUUCUUAACGUGGUAUCUCAGCCCCAGCAUGACAUAAAUUAGAGUUUUAGGGAGAUAAAAAUUGAUUGAUCUUUUCUUAUGUGAAACUCUUUUUGAGCUUUUAUUUUGAUUUUUUUACAAGUAAUUUGCACUUUUAAUAGUAAUUUGCACUUUAUUGUCCUAAGUUAAAGCUCUAAUUAUUGUGUAGAACCUUGACUUGUGUUCAUUCCAAAAAACUAAAAAGAUUUGGUUUUCGUCCGGGUCCAAACUACAAUCACAUUCAACCUUUUUUGUUCGAGUUUCUUUUGGUAAUUAUACAACUCCGAUCUUCGAUUAACAACUAUUCGCAACCUCACAAAUACUCACUCGUGUGUAUACGAACUUCGAAUCAGCUCAAAAACAAUGAAAGAAAUUGCGGAAAACGAAAGAACACACGUUUGUUACCCAGUUCGACAAGAUCGGUGUGAUCAGGUCUACGUAUGGGGCCGAAUCAGUUCGGCAAUCCACUAUCUCAAAGAGAUGAAACAAGAUCCAAGCUUGAGCUCACAACAUUGGAGUGUCAGCUUUCUGUUACAAAGAAGAGAAUAAAAAACAAUAUAGAGAAGGAGAGAAGAAUGGGGUAUUUAUAACAAACCCAAAUACUUGAUAACCCUCUCUCGCGAAAAAAGACUUCCAAUUGCUCCUUCAAUCUCGGUUUACCAACUCCAUCAAACCGGCCAUCAAUUCUUCUUAACAAGACAAUUAAACCAAUUGCAAAGUUGAAUCAGAAUCAAUAUCCACAACAGUAAUCUAAAAAACCAUUUGACCAUCAAGUUAGUAUAGUGUUCGUCGGAGGUUUUCUAAUAAGCGGUUUUACUCUUGAUAUGAAAUUCUCCAUUCCUAGUACUUUUACUAAGGCAUCUUUUCUUAUUUUGAAAAUUUUUCAUUUCUAGUACUUUUCUAAGUAAACUAUAAUCCCAUGAAAAAGGAUAAUAUUUCGAUCACACAUGGAUUAGGAUAAACUCAUUGCCAUUAUCAGACCUACCUCUUCUUUACAUGUCCCAAUCAAAACCGGUUAUUAUUGAUGUACCAAACCAACAUUCUUGAUACAUCUUCUGCUUUUGCCAUUUUCAUUUUUUAUAAACUGUUACAAAGUGUUUGUAAUUGUUAUUUGCAACGACUCUGAAUUCGGCUAUGUAAUGGUGCUAAUGAUAUAUUGUAGUUUUUAAAUAUUUUUUGGCAACAAAUGUGUGUGGCAUUUAGUAUUUAAUUUUUGAGAGUGAAAAUUGUACAAGAGAAUUCAUAUGGAACUUUUGUCUAUUAUUAUAGACUAUAAUAAUAUUAUAGUCAUUGGAUUGGAUUAUAGUCAAAAUCAUAUCGGAUUGGAUUAUAGUCAAAAUCAUAUCGUAAUAAGCUGUAUAAUCUAAUCCAAUCAUAUCGGCUAUGUAAUGUGGCAUAUAUAUAUAUUAUAGUCAUUGGAUUGAAGCUGUGAAAGAAUUAGAAAGAAAAGAUUUUUAAAUAGUCUCGUAAUAAUGUAUUAUUUCAAUUAAACCAUUUUCAAAAAAAAAAAUUGUAUUAUUUCAAAUUAGGCAGAAUCAUAUCUGUUGUGAAUUUGGUUUUGUAAGUUGUGUGUUUAAUUAGAAAACGAAAUUCAAACAAGAUUUUCAGAUUUUUGUGUAUCUCUCUAGAACGAUCGACCUAGAAGAUCGUCGAUGAAGCAAAAGACGGAAGAGGAGGAACUCGAAACACCGCAAAUCGUGAAGGAAUUGAAUUGAAGCCUAACAUGUUCGUAAUUUGAAAUUUAAACAAGGUUGUGCCUGAUUUUUGUGCUUCUCUCGAAGGAACUCAAGGAGGAGGAACUCGAAACGCAUAAGAUUGGGGCAAAUCAUGAAGGAUUUCAUCUUCGUAAGUGUUAUUUAGGGUUGCGAUUCUUAAUUGGUUCUAUUUCAGAGAGAUUGUUACUCCUUAUAUCUUUGGGACUAUUUCUUUGUUAAAAUCUUUUGGUUGAUCACUGCUACAAUCGUUUCUUUGUUUGAUUCAUGUCAAGGUUUGAUGAUUGACUCAAGGAGGAGCAACUCGAAACGCUUGUGGUGAAGAAUUUAAAACCUAAUAUGUUCGUAAGUUACAUACAUGUGAAUAAUUUCUUCAUUUUCUUAUUGCAGGUUGUUGUUACAUGUGAAUGGAUGAUAAUUUUGCAGAUGAAUAGAAUUACUGCCAAAGGGAGCGAUAUUUGAUAAGGUUCUCGAUGUUUGCUUGAUGUACUCUCUGAAUUUGGCUCAUCUUUUGUUUUUCGAGUAACAUUAAUAUGUGUCUUAGGGGCUACAUCGAGUCUUCUUUGUUCUUUAUAUGAGUCCGUUUUGUCACUUCACUUGAGCAAAUGUCUUUUGUACCUUGAUUACAGUACUUGUGUAAAUAGUGUGGUGAGGAUUUUUUUCCUGAAAAUAUAAUUCCCAUAAACAUUCUACUUCCAUCUGAUUUAUUAAUACUAAGUUAUCUGAUCAAAUCUGGUUAUGCUAUCUGUAUGUUUAUUAUUCUUUUACUUGGGAUAAUUAAUGACCUUAUAUUGGUCUGUUUAAUAGAGCAUAACCUAAGAAGUAUUGACUGAGCCGUUGUACGAGGAUUAUGGGCUUGAUUUCAUGGAUUUUAUAUAGAAGAAUUCUCAUUCUCAUUCAUGGAACUAAGCCCUCUUUCACCCUAGAUGUGGAAUUCAGUUAUUAUGAUACACAAGUUCUUUCUCUGUCUUUCAUAUCAUGAAUUAUACAAUGAGGUAUACGAAAAGGUUCAUCAACAAUAUUUCCAUUCAAAUAAUAAUAAGAAGUAGAGUGUAGACAUGGACUAAUUCUCUUUCUUGGAGACAUCGACUAAUUCUCUUUCUUUCAGGUUUAUUAAGAGAAUGUGCAAUCCAAUUCUUUCACCAAAGUCUCUCAACUAUAAAAGUAAUAAUAAAAUAAAAAAUAAUAAUAUUUAAUUAUGUGAGUUUUUCAAAAAAGUUGAGAGAAUCUCUCAUAGGAGAGACUUUGAGAGACUUUCUCCAUUUUUUUGAAAGACUCACAUAAUUAAAUAUUAUUAUUUCUUAUUUUAUUAUUACUUUUAUAGAUGAGAGACUUUGGUGAGAAACUGGCAUUGCAUAUACUCUUAUGCUCUGUUUUCUGCUGGAAUUUACAAACGCUUAAGGACUAGACUGACUUUGAAUUUGAACUUGGAGAAACAAGAAUCGCUUUCAAGCUCAUAAAAGACAAGUAAUACAGUCACCAUCACAAAAAAAGAUUAGAAAAGUUACGAGAUAUUGAACAACAACGAGAUUAGAUGUAUUUUUACUUCCUAUAUAAAGGAAGCAUUUCUCGAUUUUUAUGUCUCACAAUCUGCUCUUAGGUCUACAAAACAUUUCUCUUCUCCUAUCACUGCAAUGGCUUAUCUAGUUAUCUUCCCACCGGCACUCGUGUUCCUACCGGUACUCGUCUUCCCACCGGCUCUCUCCCUCUCAUUGGCUCUGUCCCUUCCUCCGGCUUGCUCCCAUUUCCGGCUGCUGUUUCCUUGCCGCCAUUUUGUUCAUGUUUUAUUUAAAAAAAUAAAUCGAAAAAAGGAAAUAUUUGAUGAAGUUUUCCUUUCCUUUGAUCUAGUUAGUUGAAUCAUACCGUUUACACUUUACUUAUUGCUGUUUUUUGUUUGUUUUUUGGAUCUUCUAAAAAAAUUGUGAUGAUUAUUAGCUACUAGCGAUAUAAGACAAAUUUGUGCAUGGUCUUUCUUUUUCUAUAACUGAUUUAUAUUCACAAAUAUCUUAUUUACAAACUUGCGUUUUUAAUGAGAAAAUUAUAAUUCGUCAAUUCUUAAUCUAUCAUUAUCACCUAAAUAUAUUUCGAUAUUAAUUAUAUAUAUUACCAAAAAAAUUCAAGAUAUCCGCUAACGUAUGUCAUGCAUUUAACCUAAUAUUUAGUUUGUUAACCUCUACCAACGAAAAAAGGUGAGUUAGAUUAAAACAAAGAAAGCCGCCGUGUAUAUUCACAAAGAUUUGAUUGUACAAUUGUUUAUAAAAUAACUAUAGCAAUAAAAAUAAAAUAAAAUUAAUUUACCUUCUCCUAUUUGAAUUAGGCAUAUUAUUUUUACUUUUCCUAUAUAAUAGAAUUAGGAGCACUUCACCUAACCAUUGAGAUGAAUCUUUAUGAUGUUUUGAUGAUAAAUUAUCUCUUAUUAGUUCAAUUCAUGUCUCAUUUCGUGACUCUAAGCUAACUCUUCUUCUGCAAUCUUCAUUGAGUGGGCAUGGGCAUGUAUCGGUACGACUCUUCAGUAUUUGGUGAAUACUUCCCAUUUCACUAUAGUGGUUUUCCAACGGUUGGUAUGUCUUGAGUAGCAUGUUGAUGUUAAUUUAAAAUUAAAUCACAAUGAGCACAAGCUAAUUCAGAUUUUAUUACCUUUUAACUUUUAGCUCAUAUGUACAGUUACUCCUGCGUUAAGCAGUAGUAGCUACUAGCUAGUAAACUCAUAAUACAUUGCAGUUGCCAGCAGGACAAAGAGAAUAGAAACUAAUGCAGUAAGGUGAUUUCUUAGGCUUUUUGGUACUGAGUUCUAUCUGGAAGAUAACCUAAAUCUCGGCUAUAAUAUACUUUGUUUCAUAUCUUGUAGUUUGAUAUUUAACAAUUAUAUGUAUGGUGGAAAAUUUUUGAUGACUAAGAAAAGUCCACUAUUUCAAGUACAACAUAAAACAAAACAAAAAAAAAUAUCGAAAUACAUGUAUAUGUAAAUGUUUUUUUUAUUUAUUUAAAUUUGUUCAAAUAUUAGAGGAAAAAGCAUAAUCUUGAUCUCUUAGUCUUCAAUGGUUUUAUCUUAUUCUUUGCCUUAGGUGGCCUCAAAGCUACCCUUAUCGCUGUAUCAAACACUGCCUUCACAUUCUAUAAAAUUUUGAAAAUAAUAAUAAAUCAGUUUACUAAAUUUUAUUGUAUUAUUUGAAUCUAUGUAUAUUAAGUAAUUAAAUUUACAUGUAUAAAAUUUAAAUACCUGUUGGGUUUUGGAGCUGCACUCUAAGUACCUUACGGCUCCAAUCAUCUUCCUUAAUUCUUCUCCCUGUUACUCAAAUUCAUUCACACUUUCAAAUCACAGUUUAUGAUUAUUUUCUUAUAUAGAUUAAACUAUUAAGAAUAUUUACUUUAAAAAAAAAAAGAUUAUCAAAUUAAGUUAUUUAUUAAUGGUACCUGAGCAGUUGUUAUAGAUACUGAUCCAGGAUGAUCCUUCAAGAACUGCUUAUCAUCCCUCAAAUCUGAAUUCAUUUUGUGUAACAUUAUUUUUCCAAAAACAAAGAUACUAUAAAUAAAAAUCAUUUAUCAAAAACAAAAGAUAUUAUUAAACAAAAUAAAUCAAUGUUUAAAUGAUAGAGCCUAAAUGGGCCAUUACUCCAAACCUUAUUGAUAAGACCAUAACGAAUUUUUGACUAAAUGUUGAUUAAAAUUCUUUAAGAACCAAUAAAAGAAUACUUUUUGUACCUAAUUUUGUACCGACGAGCACAAUGGGGAUGCUAGGCGCAUAAUGUUUCAGCUCCGGAAGCCACUAUUAAUCGACAGAUUAAUUAAUCAAUCUCGGCAGUAACUAUUCUACAAAUGCUUUUACCGUAAUCAAAAAUAGAAAAAGAAGAAUAGAUUUUAAAGCUACCUUUUUGUGAAUAUUCUCGUAACUGGCCUUGCUAAUAAGGGAAAAUGCUAAUAAAAACACAUCUGCUCCUCUGUAACUCAAAGGCCUAAGUCUAUUAUAAUCUUCCUGCCCUGAUAAUUCCACAUUAAUUAUAAUUAUAACUUAAAUUAUCAAUAAUCAGUUUUAGUAUAAUCAAGUAAUCAUACGUACCGGCAGUAUCCCACAGACCGAGGUUCACGGUACUCCCGUCGACCACCACAUUUGCGCUGAAAUUGUCGAAAACUGUUGGAACAUAAUCCUGUAAAUUAGAUAGUUAAAUCAUUUAUAGAUCAAAAAAACAUAUUUAGAACUAUGUUUCUUAAGUAAACAGAUAGCAAAAUACAGCAGCUUGGGUUUGAAUUCAGAUUUAGUUUAGGUCCAGUAGUAUCAAAUGAGAAAUAUUCGUUUUUACGUUUACAAUUCUCAAAAAAAAUAUAAGAUUAAACACUAAGAUAUAGAAAUAUAAACCAAAAGACGAAACUAAGCUCGUAUUACUAAACUAGGCUUUGUUGAAACGAAUCUUCAAGAGACUAAAAACUCUUAAAACAUCAAUUUUGAUAAAGAUUUUAUAAAAAUUAAAAGAAUUGUUAAGAAAUUAACAGUUACCGUAGGAAAAGUAUUGCUGGUAUAUGAAAUUAGCAUACAAGUCUUUCCUACUGCUCCAUCUCCGACAGUCACACACUUAAUGAAUCUUGCUGUGCUCAUUUUCUUUGCUUCUGUUUCAAUUUCUCCUGUUUUUUUUUUUUUUUUUUAAUGAAUUUGUGUAUGUGCUUGGCUUUUAUGUUCAGAAGAGAAGAGAAGUGGUGGAGGGUUCUUAAGAAGGUUUUUGUGAUGAUUAUUAUUGUUUAUUGGUGAGGAGGAUGAUUCUGAUUACAACUAUUAUUGUUAGUUAUUAUUUUCUUAUUGGUCUAUGAUGAAAUUUGAAGCAAACAUAUCAAAUUAUCCGAAUUAAUACCGAAUUAAGGAACUUAUAUAUCCUCAUAUCGAAUAAACCAAGUAACCCGAACAACCUCUCACUGAAUCAAUUGAAUUAUUUUUUUUCUUAAAAUAAAAAUAUUAAAUUCAUAUAUUGAAAGUAGUUAAUUGUUAUUUUAAAAAUUUAUUCACUUAUUUGUAUUUCUCGCCAAAUUUGAUCUGGUUGCUCACCUUUUGCCUUUCGUAUUGGUCAAAUAUUUUUAAUAUAAUUAAAUUAAUGAGUUAAAAUGAUUAGGAAUUGAGUAUUUCUUUUACUUCAAGUGCAAGAUCAUGUGGUCACCGAAAGUGAUGUAGUCGUUUGGUGUUGGUUGUGAGUGGAUUUUUAAGUGUUGGAGAAGGAACUCUCAUCUUACUUUCUUUAGUUUUUUUACAUUUUUUAUUUAAAAAAAUUGCAUCUAUAUUUUAUGUUUUGUCUUAUUUGAUCCCAUUUUAACAACAUUAAAUAAUGACAUGAACGACUUAAAUAUUACAAUUUUUUUAGUGUGUUCAAAAACAAUUUCCAUCAAACAGUUUUUUUGACGUCAUGCAUCCAACAGUUUUCUUACGUUAUCCAACAAUUUUCUUUUAAAGUAUUUUGCAUGUAGUAACACCCUCAUGCAAGUAUAUGAUGAUUCAUAAUACUUUUUCAUAUAUGAAUGAUCAAACGGUCACGGUGGAUCCAAAAAUACUUUUAUGGGAGGUAAAUAAAGUUUGGUUCGAGGGGAAUAUACAGAUAGAGGCAAAAAGUUUAACUCAAUUCAAAUUACACUAAUUAUCAAAUAUUGAAUCAAUGUACGUCCGCCUUAUUAAGGUUGAUGCUACUAAUUCUAUAAUUUGAGAUUAUAGAAGUAUAUAUACUUUGGUGCUUUAAUUAGUAUCAUACGUAAAUCACUUGAAAUAUAAGUUACCAUUAGAUUAGAGGUUAUAAUGCGUAGAGCACAAGUUUAGGAACAAUAAGUAAUCAAAUUCUUUCUUUCCUAAAAACUGACUUUGUGUAUCACUUCCUCAUUAUGCUAUUUUUAUUUAAGAUUUUGCAUUAAUUGAAAACUAGAGCAUAAUAAGAUAAAAAGGUUCACAAUAAAUAAAAAGUUGUAAAGAUAAGCCCACUAAUUAAAAAAACCUCAACUUGAACCAAGUAGUAUCCAAAGAAGAAGAGCCCAAUAAGAAUAAACCUCAAGAAUAUAAUAUCUUGAGAUGUAACUUGUAAGUUGAAAGAGCAAUCCUCGACUUCUCCUUGAUAGAUCAGAAGUGGUAUUAUUUAAUGAUGAGAGUCUCUAAAAAGGUGGUGAGAGACUUUGAGAGACUUUCUCUACCUUUUUGAGAGACUCUCACAAUUAAAUAAUAUAUUUUCUGAUUUUAUUAUUUUUUUUUUACAUGAAAAACUUGGGUGAAAGACUCUCAUUGCACAUACUCUUAAGGUUUAUUCAAUACUUGUACACCAAAUAUAAGCUUUGAUACCCCUAUUAUAUGUAGGUAUGAAAUGAUUAUUAUUAAGUAAAUACGUUAUAGUUUUAGUUAUAUGUGUGUUGAUAAAAAAAUAAAGUUAUAGGUAUUAGGGAUUUGGCAUAAAGAAGUCGAACGAACAAGAGAUAUAAGAGCAUGUGCAAUGAGAGUCUUUCACUUAAGUCUCUCAUGUAAAAAAGAAAUAUAAUAAUAAAAUAAUCAAAAUAUAUUUUUUAAUGAUAACAGUCUCUCAAAAAAAUGGUGAGAGUCUCUCAUUUGAGAGACUUUUUCUACUUUUAUGAGAGACUCUCAUCAUUAAAUAAUACUUCUUAUUGUUUUUAUUUUUUUUACAUGAGAGACUCCCGUUGAACAUGCUCUAACUACUGAAAGGUUUUAUUUGUGUCACAAGAAUAAAGAAGAUAUUUAACACCGUGUACUAAUUAUGAGCUAUCCAUGUCACUAUUAAAUGCAUACCUAAUACCUAUAAGAUUGUUUGUCUGAUUCCUUGAUCCAUUUUUAGGUAUAAAGUCAUGUAGUACCGUUAAUAGUUAGCUCGAAAUAAGUUAUUUUAAACAAAAAAUUAAGAUAUAUAUAGUCAUAAAUUUAAUGAAUACCGAGAUUAUACAGCAUUACAACAUUUAAAGCGUUACCUAAAUAAUUUCAGAUGGAAGUUAAUUAACGUUACCCGCAGAUUAAUUAGUGUUUGUUUUGUGAAAAUUAUCUAUUCAAUAUACGUCUUCCAAAAUUAAAUACUGUACUACAUACUUUUUGUAUCAUAUAUAAUUAUUAAAAUGUGACUACUUCAUUUUUUCGCUUCGGUUAUUGAAUUUGUAUUUUCACCUUUGAAAUACUAUAUAUAAUGUGCUUAUACACUAGAAGGUGCCAACCAAACUUGUCAUUUGUCUGCACUCUAAACUUUCAUAACAAUGAGAAAUCAUCACACACAUUCUUCUUCGUCUUUUUCCUUCAUCAUCUUCCUCUUCCUGUUCUUCAUCUCCUUCUCAUUCUCAACAUCAAAACUCGAACCCGCAAAACCUAAAAGAAAACAUUCAGUUUCAGCUAUUCUCGUGUUCGGAGAUUCAACCGUGGAUCCAGGAAAUAACAACUACAUCGACACAAUAUUCAAGUGUAAUUUUCCGCCCUAUGGACAAGAUUUCAAAAACAAAAUUCCCACCGGUAGAUUUUGCAACGGUCGACUCGUCACAGAUUUCAUUGGUUAGUGUUCAUAUAUGUAUACAACUGAAAUAUAUUGAUUAUAUAUAUAGUGAACCUAAAUAUCAUACAUUUAUGUAUAGCUUCAUACAUUGGUGUGAAGGAGAAUGUGCCACCAUAUUUGGACCCAAAUCUUGGAGUAAAUGAGCUAAUAAGUGGAGUUAGCUUUGCUUCAGCUGGUUCUGGAUAUGAUCCUCUCACUCCAACCAUUACUGUUAGUGUCCAUGUCCAGUCCAAUCUCAAUCUCUUUUUUCUUUUCUUUUUUUAAUAGAAAUCUCCAUCUCUUUCCACUCUUUUAUUUUUGGACAUAAUUAAGAAGGAAAAAAUAUCAAUUAUAUACAUCUGGGUCUUUAUUUUAUUAUUGCCAUGCAUAACCAUAUUGCUGCUAAUGGGACUUCCAAACCUCAAUUUAAGCUCAAAUGUCUAUAUGAUGGUUUGACUAAUGUUUUUGAGAUGAUUAUUACUUUUUUCUUUUGUCAAUCUGGUCUUGUACAUAUAAAUUUACCAAAGAAAUAGGAUAGAGUAAACUUUCAGAAUCUAAAUGACGGUUUUAAGGACUACAAAUUGAGAAUAAAUGAUGCUUUAUACAUAUUUUCAAAUUAUAAGAAAAAAAAAAAAAGUAAAAUAUGGGAGUACAUUUCUUUCUUUUACACGAAAUAUUACAUUUUCGAUAUUGAUAUAUAGAUGUGUGAAGUUAUGAACAAACCAAUCAUUUAAUUUUCGGGGCCAUAAUAUUUCAAAAAAUAAUUGAACCUCAUAUUCUUAAAUCCAAAAAGCAAAGUAAAACCUCAAGUUUAUUCGUGGUUAGGUUCUAGAAUGUGACGUCUAAAUCAACAAAAAUUGAAGAAAUAACUAACAUAUAUAAUGACAACAACAACAAUAUAUAUAUAUAUAUAUAUAUAUAUAUAUAUAUAUAUAACUAAUCACUAGUCACUACUUGAUGUCGUUAUCUUAAGAUUUUUUUUUUUUUUUUGCUAAUUUUAAAACAUUUAUAUAUUGCAACAAACUAACACAUUUUAUUUGUAUACUUUUGGAAUAAAUUUAAUUAAUUAUGUUGUUGGGUGUGUUGUUGCUUUCAUUGGGGAUGGUACAGAACGUGAUAGACAUUCCGACUCAGCUUGAGUAUUUCAGAGAGUACAAGAGAAAAUUGGAGAUUAAAAUGGGAAAACAAAAAAUGGAAAAACACAUAGAAGAAGCUUUGUUUUGUGUAAGUGCAGGAACCAACGAUUUCGUCAUUAAUUAUUUCACAAUUCCCAUACGAAGGAAGACUUUCACUGUCGAAGCUUAUCAACAAUUCGUUAUUUCCAAUCUCAAGCAAUUUAUUCAGGUAAAAAUUCAUAUUUCCUGAUAUGUACAUUUUCUUUUCUUCUUUUCAAACAAAAAAAAAAGAUACCACAAUUUUAAAAAAGUUCCAAAUAUACCACAAACAUUAGGCUUACCAAAAAUUUAUAAGGUUUAUUAAGGAUAAUUAUAAUAUCCUAGAAUUUUAAUGUUUUUUUUCUUAAACCUUAAAUAAGUGAUCUUUUGUGAUUUUUUUAGAAUUGAUCGUAGCUUUAUCAAACAAAACAUAAAAGUGUAGGGUUUAGGAAAAUAUUAUAGUAUUUUCUUGAAGUUGUUAUGUUUCCGCUUUGACUCGAAUCUACUAUAUCAAACACACUUACAAUUCAUGAGUAACAAAAUUUAAUUUGUUUAAACUUUGGACUUUGACUUCGAUCUCAUUCGAAUUGUUAAAAUCGGCUUUUCUAGGCUAGCUCAAUUUCAAAAUGGUCCGUAUUGGUUCGGUUUGGAUUAGACUGGUUUAUUUUGUUUUAAGAUACAUUUCUUAAGAAAAUGCUUAUGAUAUGGUCAUAUGGAUAUGGUUAUUAAUGGUUUAGGGUUUAUGGAAAGAAGGAGCAAGAAAGAUAACAGUGGCUGGUAUACCACCGAUUGGGUGUUUGCCGAUUGUUAUAACAUUAUUCUCCGGGGAAGCAUUGACCAACCGUCGUUGCAUUGACCGUUUCUCCACCGUGGCCACAAACUACAAUUUCCUCUUACAAAAUAAAUUGGGCCUCAUGCAAAUGAGUUUGGCCCAUCUUGGGUCCAAAAUCUUUUACCUCGACGUCUAUAACCCAGUCUAUGAGGUCAUUCAUGACCCUAGAAAAUUUGGUAAGUACAAAACAUAAUAAAUAAUUUGGAUAUAAUAUUUUAUUAACUUAAUUAACAUAUAUUUUAGUGAAUAUAUUUUGAUCUUUAGGACCUAUGGUAGAGUUUAGAAUUUAGGAUAUGUGGUUAACUAUUAUAUUAAUUUACAAACAUGUAUAAAUUACGGUAUAUUAUUAAUUUUCAACUUUAUAUAGUUUUUAGUGGUAGUACUAUAUAAAAUGCCAAGACUAUCUUACAAUUCUGAAAAGGACCAAUGAUAAAAUUAUACAAAAUUUGGAUCUAUAACUAUUAUUAGAAUAUUCCAUUAUCAUGUAAUAUUAAAAAUCAAACUUUCUUUUUAAAAGAUUUUGAUCUUUUCCAUUGUUAACCAGUGCAAGUCAUAAAUUUGGUUUCAAAGACAUUUCUGUUUUUAUUUUUGUAUAUUAGGGUUUAAGGAAGUGUUCAGUGGAUGUUUUGGAAGUGGAUACCUAGAGGCAUCGUUUUUGUGUAACCCAAAGUCAUAUGUGUGUUCCAAUACAUCUGCUUAUGUCUUUUUUGAUUCUAUCCAUCCAAGUGAGAAGACUUACUUCAAUCUAUUUAGAUCUCUCCGACCAAUUUAUGAUUCUAUUCUCGGUUGUUUCUGAGAUUUUAAUUAUUUAACACUCCAUAUGAUUAUGAUCAAUAUUAGUUAAUUGAUAAGUUAAUUUCAAUAUACAGAUACACUUUUUUCUUCCAUUUUGAGUGCUGAAAUGUAAUGAUGGUCUAUAUAUGUGUUAAUAUUUCAGUUUGAAAUGCAAAAUAAUUAGUGUACUAUAUAUAAUUUUUUUUGUACUGUUUCUAUUUUUUUUUUCUUUUGUUAAAGGUGAACUGUAUUUUGUAAUCUAUAUAUAUAACGAGAGAGUUGUCUCUCCUCUUAGGGUGUCCACAUCAUAACCAAAUUAAUAUGAUGGAUCCCAACAAUAAUUGUUUCAAAAUAUUUAAUUUUAUAGUUAAUUACAUCUAAUUAUCUAAUAAGUAAUCUUCAAUUAAUGCACAAUUUUAGAUAAAGGUUACUUGAAUAAUAAUAACACAAGUGUAACAUAUACAUAUAAAACACUUAAAAUUAAAUUUUUGCUAAUAUAUAAUUUAAAAUAAACAUAAUCACUAAAUAUUAAUUAAGAAAUAAAAAAUAAUAAUGAAAAUUUCAUAGAAAUACCAAUGUUAUUUAAGAUGGGCAAAACGAUUCUUAAUAAAAUUUAUUAUACAAUUACAAAAAAUAAUAACUUAUUAAAAAUAACAAAUAAAAAACUUUUAAAAACUAUCAUUUUUAAGAAUAAUAAGGAGACCUCAAAUAUAAUUUAGGAUGAACAAAAGAAUUGAAUUGAAAUGGAAGACUAUAAGAGUUUUUUUUAAUAAUAAGAAGAUAUUCAUAUUUCUUGGAAACAUUAACUUGAAGAGAUGAUAAUGAAGUGGAAGAAAUCUAUUUAAAAUAGUAAUAUUUUAAGAUUAAAAUAAAUGGUUAAAUGUUAUAGUAAACUUGUGAUUGUAUAAGUUUUUUUUAAGAUAUAAGAAAUAAUUUAUUUUUAAAAUUAGAACUAAUAUUUCAAGAAAGUAAAAGUAUAAAUUCACAUUGACGAAAAAAUAGAAAGAUUGAUUGUAUCUUAAUAUUAAAUUAUAGUAAAUAUAUAACAAUUAAAAUAAUAUAAUUAUAUCUAUAUUAUUGUUUGCUUUCUAGAUAAAAAGGUGAAAAUAUUUAAAUAUAGGUAAAAAUCUAAAUAAGUAUUGAGACAAUUUUCAUAAAUAUAUAUCUUCCAUAAGAGUAUAUUACGCUCAAACAUGAAAAUAAUAUAAUUAAUAAGAGAAAAUAGACUAAGAAGAAGAAAAUGAGAAAAUAGUUUUGAGUUAAGAAUGAAUUCAAAGUUAUAUUAUAUGUAAAUGAGCAUAGAAGAUAAAAGAAGAGUAGAUGUUGGGAGGCGAACACGUGCAUCACAGAAGAUGACGAAAAAAUGACAGAAAAAAAAUGUUUAAAGAGAAAUUGACUAAUGCUUGAAGCAUCGGAUAUAUGUAUGCACAUGACUUAAGUAAAUUCAUCAGAUAUAUUGAUGCAUUAUCGGAUAGUUUUAUUUAGUAAACCACAGUAUCAUAUUCAACAUUGGGUUAAAUCAUUGAACCAUGUAAUAAAGCGUUGUAGGAUAGAUAAGAUAAGAUAAGGACAUUCAUGAUUUUGUCAAAACUUUUCUUAAUGCAUGAUUGUCUUGCUUCAAUAGGUAAAUUGUGCUCUCUAAACCUAUUGAAGCGGCAUGAAUAUUACGUGUAUAUAUUUUCAUAAAAUUGAUAUUCAAACUCAGCAAUUUUACUUUUAGUAUCUGGUACAAUUAUGUCAAAACCUCGAGAUAUAUAAUUACAAGAUCUGAUUAUGGAAUAAACUCUCUUUUUGACAAAAGUUCAUGGAUGACUACCGAGACCGAUUCAUCUGAUAUUACUUUUGUUAUUACGUGGUACAUACUAAAUAAUUUUGAUAAUUUUUAUGUUGUGUACUGUUUUGUAAAACAAGUAUGAAUAUAUAUAUUUUUGAAAUUCAAAUGAUUAUGAUUAUUUUUACUAUUUUGUAUUGUUACCAGUUGAUAUUCCGCGCAACGCGCGGACGAGUAAAUCUAGUCAUAGAAAAUGAAGAAGAAUGUGUGUGAGGAGAAGUUUGGUUGGUACUUGGUUACUUUCUAAAUGUAAGAACAUGAGAAGUUCUAAUGUAAGCACAUAAUAUAUAUUAACAUAUAGUAUAUAUAUAAAAUUCAAAAAAAAAAAACAAUGCAUACCAUAUCGACGACAAAUUGACUGUUAGGCACAAUAUAAAUUUAUUAUUAUGAUCGAGAUACUCUCUUCUCAUGAGCAUUUACACAAUAGUAGAUGUCCAAAAAAAAAUAAAAGUGUUGUUCUUUUAGAUUUUUUUUAAUGAUAUUAAUUAUUUACAAUAACUUCACAUUAAAAUUUAGAAAUAAUUAAUUUUAAAAUAAAUUAUGAUUUAUUUACUACAAAUCUAUCAACAUAUUAUAACUAUUGAAAAUAUUUAAAUACAAAAAAUGAAAAACAACCUUGACAAAAAUAAAUAAAAUAUAAUCAACACAUAAGCAAAACAUAAGCAAAAUAGAUAGAAAUAAAAAAAAAACAACGACGAAGAGAUAGUGAUUUUUUCGUUAACACAUAAUAAUUUGUUUUUGUGUCUCAACAUAUACAUACAUAUAUACAUAUUUCCAUUUAUAUAUGUGCUCCCUUACUUGAUUGUGAUUUUAACAGUUGAUUAAAUUUUUGGAAUACUUUAUUUGUUUCCAAAUUGUACAAAUAUAUCAAAACAAUUUGAUAUAUCACCAGUGCUAUAUAAUAAUAAUUAUUUAGACAUAUAUCUUAAAAUUUAAUUUAAUUUAGUACAUGAAUUUGAUUUUAUAAUUAAAAAAAACUAGCCCAGAAGAGACUAAAAAUAAUAAAAAUAAAUAAAUAAAUUUUUGUGAAUAAUAGUUUUAAUGUAUGACUUAGAGUACAACACAAUAUUAUUAGUACGAUAUGAUGUGUAUGGGAUGGAAUACAAUGAACAUAGUCGGUCUAAUAAGGUUUGAUUUUGCAUCAAAAAGAAACGGUCGGUCCCUCUCUAGUACUUACAUUACCUCAGAAAAUAUUUCAUUUACGUUGUUACAUUACUAGUACACCUCCCUUUCUGAAUUUCAGGCGUGGAGAUCCUGGUGUGACACAAAUGGCGUAGACAUAGUGGAUGAACGAUUGGAUGGCUUCUAUUGUUCUACAGAAUUGAUAUGUUGUGUUAACAUAGCGCUUAUGUGCCUUCAAGAUAGAAAUGAAGACAGACCAACCAUUUCCGAAAUCAUCCAUAUAUAUAUAGCUAGCAUUAAUCUUCUUCCAACCCUGAAAGAGCCAACUUACACAUAUUUGUCACUCGGCGGCAUUCAACAUUUAUCGUCAACGAACCACAUUUUCUCGAUUGAUAAUAACACGCAAAGAACAUUCGAAGGAAGAAAAAUCGACGUUUAUUUAUUUAAAGAGAGAAAUAAUAUUAUGUCUAUAUUUCUUUUCCCGAAAAAUUCCGUUGUUAAGAAAACAAUUGCAUCUAGUAGUGAAGAUUUUAUUAUUUAAAAUAAUUUAUUAUAUUUAUGUAUUACUAUCAUAUGAAAAUUUGAGUAUGUGGUUCAGUGGUUGAAAAAGAUCUAUAGAUAUUAUAUUUAGUGUUUCAAGCCGGAGAAUCAUUAUGCAUAGAAUAUUAUAACUGAGAAAAAAAGAAUACCUUGCUUUUAAAAAAAUUAAACUGCUAAAAAUUUUAAGUAAGCAACUUUGAAUCUCUAUACUUCUAUUAAAUUUUAGCUGCAUAACUAUGAAAAUAAUAUAGAAGAACCAUGCCUAGUCGGUGGAACAAGGCAUAAAUCUAUCACUUAUGACCAUUAUUAUAAAUGAUUUUGUUUUAGUAUUUUUUAUUAUUACAUUCUCUAAUUUAUUUGGAAACUAAUAUUCAUAUACUUUUUUUUUGAUGUCUCAAAUUUGAAUUUAAAAUUUGUAUCUUUUCGUACUCAAAUCUCUGUAUUAUUCUUGAAUCCAGUUCAUUAUGUAUUAAUAUACAUGAGUCCAUUAUUAUGAUAAAUCCCAACCUUUAGUAGACAAUUCUAUGAAUCAUGAAUUAAAAUUUUCAAGAAUCAUGAAAUAUUAAAAAAAAAAAAGAUAUUUAAGAAAAUGUAGGUGACAUUGAUUGCUAUAUGACUUUAAAUAGAGAGAGUAGAAUGAUUUGUAAGAUUAGGUGGUAGUGUGACCUAUAUUUAUUAGACACAUCACCCACUUUUCUAUAUCUUUUGUAUUAUUACAUUCUCUAAUUUGGUUGGUAAAAAUAUUCAUAUACUUUUGUUUUGAUGUCUCAAAUUUGACUUUAAAAUCUAUAUCUUUUCAUUAUUUCUUAAUAUUUACAUAUAUUUUGCUUAGAUUUUGCUUAUUUUUGUGAAAUUAUUUUCUUUUCUCUUCUUUAAAUACGUUCAAUUAAUAAUUGUAAUGUACUGAUAGAAAUAUAGUAAAAAAUUAAAAAUUUAUCAGUAAAUAUAAUUUUUAUAGUUAUAAUAUAAUUAACUAAUGGGAAUAAAAUUUCAUGAGUUCAAAAUUGCUUCUAUUAAAUUAUAACUGUCAAUUUUAUAAUUCUAAAAUUAGAAUAUUUUUAAUUUUCUAUAAGUAACAAGUAUAAUAGUGUCAUAUUUAUUUAACACAUAAUUAUUCUCAGUAGAAGAUUUGAACCAUUAAAUUUAACAUUUUGAAUCUUUUUCAAUUACAUCUUAGAAUUGUUCAUAUAAAUCAUGAUAGUAAUAUGAAUAUAUAAUAUUUCUAAACAAGAAACUCUUCACUGAUGGAUGCAAUUGCCUUCUUAACAAUGAUUUGAUACAUUCUUUGUGUUGGAUGGACAGCGUCCCAAAAAACGUAUUUGGUAGGAUCUUUGCAAACUUGCAUAUCUUUGCAUGUCUCUCCAUAUUCGUAUGUACCUGUUCCACAACAGCCUAGUGAAGCCUCGGCGAAACCUAUCGAUUAAAACCAAAAAGAACAUAAAUGAGACCCUAUUAUUUUCCUUUGAUACUUUAUCUUAAAGUUAUAUUUAAAGCAGAUAUUUGUUCUCACCAAAUUUUUUAGGAUUUUUAAUGGCUUCUUGGAUGGCCGAAUAGACAUCAACGUAGAUGGUUUUCAGACCGAAUUUAGACUGGAGAAGCUCUAAAUUCUUGAUGAUUUUGGAGUUAAAGGAGAAAGCGAUUUGGUUUAGUUGAUCUACGCAAGUUUUUUGGCCUCUUAGGUAUUUGAUUAAAGGCAUGCAUCCCAUGGGAGGAACUCCCACCACCACCAACCUUUUAGCUCCGAGCCUAUGCAACAUCUGUAAAAUAAUAACAAGAAGCUCAAAAGAUGCUAUGAAUUUUCUUACUAUAAUACUUAAAUGCAAUUCAUAUCCUUUUUAGUAUGUACAUGUGUCUAUUAUAAUUUAUCUAUUUUUGGUUCGGUAUACCAAAUUAACCCAAAACUAAUCUAACAAAAUUAAUUCAACAAAAAUAAAAUUAUACUCCCUCUGUUUCGUUUUACUUGUCGUUUUAGAGUUAAAAUUUUGUUUCAUAAUAGUUGUCGUUUUAGGUUUUCGAUGCAAAUGUUUGAUGAAAAUUCCAGUUUUUUCCCUACUGUUUUAAUGUUUCGGCCAAUUAAUUUUUUUUAUAAAAUAUAUUAAUAAAGGCUAAAACAGAAAAUUUAAUGUUUUUCUUAAUUUGUGUGAAAAAACCUUAAACGACAACUAAAACGAAACGGAGGGAGUAUUGUCUGACAAUUUAAAAUUUACUUUUUAAAUACAGAAGCUGGACUAAAUCAGAAUUUAGUUUUUUUUUUUUUCUGUUGAUCACAAACCAAAUUUUCCAAUUAAACAGUAUACAUGUAAUGAAACAAAAAUACCACACUUCUAUCGGCUGCAUGAUUAUAUUAUGCUUCCCAAUAAAUGGGACAAAGUUCAUGACCUUAUAGUAAGUAGUUCAAGAAAGUAAAUGCUGAAAAUAAUUUUUUAAAACUAAAAAUAAAAAAUUACUUAUACUUGUGGAUAUGCAUUGUGUGAUCCAUGGACAAGUUACAGAGACCCGACAUGAAAAAUCCAAAAUUAAUGAUUGUAGGGUAGAAAUUAUGUAUUGAAAUUAAAUUCUCUCAACAACCAGAUAGAAUUCGUAUAAUUUUCGUUGUACACUCUUCUUUUUUUCUCUAUUUUUGUUGUAAUUUAUGACUUUUUCUUUUGUAAUUAAUUAUCACGAGCCACAUACAUACACAUACACAAGAUAUUUGUAGAAUUUUUCAAUUCCACUAGUUACCGACGCAUUUAUUUUAGCAGCUACUAUUAAUUUCACACACAGAGACACGUUCUUUUUUUUUUUAUAGUCAAUUUAAUUCAUGCAAUAGUGAAAAAUACUGUAUAAUUUGUUUUCUUCACAAAAAAAAGUGAAACAUGUAUCUUUUUUUUUUGUUUGCUAAAAUCUCAUAUAUGAUUAUAUAUAUAGACUUAUAUCUAUAAUAUAGUUAGCGUGUAUAUACAUAAUGCAUACGUAAACGAGAGUUUAGUGGAGAGGUAAACAUACCUUGGCGUCGUAAAGCAUACGGUGGGAGAGAAACUCGAUGUAUUGCUCUACCGUGAAUUGCUUUUGUCGAGUAAAAUCGACUAAGUAAUUUUGAAGAAAGUCAUUUGAUCCCAUACUCAUAAGAAAUAUCGCAUUAUUUAUCAUUUUCGAGCUCUCUAUUGGACCGACCAAUUUAGUCAGGUGAAUCUUGUAAUGCAAAAAGUAAUUGGCUUGUGUAGUGAAACUCCACACGUUCUGUUCAACCAACAAAAAAUAUUAAGUUUAGUUCGGUUUUGUGUGAAAAGAGAAUUUAAACUUAAUGUUUUUACUAGAAGGUAAAAGGAAAAAUGUUAAGACUUACUGAUAUAUUAGCUGUGAGAUCGUCAUAGCCAGAACCAGCAGAGGCAAAACUUGCACCGCGAGUUAGAUCAGCUUGGGUUAGAGUUGGAUCAAGAAAAGCCGGUAUGGGAGGGUAACCCAUGGCCUCCGCUGGGAAAAAAAAAAUGUAAAAUAAAUUCUUCAAUUAACAUAUUGAAAAUUUCUGACUAAUAUAAAUACUAUAGUAUAAAACUUACCAAUAUAAUCGGGAGCGAGUAAUCCAUCGCAUAAUCUACCGGUGGGUUUAUGGUUGAUGAAAUUUUCACCAUAAGGUGGGAAAUUUCCUUUCAUUUCGGUUUUAAUGAAAUUAUUGUUUCCUGGAUCGACACUAGAAUCUCCAAACACAAGUAUUGAUGUCACAUUGUGCUUCGCGGCUAGCUGCCGAAGAAGGUGAACGUCCAAAGCCACCACUGAAGUUAGCGGCUGCAAAGCUACUGCUACCAAAAGAGUCACAAACGCUACAAGCAACAUGUUUAAUUGAUAGAGAGAAUGUGAGACUUUUCCUUUAUAUUGUUUAGAAAGUGUCUUUUGAGAGAUAGUUUGUGUUGAGAAUGUUGUUAUAUUUAUAGGGUUUUUUUGACAGCUAGGUGUUCUGUUGUUGGUUGAGACAUAAUGUAAAGUGGCCAACAGAGAAAUUCAAUUUGAAUAGUUUAUUUUUUUUUGUUGAUAUAUCAUAUCUUCAUGAUUUUCUUGUCUCUCAAAUCUAUUUAUGAUAUCUUUCAUAAAUAUAGGAUUUAUAUUCGUUAAAUAAUAGUACAAUUUUGGCUUUAAAUCCGUACUUCUCUCUUCAUAUUUGAAUUCGAAAAUAUAUAGUAAUAUUUUUUUUUUUUGAAUCAAAUGUUAAAUUAAUUUCAAAAGAAAAAAUGUCUUUUUUUACAAUAAGUGCAACUUUAGCUUAAGCGUGAGCUGAAAGGAGAAUAAGAUUGAAUUAUGAUAGGUUUAACUUCUAGCUUGGAACCAGACCUGGAGGCCAUUGUCGAAACGUUUAUCCCCUAUUUUCCGAAUUGAGGAUAAUCUAUUUCGCACUUGCCUGUCAAUCCAUUUGAUUAAGGAGGAGCUGGGUUCGGUGUUUCACCAUGUUUUCUUCCGUUUCUUUCCUGCCAGAUGGUGUAGAGGGUGGCUUGAAAGACAUAGUGAGCUACAAAGCUCUCUGUUCGAUCGUGCCAACCUGCCGAGAUAGUGUUAAGGAGAGAGUGCCAGUCAUAAGAGAAUCGAGAUUUGUAGAGUUUUCGUCCUAGAGCUUCCCAGAUUGGAGAGAUGAAACCACACGCAAAAAAUAAAGGAAUAAGUUGCAAACUAGUACGUUUAUGAAACUUAAUUUGAAAAGUAGUACAGAGACUAUUCACAAUUGGAAAAAUCCCCAUGUUUUAUUGUGCACUACUGUUUGGCUGACUUCCAAACCCUCAACAAACUAUUUUAUUUACAAUCAUGCCACUGAGAUUAAAAUAAAUUAGGACCUCCUUUGCGAUUAUGCACCGUAUACUCUCCAACGACCGAAUCAGAAGUCGAUCUCCCAGGCAUUAGCAGAAGAACAAGCCCGAUCAACACAACGGGAGCCGAAAUCACAAGAAUAAGACCACGAUGGCGUUGGAUCAACAAGAGAUUCAUGCCGUCCAAUCUCACGCUUCGCCGUCUUAUUACCUCCGUCAACAGAGUCAGAUGUAGGAGAAUGGUUUCCAGACUCCAGAAGCUCAGUGGAAGAAGCCGAACGGUAGCGUAUCUUACCGUUGCCGUUGUCGGUACCGGAGGACGCCGUGGCCUGCGGCGGAUCUUGUCAUGGCUCCAGAUCGAUGGUGGAUUUGGAAGAUGCGACUUGAAUCGGUGGAUUUUGAUUCUGGAGAAAAGCUUUGAAUCCGAAGCUUGUUUGCUUCAGAUCCUCCAUAGUUUUUUCAAUGUUUAUGUUUUUUCUCUGUAUGAAUCUUAGUAUCGAGAAGAAGAGGUUUCUCUUGAAACUUUGAGUAAGAAAAUGGAUGAUUUUGCAAAAGCUAGAGAUUGGGAGAAGUAUCACAUCCCAAGAAAUCUCCUUCUUGCGAUGGUAUUUUCUUGGAACGAUCAAUCAUGUCUUAUGAAAAUUGAAAUGGGUCUUGUUUUUAUUUGAUUGUCUGAUAAACAAAAAAGUUGGCUUUUUUUCUUUAUUAAAUCUGAUAUCUGAUUUGGGUUUUCUCUUUUAUUCUCCUGAUCUUUUUUUCUCUAAUUUGAUGUUUUGUUUCCAUGAAAAGUUUCAAUCUUUUUGUAACUAAAACAAAUAUAUAUUGUGACUUGCUAUGUUUUGGCUGUAUAAUUUGGAAUUUGAUUGUAACUUGGAAUUGGAAGACUCAUAGAUCUGAAGACGUAAACAAUGACAAAAACAUGGGACAAUUGUCCCUUUUCUUAUGUAAAGUGUUCAACUUUGAUUCGGCCAUAUGUACCUUCUAUGCCCUACAAUCUAGUCAACAUAGUCAGAAUUAAAGGUCAAAACUAUAUGUUGCUUGUGUAUUUUGUUGUUUUAGAAAAGAUUUAGUAAGUGAAUUGAGAAAAAUGAAGAGAGCUUAAGGAGUAUGGAAAAUGUUGCAGGUGGGUGAAGUGGGAGAGCUAUCAGAGAUAUUCCAAUGGAAAGGAGAAGUGGCAAGAGGAUGUCCAGAUUGGUAAGAAGAAGAGAAAUUGCAUCUUGGAAAAAAUAGGUAAACAAAAUUUUCGGAGAUUUUGUCUAUUUUUUUAUAGAAUCCAAAAACCAAGUUUUGUGGGUUUUCUAACAAUUUACGUCAAACUGUUUUUUUUUAAAUUUUUUUUUAAUUAUUUUAAAUAUGUUAUUUCACCAUUUACCUAUUCAUUUUAAUCUCAAAAUAUAAACCAAAAAUUAAAAUAAAUAACUUAAAAACGUUUUAAAAUUGAUAUUAUGUAAAAAACUAUAAACCAAACAAAUUACCAUUCAAGAUUUUGCAAAAACUAAAAUCUACCCCAAAAAUCAAAAAUUACAAAAAUCAAAAACCAAAAACCAAAAUCCAAAAACUAGAAACUAAAAACCAAUAAAAAACUAUCAAACAUCGUCAAAUCCUUAUGUACAGAUGUACAUCGUCAAAGUCUAUAGCUUUAUCAGAUGGGUUUCUUGGAAAUGUUGUUGUCAAGCUAAUCUGGGAUGGUUUUGAUUGUAUUGUCAUGUUUUACUUUAUAAAGCUAUAGACUUUGUCUUUGUUUCCUAUUGCUUAUUCUGUUUUAAAGCCUGCUGUACAGAUGUAUCCUGCUGUACAGAUGUAUCAUUCUGUACAAUAGUUUAUAGCUGUACAGUCAUUCUUCUGUACAGUGAAUUUAUCAGAUGGGUUUCUUGGAAAUGUUGUUGUAAAGCUAAUUUGGGAUGGUUUUGAUUGUAUUGUCAUGUUUUACUUUAUAAAGCUAUAGACUUUGUCUUUGUUUCCUAUUGCUUAUUCUGUUUUAAAGGCUGUUGUACAGAUGUAUCCUUCUGUACAGAUGUAUCCUGCUGUACAGAUGUAUCCUUCUGUACAAAUUUAUACUUCUGUACAGUUGUAUCCUGCUGUACAGUGUAUCAUUCUGUACAGUGGUUUAUAUCUGUACAGUCAUUCUUCUGUAAAGUGGUUUAUAUCUGUCUAUAUCUGUACAAUCAUUCUUUGUGAUGUUUUACUUUAUAAAGCUAUAGACUUUGUCUUUGUUUCCUAUUGCUUAUUCUGUUUUAAAGUCUGCUGUACAGAUGUAUCCUGCUGUACAGAUGUAUCCUUCUGUAAAGAUUUAUACUUCUGUACAGAUAUAUCCUACUGUACAGAUGUAUCAUUCUGUACAGUGGUUUAUAUCUGUACAGUUAUUCUUCUGUACAGUGAAUUUAUCAGAUGGGUUUCUUGGAAAUGUUGUUGUCAAGCUAAUCUGGGAUGGUUUUGAUUGUAUUGUCAUGUUUUACUUUAUAAAGCUAUAGACUUUGUCUUUGUUUCCUAUUGCUUAUUCUGUUUAAAAGCCUGAUGUACAGAUGUAUCCUGCUGUACAGAUGUAUCCUGCUGUACAGAUUUAUACUUCUGUACAGUUGUAUCCUGCUGUACAGAUGUAUCAUUCUGUACAGUGGUUUAUAUCUGUACAGUCAUUCUUCUGUACAGUGGUUUAUAUCUGUACAGUUAUAUCUGUACAGUUAUUCUUCUGUACAGUCACUCUUCUGUACAGUCAUUUUUCUGUAUAGUCAUUCUUCUGUACAGUUGUCUAUAUCUGUACAGUCAUUCUUUGUAUACAAUAGUCUAUAAUAUAAAUUUUUAAAAAAAUUUAAACAAAAUGCAUAUCAAAUGAUAGAGAAAAAAACAUAGAUUUUUAUGUAUUUGAUAAAUUUUAGAAACAAAAAAUUUACUAACGAGUAUUUAAAUUAUGAGACUUUGGGGGAAUAGGAGAUAAUAGAGAAAAGAAAAGAAAUUUUUUUAAAAAAAAAACAUGACCCACGUUCUCUUUCUCACAAAUACAAAGCCCCUACUAGUAAUUUCCAUUCUCUACACUCUAUCCCACUUUCUCUCCUAUCUCACACAAAUUCUAUUACACAAAUAUGAAUAAUGUACUGUUUCUACAAUUAUAAAUAGUAACUGUACUACUUUUCCAAUUAAGUUUCGUAAACGUACUAUAUUCCCAACAAACCCAAAAAUAAAUGAUCACGGGUUUCUGUAACAGUGUUGCAGAAACAACAAGUCGCCGACGCACCUUUGUUCCAUUGAAGCAUUCUGUCUCCGGUGGAGAGACGAUUCCAAGCAGCCAGCCAAACACAGAAAGAGAACUUUGGCGUUCCAUAGGUAAACCAAACUCCUUUGUGCCAACUGACCUUGGUUACCGCAGUGCGAGUCAUGUGCCAUGUGUCUUUUGUUGAAAAGCUAGCUUUGUAUACAUCAUUUUUACCUCUCCAUAGAACUGUGUCCUCUUUAUCAUUUAUGUUCUGUUUUUUAGUUUCCAACUCUUCUUCCAUUUGAUUUAGCAGACCGGACCGAUGUCGACGACGGCGUCGACCCUCCCAAGCUUCAGCCACUGUCUUAUUUCUGCUUAUACACAUAUCAAUCAUACCUCUUUCUCCCACUACUCCCAGCAGCCGGCCCAUGCUUGACCAGUCUUCAAACCAAAAUGAUGUACUUAAGCCAUUGUUCACUUCCACCUUACAGAAAUUUGUUGCCAAUGCUCUGAAUUUUAGUAAUUUCUUCCACAUCCAAGAGCCCAUUGUUGUGUUCUCCUUAGCAGACCAGUAUGUUUCUUUCUUUACCAAAUACUUCUCUAUCCAUUUGACCCAUAGUGAAUCCCGUGCGAGACGAUUUUCCAUAUAAGCUUUAGGCAGCAUACAUCAUUUGCUUCCUUUAAAGAUCUUAAUCCAAGCCCCCCCCCCCCCCUCUGUUUUGGGCUUACAUAUAUCAUUCCAGGCUACUUUGGCUUUACGUGAGUUCAGUUCUGUCCCUGACCAGAGAAAAGAUGAGCAAAGUUUUUCAAUUUCCCAUAUGCACUCUCUUGGUAGUCGAAAAGCGGAUAACCAAAAAUUGCAUAAACUCCAAAUGACUGAGCUGAUCAAGUUGAGACGUCUUGCAUACGACAGAUACCGUGCUGUCCAAGAGUUGAUUUUCUUUUUAAUUUGCUCUAUAAGAGGGCUGUAAUCUGCAGCGGAGAGACGUUUUGUGAGUAAGGGAAGGCCUAAGUAUCGUCCUGGGAGACUACCAACCUCAAAGUGAAACUGUUCUUGAAUAUCUAGGUGAGAUGUAUUUAGUUAUCCUGCCAUGUAGAUGGUUGACUUCACCAUACUAAUUCUCAAACCAGAUUUUUUGGCAAACUCAUCAAAAACAUGCACUAUCCCUUCUAUGGAUCUUACUUUACCAUCUGAAAGUACCAUGAUAUCAUCCGCGAAGCUAAGAUGUGUUAGACCAAGAUGCUUACAUUUUGGAUGGAAACCGAACUGUCUAGCCGCAGCAGCUUUAUCCAACAUUCGAGAAAGAACAUCCAUGCUUAUGACAAAAAGAUAAGGGGAGAGUGAACAACCUUGUCGCAAACCUCUAGAACUCUGAAAAUAGCCUGCUAGUUCCCCAUUUACUUGAACCGAAAAUGAGGCUGAAGUGAUACAAAGCAUAAUCCAGUGCGCAAACUCUUGAGGGAAAUUCAUUGUAGAAAGAACAUUCUUUAGAAAAGACCAUUGAACAGAAUCAAAAGCUUUUGAGAUGUCUAUUUUUAUGGCACAACGACCCGAAAUUGAGUCUUUGUGGUAGUCUUUAACCAGCUCCGUUGCCAAAAGUAGAUUCUCUAUCAAGAGUCUAUCUUGUACGAACGCCGAUUGAUUCCCAGCGAUGAAUUUUGGUAGCAGCUUUUUGAGAUGACUUUAUAGAUCACAUUGCAACACGAUAUUGGCCUGUAAUCUUUCAUUUCUUUCACCUCCAACUUCUUGGGAAUGAGCGCAAGGAUUGUAGAAUUGACUCCUUUUGGUAAAAAACCCUUCUCAAAGAAAAAUUUGACCGCUAAAACAAACUCUUCUCCAAUUAUAUCCCAGGCUGCAGUAUAAAAUUCAGUAGUAAACCCAUCUGGACCUGGUGACUUAUCUUUUGGCAUGGCAAACAGAACUCCUUUUAUCUCUUCCUUAGUGACCUCACUAGUAAGCAUUCCCUGUUCCUCCGAUGAGCAUCUAAAAGACAGCAACGUUUUCAAUUCAUCCUCCGUUGCUCCCUCAUAGUCAUUAGGAAUGAGUUGUAGAAAUUCUAGAAAAAAUCUCUCAGCCUCUGCUUUGAUUUCCUCUUUAUCCUUCGUGACACUUCCAUCCUGCCUUUGAAUUUCACGGAUAGUAUUUUGCGCAAGUCGUGUCAGAAUCGCCCUGUGAAAAGCUUUGUUAUUCUGGUCCCCGAUCUCCAACCAAUGGAGCUUGGAUCUCUGCUUCAAAAAUUUCUCCUCUAAGCUCGCCACUUUCACCCAUCUGUUAUAUGCCUCUAUUUCAUCCUCCAUUGUCUGCGUUGUUGGACUAGUAAGGUUUAUCUCCUGUUUUUUACACAAACAGUCAUAUGCCUCUUUUGACUUUUUCACCAAAUUUUCCAUUCUUUCUUUUGCCAGCUUACGAAUCUCAGGUUUUAACCCUUUGAGCUUUUUUGAAAAACGAAACAGAGUUGAUGUAGACAUAAAAAGAGGCUCAGUUUUAUGCCAAUAAUCCUGCACCAGUGGCUUAAAACCCUCCAUAUCUAUGACUGCAUUGACAAACUUAAAAGGGCGUGGACCCUUCACAAUUUCUCCCACUGCAUCAUUAAGGCUAAUCCUACAUCGUAAAUGAUCCGAACACCCUCCUGCUUCGAAAACAUUGUACGAAUGCGGGAAAGCCUGAAUCCAUGCCUCAUUCAUCAUAACACGAUCAAGUUUUUUCAUAAUUGGAUCAUUUUCCCUCCUAUUAUUCCACGUGAAUAGGGGACCAUGAGACGCCAUGUCCGAUAGGUCACAGUAAUUCACCAUUUGUUGAAAAUCUCUCAUACCACUAGUAACCACCGGAUUUGUUUCACCAUUGGAAUGUUUCUCCGAAUCUAGUAUCACAUUAAAAUCACCAGAAAUGAUCCAUGGUUUGCUGCGAAUUAUCGGGGAGUCGUUAUGAUCACGUAACUCUUCCCAUAAACUUUUUCUCUCUUCUGCAAAAUUUGACGCAUAGACAAAAGAACAAAAAAAUUCUUCUUCUUGGUCUUCCAGUUUAACCGAGCAAGUGACGCAUAGUAAUAAUGUAACAAAUUCAACUAAAAGAUAUAUAAAUGAAAUCAUAUAACUAAUUUUGAUUUGACAGUACAACAACAAUUAUUUGCACCGAAUGGAUGAAUUGUAGCUUCUCAACCAAAUUUCAUAUUAACCUCCCAAAUUUAGAAAGUCAUAUAUAAGUUACUGUCACCGUCUUUACUAAUAAAGUGAAAGUUAUAAAUCACCGAACUACAACUUUUGCUAAAAGAAUAGAAAUUCAUAGAAUGUUAAAACAUUAAGCAAUCAAAUAUUCUCUGUUCUAAAUUGAUUUUAUUUUUGGGGAUUGUAUCCAUAUCCAACUUAUCUAUCAUUAAAGUGUCGUGUUCAUUGCGGUGGAGUAAUUAAUUAACGCAGCCAUUUUGGGCCAUGACGGGAAUAAAGAACAUAAAUAAUGUCUUAAACUGGUAACAAGCUCUUUUAUUCUCUCGGUCUUAACGUUCACUAAUCAACAGACUUAUACAUCAAAUAGUAGUUAUACAUCAUACAGUUAUUCUCUCGGUCUUAACGUUCUCCUUGCCAAAUGUUUAUUGGAUAGAGACCAAGAAGUAAUACGUCGGUUUCUAACAUGUACACUAGAGGCUAAUUUGUUAAUAGGUGUCCACCACAUCAUUUAUGGCUAAUUUGUUAAAUAUCAAUUUCAGAACUCAGAAGUCAGAUCAUUCUUCCUUUUAAGCCAAUUUGGUAGAUAUAUAUGUAAUCAUUUUGAGAUAGUUAAUUAAGUAUAUGAAAAAUAAUUAAUUGCCAAAAAAAACAUGUAAUUGGAGUGCUAUUUAUUUGAGUAACAUGCCAUUGUACACCUACAGUUUGUUAUUUGGUGCUGUUUUAUAUAUAUAUAUAUAUAUAUAUAUAUAUAUAUAUAUAUAUAUAUAUAUAUAUAUAUUUUUUUCCUGCUGGUGCUGUUUUAUAUAAAAACAUUUUAUUUAAGGAAAUACCAUUGCGCAAAAAGAAAAGGAAUAUCAUUCAAGAAAAUAAGAAUGUUUUUAAUAAUAAUGUUCCAUAAGCAUUUACCUAAUUUUUUGUUAAAGGAUUUAAUCAUUUAAACCUAAUUUAUUCAAUGUUGAUGGUCGUUUAGUUCAGUUGUCCUUUAUAUGUGAAUAAUAUGGUGUUGUAAAUUUUACCUCUAAAGAAACGAACUAUUGUUCAUUGUAUUCGACAAACAAUCGAUUUCGAAAAAAGAAUUAGAAUUGAAUAAUUCUACCUUUCAUUUUUUAUACAAUUGUUUCAUCUAUAUUCUUCGAUAUUAAUUACUCCUCUUAGAUUUUUUCAAGUUUUUUUUCUUUUUAAGUGAUGAUAUAUUAUAUUACAGCCACAAACAUUUUAGCCUUGUUUUUUCUCUCUUUUCGUAGCUGAUAAUUUAUAAAAAAAAAAAAAUUAAUUUUUAAGAGUUUGAACAUGUUCAUCAGAUAGCUAAUUCAUCAUGCAAGUAAUAUAGUAUAGUGAGUGAUUAAACCAGAAUGUUAAACAAACAUUAAAAAAAAAAAGGAUGUUGACGUUGGCUUUGACAGUGUCUUAGUGACAAGAAAGUUUCCAAAUAGUUUUAGGUCACCUAAAUGUGUUGGAACAUAACAGUUAGAGAAUGGUCAUAUAUCCUUUACCGGAGUAUUAAUUAGGGUCCCCAAUAAUUAUCAUUGUCUUUAUUUUCAACUAUUAAUGUAUGUCUAUACAAAUACAUACACAAGGUAGGGUCAAUAUAUUAAGUGUAGUUUCGGUUCAAAAUUGGAUAUCAUUUCUUAUUCUUUAAAUACCUGAGAAAGAAAAAUGUGACAGAUUCAAAAGAAAUACUUUUGGACUAAAACAAUGCCAGAAAAAUAGUUAUCUAAAUGUACUAUCAAACAAUAUAGUUUUGUUUGUUCGAUUUAAUCCAGUACCUAAAUCUCUAUGUUAUUCUAGAAUCCAGUUCAUUAUGUAUUAAUAUAGAAUUCAUGAGUCCAUUAUUAUGAUAAAUCCCAAACCUUUAGUAGACAAUUCUAUGAUGUUACAAGAAUUAAUAUUUUCAAGAAUCAUGGAAUAUUAAAACAAAAAAACAAGAUGCGUAAGAAAAUGUAGGUGAUAUUGAUUGCUAUAUAACUUUAAAUAGAGAGAGUAGAAUGAUUUGUAAGAUUAGGUGGUUGUGUGACCUAUCCCCUAUAUAUUAAAUAUAGAAACAUUUUUUUAUUUAAACCUUACCAUCAUGUGUUAUUAACAAGAUUGUCACGCUGAUGUGUCGAUUUCACAAUGAUUUGGCUUCUAUUUAGAUAAUUACCCAAGAUUUAUUAGACUAUUUACAGAAUUUGCCAUUAGUUUCAUACAUCCAUAUAUUUCAUUAAUAAUUAAAAACAUACACUUUUUUGUUUAUCUUAUAUUACUAUAUUUUUAUAUUUAUAAUUUUCUUUAUACUCCCUCCGUUUCAUAAUAUAAGUCGUUUUAGCUUUAAACACGCAGAUUAAGAAGAUCUACUUUUAAAAAGUUCAGCCAAUCAUAAAAGAGACUGCAUAAUAUAAAUAAUUAUAAAAUAUUAAAGUAAUAUAUAAAGUGCAUAGAAACUUGAAAACGACUUAUAUUAUGAAACAAAAUUUUUUCUCCAAAACGACUUAUAUUAUGAAACGGAGGGAGUAUACAUUUAUAUAAAUUUUCUUUAGCGGAUGGGUAAACAAUUUUUUUAUUUAUAUUUCUAUUUAUAUUUAUGUUUAUAUUUAAAUGAUAAAAUAUAUACAUUUGGUUCAAGAAUCUCGAAUUCAAAACUACAAAAUCUUUACAUCUUUCAUAAAUUUUUUACUUAAAUUAAUAAGAUAAUCUCCUUUCUAUAUAUGUUACGAAUACUUAAAAUCCUAUUUUUUGGAGGAGUUCUAACUUUUCGAAGAAAAACAUUAUAACCACAUUUGUAUAUAAACCAAAAUCUGGUCACAUUAUAACCAUUUCGUAAAUAAUCCAUUCAUAAUCUAAGAUUCUUAGAUUAGGAACACUACAAAAUCUUAGCUUGGAAACUAUCAAAUCUCAUAUUUGCUAAAUUUUGGAUUUCUUAUACUUAUUAAAAAAAAAAAAUUCUUUUUACACUACAAAAUCUCAAAAUCUUUAAAACAUACGGAAAGACAUAUUGCCAUAAAUGGUAACAUUUCGUCAAUACUUUUUUAUCACGUUGAAGCUUUAUUCAAGGUUCAAAUAUUUCACGGGUAAAACAUAUUCUUAUAUGAAAUAGUCCCAAAUUUGAAUAAUAAAAAAAAAAUUGUAACAUGUUUCGUUUUACACAAACGGAUCUUGGAUUCCGAAUAAUAAUUUUAAUCAUAAUAAUUUUACUUGAAUCAUUUCAUCCCGCACGAUGUGCGGAUUGUUAUCUAGUUUGUGAGUAUUAUGCGCAUAAAAGUGCAUUUGUGGAAAUAACUCCAAGUGACAAGUGAAACGCACGUUUUCUUGCGUUUUGCCUUAUCUUAUCUCAUCGUCAAAAACGUUUUUAUGGAAAGAGACAGAGCGCGAAGUAAUUCUGUCCACUUCCUCUGAUUCUGAGCUUGAAGCUUUUUUUUAGAAAAUCUUUUAAUUAUUUUUUUUCAAUUAAAAAAUGUAUUAUCAUCACCAUUGUCAAAGUCCAUGCUCUAGAAUCUUUGGUCGUUUUUAUCAUCUUUCUCUGUCUCUCGUAUUUAUUAUUUAUUAGACACAUCACCCACUUUUCUAUAUCUCUUGCUCUCUCUCACGAUCUACUGUUACUCACUCGUAUAAUUGUAACACUACCGAAUUGAAUUAUUGUAGAUAAGAAAACAGAUCUACUCUGUUUUUCAAUCAUUGUAAAUCAGUAGAAUAAUAGUCUUUUAUCAAAAAAAAUAGAGAAAUAUAUUUUCUUUUUAUCAUAUGUACAGAAGAAUAUCUAAAUAAUAAAACAUACAUCAAGAUCCAGAAUAAUUAUAUAAUUAGCUUGAAUGAAUUUGGUACAAUUGACAAUAAAAACAUUGGGUAAAGAAUAGUAAGCAAAAAGUAAUUAAGUAAAUGAAAAUAAAGUAAAACUGAUUUUUUUGCAUAAUUCUAAUUUUGUCGUUCAUUAACUGUAUGUUAUGAAAAAAAUUUCUUUUUUUGUAACAUGUUAUUUUUUAUGCAGAGUUGUAAUCAAUCCUAAUUAUUAUUCUCUUCUUAAUAUAUUAGAGCUUCAUGUAAAGAAUAACAUGGUACACGAAAACAUAACAUGUGAUAGCUAAAAAUAAGAGAUAAUUUUCUAGUGCCUAGAGAGAGUAGUUUCAAAAUGAUUUGCAAACUAAAAAUAACAAGUCAAUCAGAGCACCCUCAACGGAAGAGAAGAGAAGUGAGUUUCUUAAAAAAGCAAAUAUUAAUAUUUUAAUUGUAAAAAUAUAUUUUAAUUAUUUUUAUAUAUGAAUCAGUAGUAGAAGGACAUCUGUCCAGUUUUUGUUAGGUUCGUUUCUUAAGUAGGAAACGUUUCCUCUGUUUUCUCCUUCUCUCUCCAACUUUAAUUCAUUUUAAUGUUAUUUAAUUCAUAAGGUAUUCUCUUACAUCCCUGCGUUGGGGUUGCUCUCAUGCUUCUAGUAAUAGUUAAAUACUUAAAUGAUUGACAAAUGGUCCAAGCGUGUCCAGAAACACAUUGAAAAGUAAAAAUAUAUAAAUUAAAAAAUCAAUCAUAAAACACAAAACCAACCUAAUCGUCAUUUAAAAGUAUUUAUUCAAAGUAAGCAUAAGGAGAUGUAAACUCAAUAAUUUAGACUAAACACUUAAGAAAAAAAAAAGCUAGGCAGAAGAGGCUAAAAUACUAGAUCACUCAAACCAAACUUAGAAGGGAAAGAAAAGAAAAGAAAGAGAUGCAAGAAAAAAACAAAUCAAGCCACAAUAAAUCAUUAUUAUUAAAUCAUCUUAUUCAUGAUUGAGCUAUUGGUUUGGUUUGGUUUCAAACCAAUCUGAACCGUUUGGGUUAAAGAGAGGUUAUUCAAAUGAUUUGAACAUAGAUUUUCCUAACCGUUUGGGUUGAAGAUAGGAUAGGUUAAUCACUCAUAUUCUUUUUAACCCUCUUUAAAAAGAAAGAGAUAAGUUAAUCAAAUGAUUUGUACAUAGUUUUUUAGUUCGUUUUGAAUCUCUUUGGGUUCAAUUGGUUCAAAUCGGUCGAGAUGUACACUCUUACCGUCAAUUUUAGUACUUUACGGUCUCGUUUUUUUUUUUUAAACUAAUGUUUAGUAAAAGACAAGUAAAAAAUUGUUUUUAACACUAUAAAAUUCUUUCAUGAGUAGAAUUAGGCCUGGGCAUUCGAAUUUCGGAUCGGAUAUAUUCAUAUUCGGAUAAUUCGGGUAUGAAAGUUUAUUAUCCGUUCGGAUUUUAUGACAUUUCGGUUCAAUUUCGGUUCGGAUAUAUUCAAAUUCGGAUAAUUGGGGUAGGAGAGUUUAUUAUCCGUUCGAAUUUUAUGAGUCAUCGGUUCGGUUUUGGUUCGGAUAGUGUCGGAUUCGGGUCGGUUCUUGGUGAAAAAACGAAAAAAAUUGUUCAAUUUAAAUAAAUAUUGGCUUAAUCUUACAAAAUUUGGUUAAAUUUUGCAAAAAUAUGUAUAAAUUUAACAAAUAUAACUAAAAAUUUCCGAAAUCUAGGUUAUUUAGGAUAUUUUUGUUAUUUGCUAUAAAAUUACAACUAAUAACUAAUAUUUUUGGAUAUAUAAUUUUAUUUCCUGUUUUCGGAUAUCUUUUCGGUUUUCCAGUUCGGAUCGGGUAAUUCGGAUAGGAGAAUUCAUUAUCUGCUCGGGUUUUGUGACUAUUCGGUACGGAUUCGGUUCCAGAUUUUUCGGAUUUUGGGUUUUAUGUCCAGCCCUAAUAGUAGAAUAUUAAUUUUUAGAUGAAUUAAUUUGUAGAAAUUUUUUUAAUGAAUAAUGAUCUUAAAUUCUUAACUAUAGUAAUUUAGUAAAAUGAAUGACAAUAGUCCAAUUUAAAAUGAUAAUGGGCUAUUGUUGUCCACUCUAACAAAUCUGUUUCUUCUUUCGUUGUAACUUGUAAACGAAGAUCUGGAUCUGUUACCAAAACAAAAAUCGCUUUUUAUUCAGAGAUCUAAAGAAGAAGAAGAAGAAACAUAGUUUCAAGUCAUCAAGUGUUUAAGUCUCUCUGUUAAUAUGUCUUCAACAACAACUACAGAUUCUACAGAAUUGCAAAAUCUGAUCAAACGAUUUCAAAAUUACGAAACUCAUCUUCGUCAACAUUUACCUCCAAAAUCUUCAGCUGUCUUAGUUUGUCUAUACCAAGAACAAAGAGAAGACAAAAACGAGCUACGUGUAAUCUUAACCAAACGCUCCUCUACUCUCUCUUCUCAUCCUGGUAAAAUCAAAAUCUCUUUCAUAUAGUAAAGUUUUCAUCUUUGGAUCAGAAACAGAGGAAAUUGUUAAAAACAGGGGAAGUAGCAUUGCCUGGAGGAAAAAGAGACGAGGAAGAUAAAGAUGAUAUAGCUACCGCGUUGAGAGAAGCUCGUGAAGAAAUCGGUUUAGAUCCUUCUCUUGUUACAAUCAUUUCUGUUCUUGAACCAUUUGUUAACAAGGUAAUCAAUACUGCAUCAAAACAUCUGAAUUUAAGUUGCUAAAUUGGUUAUCUAUAGUUUUAUCGGGUUUUCGGUUAUUGCAGAAGGGAAUGUCUGUUGUACCAGUUAUCGGUUUUUUACUCGAUAAGAAAGCGUUUAAACCGUUACCAAAUCCAGCUGAAGUGGAAGAAAUCUUUGAUGUUCCGUUAGAGAUGUUCCUCAAGGUUCUUGAACCAAAAAAAUCCCCUGUUUUUGGUUUAAAUCUAUCACCAAACCUUAAUCUUUAAUGGCUCCCUCUGUCGGGUUUUACGCAGGACAAGAACAAGCGGACUGAGGAACGAGAGCAUGAAGGAGAGAGAUAUCUUCUUCAAUACUUCGAUUACUAUUCCGAAGAUAAAGAGAGAAACUUUAUCAUAUGGGCACUCACUGCUGGUAUUCUGAUCAGAGUUGCCUCCAUUGUUUAUCAGAGAUUACCGGAGUUUCAAGAACGUAAGCCAAGAUUCUGGAAUCAGCCCAGUUGAUUCUUAACUUGAUCUGAUUGAAAAAAUGAAACUUUCAUGUAUAAUAAGCGAUACAAGACGAAUCUUCUUAGUGUGUGUGUAUCACUAAAAGCAUAUGUUAAAUGUGUUGCAAGAAUCUAUCUUUACUCUAACUGAAAACCUUGUAGAACUUCUCGGUAACGAGAAUUCCCGAAUCCAUAGACUCCAAUGGAUCUUUUCUGAGUCUGUGUCGUAAGCAGUUCGGUAUAACAAUACCAACAUCUUCAGCUGUAACUUGAUCUCUUCCUUGGAGUGCCGCAAGUGCUCUAGCCGCUCUGUUUAUCACCAUGUCUCCUCUCAGUCCGUCAACGUCCAGCUCAGCACAGACCUUAGAGAUCUUCACUUUCAAAUCUUGAUCAAUCUGAACUGCAGAAAGAUUGCUUCUUGCAGUUGUAAUCUGCUCUUGAAGCUUCAGUUGUUCUGCUUGAUAAGAUUCUCGAAACUCCUUUGGGUUACUAUCGAAACGAGCUCGCUCUUCAACAAUCUUGACUCUUAGCUCAGCGUCUCUAACUGUCCCUACUUGCGCGUGCAUACCAAACCUGUCAAGAAGCUGUGGUCUAAGCUCUCCCUCUUCAGGAUUUCCUGAACCAAUUAGGAUAAACCGAGCAGGGUGAGAAAUCGAUAUCCCUUCUCUUUCAACAGUGUUCCAACCCGAUGCAGCUGAAUCAAGAAGAACAUCAACUAAAUGAUCAUCCAAGAGAUUAACUUCAUCAACAUAAAGAAUCCCUCUAUUGGCUUUAGCUAGUAGUCCAGGCUCAAACGCCUUAACACCUUCCGUUAACGCUUUUUCUAUAUCAAUAGUUCCGCAAACUCUAUCUUCCGUAGCACCUAAAGGAAGAUCAACCAUAUUGAUUUUGGUUUCAAUAACCGGCAAUUGUUCUCCCUUUUGAACUUUCUCUCUUACUUCCUUUCCCAUACACUCAGGAUCUCUCGGGUCUGAGUUAUACGGAUCACCAGCAACAACCAUGAUCUCAGGAAGCAAAUCAACUAAAGAUCUAACAGUUGUUGAUUUACCAGUUCCUCUAUCUCCCAUUAUCAUCACACCGCCAAUCUUCGGGUCAAUCACAUUUAACAAAAGGCAUAGCUUCAUCUCAUCUUGUCCAACAAUAGCAGCAAACGGAUAAACCGGCCUCGCACUUUCCUUUGAAUCAAACUUCUUUCCCUAAUACCAUAAAACCAAAUUCUUAGCCAACAAACAUUUCGCAACAAAAUAAACCUACAUUGUAAUUCUUUAGGUCAUAAAUCAUUCCAAGAUUCAAUCUUUUUUAUCAAUUCCAUGAACAUAUUGUUAAAAGACUCAUACUUGUUCAACAUAGUUGAUCUCUGUAGCGACAUUCAUAACCGAAACAUGGUAACGAGAUUUGUUCUUCUUUGGAUUGAAUUGGAUUCUUCCACAAAUUUUCCCUGCAAAAACAAAGUACACAUUUUCUAUAAAAUGUCAUCUAAAAAACCUGAAAUUGUUGAGCUUUGAAAACUGUGUAUGAGCAGAUAAAAAUGGGUACUUUUGAGGUUUUAUAAAGAGAGGAUUUUUAGGGUAAAAGAGUUUCGAACCUGGUCCGAAGCAGACAAGGGAGAUAGAAGAUGUUGAGGAAGGAGAAGAAAGACGAGGGCAAGUGAAGAUUGAAGAAGGAGAUGCUCCGAGAAGAGACGCCAUUGUUAGUGAGUGGGAGCUCUCUCUAUAGAUUUCUGAUUUCGUCUCUUUCUCUUUGAGAAUUCGUUUUGUGUUGGAUAAGGAGAUAGAGAGGAUCUUUUAGAUUUUCCCUCUUUUACUUAAUUUAGUUUAAUUGUUGAUUAAACAUUGUAUUAUAUGAUUUAUAUCAAUGCGAAUUUUGUAAAAAUUUGAUAAAUCUAAUUUUGAAUAUAUAAUGGGCUCGUACUCUAUAGGUCUCUAUAGGUCAGAUCGAGAUCUGGUCUGUUCAAAGGCUUCUUUCGAGGCGUUAACUUGUCAGGGUAUAUUCUUUCGACUUCGCCGCUACCGGGAGAAAUAUUUUGAUCCUGUUGCUUUUGGCUUGGAUCUUGUCUUGCUGGUGUGAUCGCCUAGGAACUCUUUCAUUGUGAGGUAGUCUCAAUCCACUAUAGGAGGAACCGCUUAUCGUUGUCUCGCUUUGCUGCUUCGGUUUGCUUUGUGUAAGGCAUUCCAGUCAUGGUUUUGAUUUGGUAGGUAUGGAGUUUGUGCUAGAUUCCAAAUUUAAUUUGUUGAGUCUCUUGUUUUAGUUUUUAUUUAUUCUUUGUUUCUUUCCCUGUAAUUUAGGGCCUCGUUUCUCUCGUUUGGGUUUAGUUUCUGGGGGUUAAAGUUCCGCCGGUUUAGUUUCUGAGGAUUAAAGUUUCGCCGGCCUUUGUAUUCCGACAAUGUAAUUCACCCUUGUUAUAUAAUCAUUCACGAAAAAAAAAAAUAAUGGACUCGUACUUAUUAUAUAGGCCCAAUUUAGGUGUGGAAGAUAUAGUUUGGUUAAAAAUGGUUCGAGUUUGGUUUGGUUGGUUUGAAAAUUGAUUUAGAUAAAAUCAGAGAGACUUUGUCGUUUGGUUUUACCAAAUUACAACUAAACGACGCCGUAUAUAUUUAUUAAAUUAAGAAAUAAUUAGUGUAAUCCUUCUUUAACGGUAACUUUUGUUCGAAGGAAUUAGCCGUUGUGUUUAACGGUAACUUUUAAACGGCUAAAUUUCUGAGUUUCUUUUUUUUUUUGUUAAUUAAAUUUCUGAGUUUUCUCUAUAUAUAAUACAUACAUCAUCGGUGUUAAAACCCAAACAACGACUAGAUAAAUCAUUCCAAUUCCAAAGUUUCUGUUUUUUUUUUCCUUUUUUAAUCUUCACCAUUACAAAUCAAAUCCUCAUUCAAAGAAGAAAAACUCAAAGUAAGUUAGAAAUCUAAAACCUCCUCUCUCAUACUCUGUUUUGAUUUCAAGACAACUGUUUUUGUUAAUUUUUUUUUUUGUUUUUGUUGUUUUGAUUCUCUUUCUCUACGUUAUGUUUUUCUGGAUUUCUAUAUGAUUUUAUUAUACUGAUCUGAUUCAUUGUUCUGUUACGGUUACAGAUAUUGGGUAGCCAAAUUCUGGAAAAAUGUGGAAGCUUUUCUAACAGAGGAAGAAACAAACGGUGGAGAAAAAAAAAGUUAGAGACUUUAGAAUUUUCCGAGUAAGUUUUAUACAUUAAAUUCGAAUUUUUUAUUUGAUUUUAGAUUAUGUGUUCUUAAGAAGUCAAAACUAAUUUAUUUAUUUUGCUAAAACUACAGAGCUUUUGGGUUCCUCUUUGAUUUUUUUCAAUCGCCGGAAAAUUGUGGAAGCUUGUUUGAAAAAAGUUGGAGACUUUGGAAAAGUUCAUGAUCAAGUACUAAACCGUAAAGGCACAAACUUUAUAACAUCAAGUAAGUCUUAAAUCUAAAUUCGAAUUGUCUGCUAUAUUUCUUUCUCGUAAUCUGAUUUCUAAUUUUAAACCUCAAGUAGUAUGUUUUUUUGUCUAUGUUGUUUUUUUAAAAAAAAAUUAUCUUAAAACCAAGUUUUCUUGCAACAAAAAAAAAUAAUUUAUGUAAUUAUUUGAUAAAUAUUUUAAGUUCAUCCAUUGAAAGGCAUGUAUUGUUUAAAGUAGAAGUUCUCCUCAUUCUUUUAGUAUAUGUGAAAAUUUGAAGUUUAUGUAUGUAAUUUUUUAAGUAAAAAGAUUUUGAUAAUAACAUGCAUGCUUGUUAAUUAAAGGACCAAUAUAAUAUUUGAAUACUCUUUAUCAAAAAAUAUAUAUAUACUUGAAUACUUUGUCAUGAAAUAUAAUACAUAUCAUUUGGUUUUUAUAUAUAAUAAAGAUUUAAGAAGCAUACUAAUAAGAUUGCUCGAAGGGUCAGAUGGAGCAAGAGAAGCUCACUAAGGUGAGUCGUCAGCUUGAGCGGAAGCUAACACGAGCGGAAAAAGACAAAAUCUUUUGCUCGGUGAGCGUGUUAAAAAUAUAUUUUCGCACAUAUCUAUUAUGUUUUUAAUUUACUAUAGGUUUUAUAUAUUUUUAGGUAGUGGAAAUCAAGAAUGGAAGAAGAUUUGGAGUGGGAUCCAUCCCUUUUGAAGAGGUGUGCCAAAGUUCAAAUACACAAUUGUACGAGGAAAAUUAUCGAGUAACACAAGAGAAACAUGUCCAGAUCCAAAAAGAUCAUUCUAAAAAGAUUAAAGACUUCGACCGUAUAUUAAAAGAUGUCGCAUUUUGGAAUUCUAAAAUGUCCCAGCUUUAUCCAAAUUUGGUUCCACCAUCUCGCAGAAACCAAGCGGACGCCACCAAUCCCGCUAAUGUUUAAAUUUUUAUUUUGUUUUUCUUAAAAAUAUUUUUGGUAAACUAUUUUAUUAAAACCUUUUAUGAAUAUUUUUAUUUUUACUUUAUUUUUAUGAAUAUGUGUUUAAAUUUUUGACAAAGUGUUUAAUUUCUGAUCACUUCUCGACAACAUCGUUUUUAAUAUCUUCGUCCGACAAUCUAUACCCACUUUUGUCAGAAAGUAGAAGAUAUGACCACUUUCCUCCUCAGCCUUGUUGGAAUGGCGUCAAAAAUGUUUUGAUGGAUUUUCGACUAUAUUUUCAAAGAAACGGAAAGUUCUGAAGAAUAUUUGUUUCCGACCGUUGAGCUUCCCGGCGACUCGGGUUUUGUUGCGAAUUCAUCAAAAAACCCUUGUUUCGACGAAUUUUUGACUAAUAUUAUCGUUGGAUUAUGCUAUGUUUUCUUGUAGUAAAUUUGUAUGAGUUUCAUAUUAUUAGAUGUUUUACUUUUCUGAACAUAAUUUUAGUGAAAAUGAAGAUAUAGAUAGAUAACACAAAAUUGAUGAAGAUAAUAUCAAUGAGAUAAAAAAAAAAGGUGAAGCAAUGACAAUUCGAACAUAUAUGGAAACUAUUCAUAACCAAAUUGCAGAUAUGUUAUGGGUUGAUCGUAGAUAAAUAUACAAACUAUUAUUGUAUUGACAAGAAUAAGUUAUUAAAACUAUAGCAAUUAUAAUUUAACUAUAUUAAUAUUUCACAUUAUGAGUAGAAAUGAUUUAUUUUUCCAUAUUUUUAUUCAUUAAUUCAAUUAAUUUUUAUUUUUCAUAAAUUAUUAUAACUUUUAUACUACACACUCUCUUAAUGUACCGUGUUUCUUUAUCUAGUUAUCUUUAACCCUUUUUUUAUCCGUUUUCUCUACAACCGCUAAAAUUUUGUUUAAAUGUGGUCACCAAUCAUAUUCUAAUUGCUAUAUAUUGAAUAAUACAAAAAAGAAUCUAGACUAAGUAAUAUGUGAAUAUAGUAUAAUAUCCAUUGGAUAAAUUAAUACAUUAAAUUAAACGGUUAUUAUUCAAAGAUAGAACCAACUACAUGAUGAUAAUAUAAAGCAUCAAAACUCAUCAAAGGCGUUGAGAGGAUCCUUUGGGUCAACAUCUUCUAUAAGGGGAAGAUCCACAGCUAAGUCCUCAGCUCCAAUGCCUUCUUCUUUAAGCUUCUUUGCUACUUCUUCAAACACUACUUUGUUACCAACCCGACUCAAAUGUAACCCGUCCCUAAAAUUCGAGAAAACACGAAACAUAGUUGAUCAACCAUUAAUUAAAAUUUACUUAUUGGCUUCGAAAAUGAAAAUGCACCAUAGACUAGGUGUGUAUAUAAGAGUUAGUGUAUGACCAUAGACAUUCUGUUUGCCAAUUUGGAAUUUGCUGCAUUUUGGACCAAAGAUCAAUGACCGAAAUUUGAUAUUCCUCAGCUACUGCUAUACAUGCUUUUGCGUAUCGUCCGGCUACUUCAUUCGUUCUUUCUGGCAAUCCCGUCGUGUUUUCGACAGUGGCGGAGGCAACGUACAAGGAGGGGGGUCAACUGACCCCCAUAACAUUUAUAGAAUUUUUUAAUUAUAAAGUAAUUUCCUAAUAUAAUUUAAUAUUUUGGGUUAAGAUAUUCACAAUGACCCUCAUGUUAUGUGAUCUAUUCUUGUCUUUGACCCCAUGCAUAUUCAUUUUUUCAUUUAAUCUUAAAUACCUUUUUACAAUUUUGUUUGGUUAAAAAUCUAUAAUAUCUUUUCUCUUAUUAAGAAACCAUGUAAUCUAUUAACAUAUCAAUUUUUUUUCUUCUUUUUAGACAAAUACUAUUUUAAUUUCUACAUUCUUUUCAAAAUUCUUUUUAAAAUAUAUAUUUUUUUCUAAUCAAUCUCCACAAUAUAUAUUAUAUAUAUUAGCAAAAAAAAGUUUUGAUGAUAUAACUAGAAAAAGAUAAAUUACGAACAUUUUUAAUCUGAAAGAUUAAAUAUGAAACAUUUUAGGUUUAAAAGUUAUGUAUAUAUAAAAGAAAAUUUAUUUAGUUUAUUUUAAAUUUUAAAUGUUUUAUGACCCCUAUAAGCAAAAUUCCUGACUCCGCCACUGGUUUUCGAUAUAAGGAUAUCUAAGAAUGUAAAGAUUAAAGUCUAAAAUUUGGUGGUCAAAAUGAUAAACAUGAGAGUCUAUGAAAUUGAAAAAUCCAAGGUUGAUUUUGAUAAAACAGUUUGGGAUGAAUUAGAGGACUAGUACGUCGUACCUGAGGCGGGCCUCUUCGUCGAUUGGAGGCGGAGUUAUAAGAAUAAUGGCCGUUUUUGGCCAGCGAUUCUAAAAAACAUAACAAAAAUCUUUCAUUUAAUAAAAUCAGAAAAUUAUAAGAAUCCAUUAUUAAUGUAGAAAGAAGGAUGUAUAAAAAUACUUUCACUUAGUGGUUCGACAAAGUAUAUACAUUUGGUGCUUCUAAAGUUUUACUUUCCCAAAAAGAGAUAUACUAUAAAAGCUCUGGCCUUUUAGUAAAAAGACAACAUAUUAAAUAACUUUAUAGAUUAAUGAAAAUAACCUAUAACUAUGAUACCUUAAGUAAUUUAUACACGCAAUAUGUUUUUUCUCCUCUAUUUUAUUCUCUCUUUUUUUUUUUUUUGCACAAUUGAUUUGCUUUUCACUUCCACGAGGGGUCUAAAUUCUGUGUAUGUAUCAGGAUCACAAUUCACCACUUUACAAAUUCAAAACAAAUAAAGAGAUUGUAAUCAUUUUUGGUCAAAGAUGUAUAUAUAUAUAUAUAUAUAUAUAUAUAUGCAUGCAUGUUAAUAUGUGCAAGAUUUUAAUUAGAUAAUGUAAAAAAAUUGGUCACCUCGAAAAACAGAUAUGGAACGAAUACUCUGAUUUGUACUCAAUAUAAGACGAUAAAAAAAAAUUUAAAUUAUGAAUGCGCAAUUGCCCAUUCCUCAAUACUGAGUACUGACACACAUAUUUGAUAAUUAUACAAUAAAUGUCCAUAUUUAUAUAAUUAUAUAUAUUAGUACUAUAUUCUUUCUGUUUUAAAUUACAUAUCGGUUAAGUUAUUGCACACAAAUUAAAAUAAAUUUUCUGUUUUAUCUUUCAUUAAUUAAAUAUUCUAUAAAUUUUUUCAUUGGUCAAGACUUUAAAACAGUAAAAAUAAACUUGAAAAUUUUACAAAACAUCUACAUUAAAAACUUAACGACAUCUUUUUUUUUUUUUUUUUUUUGUUGGACAAAAACGACAUAUGUUAUGAAACAAAAAUUAAGUUCUAAAACGACAAAUAUGCAUGUGCAAGAUUUAAAUGAGAUAAUUAAAAAAAAAUGAUCACCUUGAGAAACGAAAUAAUAGAACGAAGAUUCUGCUUGUACUCGUCAAGUGGCACAUGCUGAAACCCCGAGCAUCUCUCCGGCAUACACGCGUCGUUCGCUCCAAAGAAUACAGUCACAGCCACCGGAGAAUCUCGGCCGUCUUCUUCUGCCGCCGGAAAAACUCUCUCCACCACUUUCAACGCCCACCUCGUGUUAUAUCCACUGUAUCCUCUUAGCACCAUAUCAGCCUAAUCAAUUUAUAUAUCAAAAUCGUUAAUAAUUCAUUAAGACGUACGUAAUUGUGAAUUACAAGAAUUGUGAAUUUUUAUUAAAAAAAAAAAAAAAAAAAAAAAAAAAAAAAAAAAAAAAAAGUGAAUUACAAGAAAAAAAUCAUAUAAAAUUAUUUUAUUAAACAUAAGAAACUACACUAUAGUACUAUACUAGAAAAUAAUAAUAUGAUUAGUUUCCUGAAAAAUUAC
rnacentral:lncRNA from 1 species